GCACCGUUUUUCACAGUUCGUGAACAAUGAAAAGACGGUAAUACCCUCGGGUUUUCUUAGCUUUGCCCUCAUGUGUGCAGUCAAUUGCCGGUUUUACCCAUUGAUCCCAAGGGUUCUGUGUCGUUUCUUUCUCUCUUUCCAUUCAUCUCUUUCACUUUACCUUUCAGCUCUCCAUUUUUUGCUUUCCUCAACUGGGUUUUCCUUCGUCGUCGGUGUGCGCUCUGAUUUCUCUCAAUUUAUUCCUUUUCGUUUUGCGAAAUUAUGUCCGGCGAGACAUGAUCUUUGAUUUUUGCAACCAUUGUUGGCCGUUAUUCUCUGUUUUUGGCUGCCAUCCGUAGUUUGGAUCGAUUUCGUCUUUUUCACCGUUUUGUUUCAAGCCUCUCUUUUGAGAGAAUUUUUACGUAUUAAGGUUAGUGAUUUCUAAACUUAAGUUUUGCUUUGCAGUUUGAUUUCAUUUUUGGUUGUCUUGCCCAAAUGUUAGAAGCUUUUAAUUUUUUUGGGUUCAAUUUUAAAUGGGUUGUUGCUUUCGGAGUUUUCGUUUGAUGACAGAGAUGGGGGUUUUUGGGGAAAAACUUUUAAUCCGUGAGUUUUAGUUAAGUUGUGUUGUGGGUCCUGACAAAUGGAUUUUUUGUUGAAAUUGUUUUUCUUCUCAUUUUUGGUUUUUUUUAUUUUUUUUAUUUUUAUUUUUUUGUGCCAUCGGGUUUUUGCAUGUGGGUGUAUAAUCAGGUUUUCUUCUGAAUUUCAGGGGAUUCAGGUUUUUAUUUUUUUUGGAACUUUUGUAUGCAGCUUUGGAAGACAUUUACGCUUAAGGUGAGAAACUUUGGUUGCCCGCUUUUGGGUUUUGUUGUAGAAUUAAGUUUUUUUUUAUUUUUUAAAGAGUUACAUUCGUGGGAAUUCAUUUAUUCUUCUUUUUUUCUGCAUCUGGAAAAUGCAACCUGAUGUGAGUUAUAGUCAUAAGUGCAAACAAGAAAAAGUUAUAGUCUUAAGUGCAAGAAAUAUAAAGCCAAAAGAACCUAGCAACAAUAUCAUACCUUAUUUUUCAAUUUACUUAUAAGGUUUCACAUUUUUGUAAAUAUCAAGAACAAAAACCUAGAACAGCCUCACAAUUUGGUGCACUGACUAGGAAAUUGACAGUUGGGUAUAGGUAUGGGUAGUUAAAAACUAUGAGACAUGAGAAUUAUUGUCAAAUGCAAGGACAGAAGGUCGUGUAUUUGCAAAGUUGAAGCGGCCCAAGGACCGAGUGGGUUUAAGGUUUAAUGCUCAGUAGUUGUUGUGCUUCUGCUGCUUUUUAGUUGUCGAGGAUAUGCAGGGAGAGCAAAUAAAAAGAUUGUAUUCACUGUGUUGACGCAUUAUUGAACAAGAGACCCAAAAGGAAGGACAUAUUCAAUCUCAAAGUCUGUCAGCUUUCGCUUCUUAAUUUUACAACAACAACAAAGCCUUUUCCCACUAAGUGGUUAUUAAUUUUGUUUGCUCUUCGAAAGUUGAAUGCAUGAGUUUUAUAAUUUUUUUGCGAUUAGUUUACCUGAGAUGGGUUUUGGGUAAUCAUGUAUUAUUUUCUGAUUUGGUUACAGGAUGCAAAUCAUUGCUUCUUUAGAAAAGAUUAAGGAAGGUGAGCAAUUUCAGAAAAAAAAAAUGCGAUUAUCAUUUUCUAGAGAUCAUGGCAUGCCCUUCCGUUAUUUUUUGGUAGAGAUAGGUGUAACGGGCAUCUCUUACUAGUUGAUCUCUAAAGAGUGAUAGAGAUAGGUGUAACGGGGCAAGAACUUUUUGAAGUCAAGUCUUCAACUUUUGAAGUCAAGUGCAUCGUAUCUUCUACAUGCGUAAAAGAGGCUCUUGUCUAAUUGAUUCGUGAGUUAAUUUUUGAAGUCAAAUCUUCAACUUUUGAGAUGGCGUGAAAUUAGAAAUUAGACAAAUGAGCAGCACCAUAAAAGAAAAAAAAAAUUGCAUACACACAUAUAGUUUAUCUCAUGAGUUCCUUCUGUAAGGGUUUAUGAUAUUUGUAUUGACACUCUUGUAAGGUUUUAUCAUAUUUGUAUGGCCAAUUGCAAGACUAAUCAAAACUUUGUAUUUGGGUACUUCUAAAUGUGUUGGACCUUCAUGCUUGAAAUCUUCAUUAAAAUAUGUGUAAUUUGUAUUUGAAUGUAAAAUUAAACAAAAAUAAAUAAAUGUUAAUGGGUGACUCAUGAGUUUAACAGAUUGAGUUUGAGUAACUCAUUAGCUUAACGAGUUGGGUGUGGAUGACUCGUUAGUCUAAAUGGUCAAGUGAAAUCCGAUCCAAACUAAAUAAACCCGAUCCGUUUAUAGGUUACUAGCAGAUAGUAAGGGGGAUGAAAGUUUCGAACUCUCAACAGCAAAUUAAGACACUAGAGUCAUCAGAUUCAAUUCCUGCAUUGGCUUGAAGUGGAAUGGAUUUGAAGCAAGAACUUUUCAUUCGAUAUCCAAUUUCUUCAUCAUUAGGACUUUCAAACUCCAAGCAUAUAUUAAGUCAAGAUUGCGGGUGUAACGAAAUUUUUCAUGUUGGAUUUGGUCUAUGUUGCAUUUUCCAAACUGCAAGCCCUUUUUUCAUCAGAAAAGAAAUAUCUCAUUAACUCAAGAGAAAGCAAGGAAGAGAGAUACUUCCACUUGGAGGUGAGGCCCCAACCAUAGGAAAACUGUAGAAAAACGUAUUUGGCUCAAUUCUACUUUUCAUUCAUUCUCAAAUGUACAAUAUAUAUAUAUAUAUAUAUAUAGCCAAGUCCAAUAUUAGAAGUCAAAUCGUGUGAAUGGUAGAAGAUCAAUGUAUAAAAAUCAUUGUUCUAAAAAACGCCAUAGGCAGCCACCUAGGCGCUAGGCGCCUUGGAACCGAGGCGAUUUUGUGCAAAAAGGCUAGAAAAAUUGGGGUGGCUCUAGGCGGGCUAGGUGGCUGGAUGAUUUUUUUUUUUUUAAAUGUUAAAGUCUAAGUUCUAAUUAUACCUUGAAAUUUUAUUAAUUUUAUAGAAUAGGUGUGUUGUGUACCAACUUAAAUUCCGGGAUGCUAAAGAUAAGUAUCUUACAUUACUAAAUUUCCGUAUUUUCCUCCUAUUUUCCAUUUUAUGUUAUUUUAAAAUGUGAACUUAUUGUACAUGUGUCAUACUACAAUACUCCUCAAUAUGGUUAUAUGGCAUUGUAGACAUCGAAAUUUCGGUAAAUAAAUGUUGACCGAUAAAUCAAAGUUUCAACGCUCAUGUAUUACAGAAAUUUUACACGUAGCGUGUGUCUAAACAAAAAAUCGAGAAUCAUCGGAAAAGUCAUCAAACAUGACACAUGUCAACACCUGGCAGAAACGACUUAUUUCAUCUGGAAUAUUAUAUUCAAAAUUAGGCCUUGGAAAAUUCUAUAAAUAAAAGCCAAUUUCAUUCAUUUGAGGGGACCAAAAAAUCAUUAGGCAAAAUUCUUGAAGCUCUGAAGCUCUGAAACUCCGAAGCUCUCAAGUAUCCAGGUUCCCGAAGAAUCAAGAAAGCUCUCUUCGUUCUUUGUUCUUCGUUCAUCCUAAGAUCAAGCCCCAACGGCCCUUUGGAUCAACAAUCAUCCACCAAUUCAAGAUCAAGCCCCGACGGCCCUUGAAGAAAGUGUUCUUCGUUCUUCGUUCAUCCUUCUUCCAAGAUCAAGCCCCGACGACCCUUGGAUCAACAAGCCACCGUUCUUUAGGAUCAAGCCCAAAAGCCCUUGAAGAUCCGUUCAUCACUGUUCUUCAAGAUCAAGCCCAAAAGCCCCUUGAAAGAUCCGUUCAUCACUGUUAUUCAAGAUCAAGCCCAAAAGCCCUUGAAGAUCCGCUCAUCACCGUUAUUCAAGAUCAAGCCUCAAUGGUCCUUGAAGAAACACUCAUCCUCAAGAUCAAGCCCCAACGGCUCCUUGAAGAAACUUCCAACAGUUCAUCCAAAAUCAAGCCUCGACGGUCCUUGGAUCAACAAAACUAGGGGUGGAAUUUUUUCCCGAAAAUCCCGAACCGUCCCGAUCCCGUCCCGAAAUUAACCCGAAAAAUUCCCUAACCGAAUUUCCGGAAACAUUCGGUUUAGGGUUUAGGGAAUCCCGAACCGAACCGAAUAUUAUAUAUAUAUAUAUUUAUUUAUUUUUAAUUUUUAAUUAGAAAUUACUUGAACCGUUGGAUUUGUUAAAAUCUAAUCCAACCGUCCAUAGUUAGGUCAUUUGUUUGUUAGGUUAUCAGACUCUCUCAGUCGCUCUCGCUCUCUCACUUCACUGGCUCACUCACACACACUCUCACUCUCACAGUCACUCUCACCACAGUCCCCCCGCUCCACUCCUCCGUCGAAUCCACGCCGCUCAUCAUCGUCCAUCACUCCAUUGACUCACGCUGCUCCACUCCUCCGUCGAAUCCAUGCCGGUCCUCGUCAUCCAUUGACUCACGCCGCUUCUCCAUGGACUGACGCUUCUCCAUCGACUCACACACUCGAAUCCGACACCAAUCGAGUCCCAAAAUCCAGGUUAGUAGGCCUAGAAGCUUUCCCAGUUGCAUGCAAUGCUUCAUCUCUGUGCCUCGAGAAAUUUCUUCACUGAUUAGCAUAACAAAUCUCACAGAGAGAGAGAAAGAGUGGGAGUGUGUAAGAGAGAGAGAGAGAAUGAGAAUGAAUCAAUUUCGAGCAUUCCUCCUAAUCAUCUUCUUGUUUUUCUUCGUCUUCAGUAUCUGUUUAGGGCUCUAUACGGACCAUCAUUGCCAGUUCUUCAGCUAACUCCUUCCAACUUCAAGUCCAAGGUAAAUGUUGAAACUUUACCAGUAAUUGGGUGUACCAUUUUCAGAUUCUUUAGUUUUUUGCAUUAAAUCUAUUGGAAUUUGUCACCGUUUGGAUUGAAAAGCAAUUGGGCUUCAAUUUCGAACACGUUUUACUCAUUCAUAUGGAUGUUAAGUUUUAAUUUGUUUUUACUUUCUCCGGUCCAUUUUUCAUUUGGCAUGCCCUGCUAUUUGGAUGCCCUGCCAUUUUUCAUUUUUCAAUCCGGCAAAUAUUUUCAUUUUUGCAUGCCCUGCUAUUUGGCAGCAAAUAUUUUUCUCUUUCCAUGCCCUGCAACGAUUGUGAAGACUUGGUUAGUGUGUGUGAUACUUAAUUUUGGCAAUUUGAUUUUGUAUUCAGGUCAGAUUUUAAAGCAGCUAUCAGAGAUAACUAGCAGGUAGGUUCUAACUUCUAAGUUUAAACAAGAGCUCAAUAACAAACAGGUCAGAUUUUGCACUCUGUCAAUAUAUGUAAUGUGAUAUAUAUAAUGUGGUAUAUAUGUGCACUCUCUGUCAAUAUAUGUAAUGUGAUAUAUAUAAUGCGGUAUAUAUGUGCACUCUCUGUCAAUAUAUGUAAUAUGAUAUAUAUGUGCACUUUGUGAUAUAUUGUUUGUAUUGAAAAAUAUUACAUCUCAAUGACUUGAUUUUAUUUAAGUGGAUGAAAAUAACCUAAUUGUAAAUAUAAGUAGUAGUGGCACAUAAACAUUGCACCAUAUUUGAAUGAUUAACAAACACUGGGGGAAGCAUCUGCCAUCUGGGAUUAAUUUCAAGGUCACAAAAUAUCCUGUAUAUUUCCCCACAAAUGAAUAACGAUGCCAGCUGAGUUUAUAUACACUUUUAUAUAUGUGCACUCUGUCAAUAUAUGUAAUCUGAUAUACAUGUGUUUAUGGAUUAAUUUAUGGAUCAGUUUAUGGAUCAGUUUAUUUAUGGAUUAGUAUAUGAAUAUUAUAUAUAUGUUGAACUGUGUUGUGAUAUAUUAUUGUGCAUUGUCAGGAUAAAGGAAAGGAACUAAAGGAAGAGGCCAUUCAUCAACAAGUGGAAGAGGCUGAAGGGGCUAAAGGAAAGGAACUACGUUUAUAAACUAUGUUUUGGUUGCAUGCACUUUCUUGCUUAUAAACUAUUUAACUAUGUUUUUCUUUUGGUUUGUAAUUUAAUCUAAAUUCAUUCGGAAGUUUGGUUUGUAAAACUUAACUUAUUUCAUUUUGGUUGCAUGCACUUUUAAUUAACUAGUUUGUUAGACAAUUGUGAACUUAAGCUUAACUUGUUAGUUGUUGCUUCCUUGGUAUGAAAAUUGAAACAGGUAUGGUAUUGUGAAUCUGUGAUAUUGUGAUGAAUUUGAAACAGGUGGGCUCUGCAGCCUGUGCUUGUGCGGGCAGUGGCUGGUUACAACUGCCAAUUGUAACCCUUUUUUUUUUUUUUUUUUUAUUUAUGAAAAAAGGGUGGGCUUUCCCUUUAAAGGGUGGGCUUACUCUUUAAAAGCCCAACAUUUUGGGCUUCAAAUUGUAAAAAGCUUAAAAUUGUAAAAAGUUAUAAAAGCCCAACAUUUUGGGCUUCAAGGCCCAAUCCCGAAGUUUCCCGAAAAUCCCGAAACACUUUCGGGAAUCCCGAAUUUCGGGAUUCCAAUAAUUUUGGUUCGGUUUCGGGAUAUAAAAUCCCAUCCCGAAAUGUUUUGGUUUGGGAAUCAGGUUCGGGGUUUCGGUUCGGGAUCCCGACCCGAACCAGCCCUAAAUGAAACAUCCACAAAUCAACACCUUACGGAGAUCGAAUCAGAGGAUCAAAAUAGAGAGAGAUUGUAACCCAAAAUCAUCAAAUACAAAUAUUAUUUUGUGCACGUUGUUCUUGUCUCUUUCGUUUCAGGGAAAUUUCGUUUUUACAAAUUAGCACGCCCAGUGGGACAAUCUCUACCUCUCAUCUCUUUCUCCGUUCAAGAAAUUCGAGCACACUUCCAAAAUUAAUGGCAUCAAGGAAGGCUCAAACUGUUCCCGCAACUGGCGCAAAGAAUAAGAGUGUCCUCGUCGCAAGUGGUGUCACUUUAGGCAUCACGACUCGAAGCAAGGCAAGAGCUACUUCUGCCGCCUCUUUCACCUCUGCAUCAACUCUGCAAAGGGAACAAGAGCACCCAAGGCACGAGCCUUUGAUCACCUUAGCCUCACCAAGGGCACCAAGGGGCGAAAGUCCAAGGAAAUACUCUGAAUCCAUGCUCUCCGAUGCCGAUUCGAGCGGCAGUUUAGCCAUGCAAGUCAUGACCAUUGGAGCAACUUCAAUCGAUGAGCAGUUGGCUCAAAUGAAUGAAGCAAUCGCAAGGCUAACCUGAACUGUGGAAGAAAAAGACUUGCAAAUCGCUGCACUCGUCAGCCGACUGGAGCCACAGGACGGCGAGAACCCUAACCUAGAAAAUGAGCCUACGGUGGAGAGAAUCGAUGCGAAGCCAGAGCCAGACCAAGCAGCGGCACUUAUGGGAUCUCUUUCUAUCCAACAGCUGCAAGAGAUGAUCACCAACACCAUCAAGACACAGUACGAAGGGAGCUCAAAUACCUCCGGGUUGUACUCGAAGCCGUAUUCAAAGAAGAUCGACGCCUUAAGGAUGCCGAGGGGUUAUCAACCGCCAAAGUUCAUGCAAUUUGAUGGAAAAGGAAACCCGAAACAACACGUUGCCCACUUUGUUGAAACUUGCAACAACGCAGGGACCGAAGGGGACUACCUCGUCAAGCAGUUUGUGCGCUCGUUGAAAGGAAACACCUUUGAGUGGUACACGGACCUAGAGCUUGAGUCCAUCAACAGCUGGGAGCAAUUGGAGCAGGAAUUCCUCAACCGCUUCUACAACACUCGCCGCACUGUGAGCAUGCUAGAGCUAACAAGCACAAAGCAAUGGAAAGAUGAGCCGGUAUUGACUACAUCAACAGAUGGCGCACUCUAAGCCUCGACUGCAAAGACAGGCUCUCGAAGACUUCUUCAAUCGAGAUGUGUGUCCAAGGUAUACAAUGGGGUUUGCAAUACAUCCUUCAAGGCAUUAAACCACGGACCUUCGAAGAGCUAGCCACCCGCGCCCAUGACAUGGAGUUAAGCAUCGCUCAUCAUGGGAAGAAAUAACCGAUCUCUGACUACAAGAUUGACAAAGUUCUUAAGACAAAGGUGGAGAAGGCUGCGUGUAAAUCCACCAAGGAAGCAAUGACGGUCAACACAACUCCCGUCAAAAUCCUUACACGAGGCAAGGCUAUUCAAACCGAAGCUUUUCAUGAUCAAGAGAUGCGUAGACGCAAUUUGAAGGAGCUUGAGGAGAAGACUUAUCCAUUCCUCGACUCUGAUGUGGUUGCCAUGCUGGAUGACUUGUUGGACAAGAAGGUGAUCGGUUUGCCUGAGUGCAAACGGCCGGAAGAGAUGAAUCGUACCGACAGUCUAAGAUACUGUAAAUUCCACCGCUUCAUCAGUCAUCCGACAGAAAAAUGCUUCGUGCUGAAAGAUCUCAUCAUGAAGCUGGCUCAGAAAGGAAUCAUCGAGCUAGAUCUUGACGAUGUUGUGAAGUCAAACUAUACCACCAUCACUUCUGGCUAUUCCAACUCAAGGUUUUUACCUCAACCGCUGGGGGCAUCCUCCAAGACAAGCAAAGUUAAAGGAUGGACUCAAGUCACUCCUAAAAAAUUGCACAAGAAGCAUACGUCUCCUCCACAAGUCCGCCAAUCGGAAAGGGGGCAAAGCAACUCUUGUCAACCUUCAAAGCAACAUGAACGUGUUGAAGAUGAUGAAAUUUCGACACAUAGAUCGUCUAUCCCCAUCACGAUGCGCGAUUUCUUUCCUGAAGACUUCUUCAAUCACUCUGUCAAGACUCCUUGCUAUGAAAAUUGCAAGGAAAGCCUCUCCAGGAUCGUUUAACAAAUUCACAAUGCUCCUUGUCCGCACGAGCCUAAACUGUAGGACACGAAGCUCCUCGCCUGCACGAGCCUAAACUGCAUGGCACAACGCUCCUUGUUCGCAUGAGCAUAAAAAGCGACAACAAAUGCUCCUGGUCUGCAUGAGCAUAAAAGGCGACAACCAACGCUCCUUGCCUGCACGAGCUAAAACUGCAAACGGCACCAAAUUCUCCUUGCCUGCACGAGUUAAAACUGCAAACGGCACAAAAAGAAAAUACCCAAAAAAAUAUGUAUGCAUUUGAACUACGUUAUGACUUGAUUUCUUCUUUGGAAGGGUACGUAGGCAACUCGAACGUUCAACUUCGAGUACAGUCAUGUCAAAACAAAAAAAAAUAAAUUAAUUAAUUAAUUAAGGUCUUAUUAAAUGCUUGACUAUUGAGAGUCAAUUUUAUUACAAAUUAAAAAAAACAAUAUUCUUUGUAUUAAAAAAAAAAAUAUAUAUAUAUAUAUAUAUAUGUAUGUAUACAUGAUAAAGUGGGUCUUCUUGCACUUAAGACCCGUGCCAAAUCAAAGAAACACAAGUUGGAGUCCACAGAAAGAAGCAGCCCAAAUCCAAGCCCAAGCCUUCCUCCAUUUCACAGAGUCCAUGCUAGAUGAAGCUUUUGAAAAUGGGUGUGCAGAGAGAUUCGAAGCUCGACCUCAUCACUCACAACCGCUUCCAUCCCUGCCUUCACUCUCGCACCCAUUCCAUCAAUCCGGUUUUCUUUCAAGUCGGCAUCGAGAUCCUUCGUAGUUCCCUUACUCAUCGCCCAGUCUCUCUGCCAUCUCCCGCAGCACCGCGAAGCCGCUCGUCGACCCAAGAGACGAUGGCUUCCGACUCAAAGUCUGCUUCAUACUCGACCUUCCUUUCAAUUUUCUUCAUCCCCUCCAUUGAAGAAGCAGCAGCCAUGCCGCUGCCAGAGGCGUUGAAGUCCAACGACGAUUUGGACUCUCCUGUGAUUUCGCACCUGUAAAACCUUUCAUGGAGCUCCGUCUCCCACCACAGUCGGGGCUUUGGAUCCAUAGUCUCCUUAGCCAACUCCAACCUCUCGCCAACUCCGGCCGCGAUCCGAAGUCGAUGAUCGUUCAGAUUCUCGAGCAAAAGGAGGGGCUAAGCAGUUUGUAUAAAGAAGCAAUGGAUGCAUCGAGGUUGCUGGUGGUUUAAAGGGUUUCAAACCAGAAGGUCCCCAUGGAUGGUUUUCUCAACAGAAGCAAUUCGAUGAUUCGGCAUCGUUUCUCUCAGCCCUUCGAAACCAUAAACCCAAACUCCACCUGCUACACAUGGUGUGCACGCCCAUGUUCAACAAUCUUGUCCCGCCGCUUUCAACGUAUCGCAAGAGUUUUACAACGCCACUCCCACCUAUGCUCUGACCUUGCAUGCUGCACUUGAUUGGCGUUAUGCACUUGCUCAUGCUGGUGCCGUACGACGUCGUCAACUCGCCAAAGACAUCGAAAUUUCGGUAAAUAAAUGUUGACCGAUAAAUCAAAGUUUCAACGCUCAUGUAUUACAUAAAUUUUACACGUAGCGUGUGUCUAAACAAAAAAUUGAGAAUCAUCGGAAAAGUCAUCAAACAUGACACAUGUCAACACCUGGCAGAAACGACUUAUUUCAUCUGGAAUAUUAUAUUCAAAAUUAGGCCUUGAAAAAUUCUAUAAAUAAAAGCCAAUUUCAUUCAUUUGAGGGGACCAAAAAAUCAUUAGGCAAAACUCUUGAAGCUUUGAAGCUCUGAAACUCCGAAGCUCUCAAGUAUCCAGGUUCCCGAAGAAUCAAGAAAGCUCUCUUCGUUCUUCGUUCUUCGUUCAUCGUUCAUCCUAAGAUCAAGCCCCAACGGCCCUUUGGAUCAACAAUCAUCCACCUAUUCAAGAUCAAGCCCCGACGGCCCUUGAAGAAAGUGUUCUUCGUUCUUCGUUCAUCCUUCUUCCAAGAUCAAGCCCCGACGGCCCUUGAAUCAACAAGCCACCGUUCUUCAGGAUCAAGCCCAAAAGCCCUUGAAGAUCCGUUCAUCACUGUUCUUCAAGAUCAAGCCCAAAAGCCCCUUGAAAGAUCCGUUCAUCACUGUUAUUCAAGAUCAAGCCCAAAAGCCCUUGAAGAUCCACUCAUCACCGUUAUUCAAGAUCAAGCCUCAACGACCCUUGAAGAAACACUCAUCCUCAAGAUCAACCCCCAACGGCUCCUUGAAGAAACUUCCAAUAGUUCAUCCAAAAUCAAGCCUCGACGGUCCUUGGAUCAACAAGCCACCGUUCUUCAAGAUCAAGCCCAAAAGCCUUUGAAGAUCCGUUCAUCAUUGUUCUUCAAGAUCAAGCCCAAAAGCCCCUUGAAAGAUCCGUUCAUCACUGUUAUUCAAGAUCAAGCCCAAAAGCCCUUGAAGAUCCACUCAUCACCGUUAUUUAAGAUCAAGCCUCAACGGCCCUUGAAGAAACACUCAUCCUCAAGAUCAAGCCCCAACGGCUCCUUGAAGAAACUUCUAACAGUUCAUCCAAAAUCAAGCCUCGAUGGUCCUUGGAUCAACGAAACAUCCACAAAUCAACACCUUACGGAGAUCGAAUCAGAGGAUCAAAAUAGAGAGAGAUUGUAACCCAAAAUCAUCAAAUACAAAUAUUAUUUUGUGCACGUUGUUCUUGUCGCUUUCGUUUUAGGAAAAUUUCGUGUUUACAGGCAUAUAUGCUUAAUGUGUUUUUAAAUUUUGGACUUGUUGGAUACUCUUUUUGCAUUUUAUCAUUCUUUUAUUAUCUUAUCCAUAGAUUUCAUACAAGUAUAAUUUUUUGUAAGUGUCAAUAUGCACUUAUUUACAAGAUAUACAAGAAAAUUACCUAAAUCCGCAUAGGCCGCCUAGCCGCCUAGGCGCUAGGCGCUAGCCCACAUCUCGACUAGCGCCUAGCGUUUUUUAGAAUCUUGAUAAAAAUUAACAAGUGUGUGUAGGAAGUAAAGUGGGAUGUGUGAAUUACAUUGGGAGAAAUUAGAUUCACAUCCUUCUUUUUGCUACUCCAUUGGUUAAAACAUUAUUCCUUUUUAAUUUUUAAUCAAGGUCUUUGGAUAUUAAUAAUAUCAUUAAUUAUUUCAAUAAUAAUUUUUUUAAAUAUAUUCCUUUAGUGUUAAAAAUGUUACAAUUAAUAUAUUUAUAUUUAUGGUUAAAAUUUUUAUCAUAUAUUUUUAUUUUUAGUUUGUAACCAGUUUUAAUUUGCAAACCUUUUUCAAUUUGUACCAAUUUUCUUUUCAGUUUCAAUUUGUACCCAUAUAUUAAUUUCUUUUUGUGCCCAUAUUUUUUAAUGCUUUAUUUGUAUUUGUGUCCAUUUGUUUACCAUCAUGUGACAUUGUAUAAUUAAUCAAUGAUAGAAAAAAAGGAAAAUUAAUGAAAAUGGUUUGAAAACUUUGAGUUUUAACGAUAAGGACAAAAUAAAGGGUAAAGCGAAUAAUAUCAUGAUUGACUUUUUAGUGAAAAAAUAUGGUUUUUCGUUAAAGUGAACAGUACCGGAAGCUUUUCGUUAAAGUUUCGUAGAAAAAAUUACAUAUGUUAUAUUUAUGUUUUAUGUUUUAUGACAUAACUAUUUGUAGACAGGCAUCAAUAUAAAAUUAUUCUGCAAUAUAAUUUCUAAAAAGUGAUAGAGACGAGUGUAAAGGGAACAAGUGCAUCGCAUUUCUUCUACAUGCGUAAGAAGAGAUGCUCUUGAUUAAUUGAUUCAUGAGUUAACUUUUGAAGUCGUCUUCAACUUUUGAAAUUGUGUGAAAUCAGAAGUUAGAAAAAUGAGCAGCACCGUACAAGAAACAAGGCUUGAUGACGCAGCACUAGUGUAGAAGGAUUAAAAAUAUAAAUCCUUGAAGAAACAAAGUUUUUGGAACCCACCAGUUUGAUAGAAACUCUAAAAAGAUAAUUUGAUUAAUUGAUGAGUUGGUGAUUACACACCCAUGACUUAAAUAAGUCAUUUACAACAUUUUUGGACAACUCAAAAGGCUUAGAGAAUUAAAACGAAAGUAAAUGACAUUAAUCCAACGACAAUUGAAAAGUCUGAAACUUAUUACAAACUUUAAUUUUUGGUUUUGGAAGCCUAAUUCCUCUUAAACACGACGGGCUCAUGAUAUCAUUCCUCUUGUUCUACUCGCGAUUCUCUUCAAAACGAUAUAUUAUAUGCCUAAUUAUGACACCGGAAUAUUUCUUGUUGUCGUUUAUGUCGUCAUAUUUAUUGAAUUCAAUAUUUUCCAAUUUUAUUUCUUCUUCUCUUGAAACAUUUUAUUUUAUUUAUAUUUCUUGAUAGGAAGUGACUCAUAUCUUGUCUUACAUCACUUGACUUGACCUCAACCAUUUGAUCUUCGACCUCAAGAUCCAGAAUAAUGGAGUGUGUAAAAAAUAAAUAAAUAAAGGGAAGAGAAAAAGAAGUACAAACCGGUUACAAAACUCUGCUAAAAUUGCUACAUAACGCAAAAUGACUACAUCUUAUCAAAAACUUAACACCAGCCAAGUUACAUGGUGUAUUUAUAAAGACCCAAUUCUUAACAAACAUGAAAGCAAUCGUAAACCCUCCUAAAUAAUAGGAAAGUAACCUAAGAUCAUGUGGCACAGAAGGAUUUGAGAGUAGUAUAGAUUGACUGAAUAGUACUCCUUUUCUUAAAGUCGACAAGACUGAACAAAUAAUGAAUGCAACCAAAUAUAGUAAUUAGGUUUUAAUUCGACCGGUGGAGUGGAUACUGGUCUAUGUGUGGAACUUGUGCUUUGUUUUUGGUCUAUGUUGAUUUUUUCAAACUGCAAGUUCUUUUCUCAUCAGAAAAGAAAUAUCUCAUUACUCAUCCCCAACUACAGAUGUCUCUAGGAAGUGUAGGUAUUCUUGUUGACGUCAAAUAGGAGAGAAACGGCAUUCACUAGUCUUACUUGGUUGAUAUGACUCUUCGACACUUGGUACACCCGAUUCUUCUACACUUAAUGGAUUUCUGUUUAAGAAGUUGAGGUUCCACCAUAAUAUCGUAGUAGUCACAUGCACUCCACGUCGCUCCGUUGUUUGUCCAUAUGUUAGGCUUGAAAUUUUUUCCGCAAAAAACAGAAGAAAAAAAAAGUUAAUUUUUGCAUAUAUGUAACACAUUUAUAGUUGAUCUCAUGAGUUCCUUCCGUAAGGGUUUAUGAUAUUUGUAUUGACACUCUUGUAAGGUUUUAUCAUAUUUAUAUGGCUAAUUGCAAGACUUAUCAACUUCACAUUUGGGUACUUCUAAAUGUGUUGGACCUUCAUGCUUGAAAUCUUGAUUCAAAAAUAUGUAAUUUGUAUUGGAAUGAAAAAUUAAACAAAAAAAAAAAAAACAAUGUUAAUGGGUGACUCAUGAGCUUAACAGGUUAAGUUUGGAUGACUUAUUAGCUUAACGAGUCGGGGAUGACUCAUUAGCUUAACGGGUCAGGUGAAACAUGACCUAAACCCAAUAAACCGAACCCGUUUACAGGUUACCAGUAGAUAGUAAAGGGGAUGAGAGUUUCAGACUCUCAGCAUCAAAUUAUUAGUCAUCAGUUUCAAUUCCUGCAUUGGCUUGAAGUGCAAUGGAUUUGAGGCCCGAAAUUUUUAUUCGAUACCCAAUUUCUUCAUCAUUUUAGGACUUUCAAACUCCUAACAUCUAUUAAGUCAAGAGUGCGGUGUAACGAAAUUUAUCAUGUUGGAUUUAGUCUAUGUUGCAUUUUUCAAACUACAAGUCCUUUUCUUGAGAAAAGGAAUAUCUCAUUAACUCAAGAGAAAGCAAGGAAGAGGAGAAAUACUUCGAGUUGGAGUUGAGGCUCCAAACAUAGGAAAACUGUAGAAAAACGUAUUUGACUCAAUUGUACUUUUCAUUCAUUCUCAAACUGUAGAAAAACGUAUUUACUCUUUUAUAUAAUGAGCCUAAUGCUGAAACGUUAAUGAAUCCAUGUAGAAGAUUUAAUAAGCCUAAUUGUUCAUUGAACCUAAUUAACUAACAUUCCCUCUCAAGUUAGAGAGUGAAGAUCCACAACUCCCAACUUCCGUAUCAUAAUCGAAAAUUUUAAAUUUCGUCAGGUAAAAGCUUAAGCAUUGAAAACUUACUUUUACCUGACGAAACGGUUUCGUCUAAAAUGGUGUUUUCUUGUAGUGAUAUCAAGUAACUCCAUAACAAUAAUCUUUUGAAUUUUUGCACUCUUAGCUAUGUAUGGAAGUACAAAGUGACACAACUAUUUAUAGACGGGUAAUGCUUGACAAAGGAAUACGUAUAGGGUGGACUAAUAUAUAUAAAAUAUAUAUGUGUGUGUCCAUAAAUUCCUUACCACAUCAACCUUGACCCAUUGGAAUCUAUAAAUUUGAAUCUAAAUUCCCAUGGCUAAACCAAAUUCUUUACAAACACUUAUCAGCUGCUAAUUAUUAAACUGACCAACUAUGAUUAGUGUGAUGAGCUGAAGGAUACAAAAUAUGUGUUAUAUAAUUAUGGUUGUUUAGUAAAACUAUAACACAGCUAAUGUUUCUCUCGCCUAUCUUUUCUCACAAUCUAAUAAGUGGACUAAAUGAUUUAAGCAGUUAGUGAAAGAACAUAUGUAGCUUGUAAUUUGACUAAUUUACCCAUGUUCGGAGAAAUUUCACAGGCCUUUGUAAGAUUUCACUUUAACAAAGAGAGCUCCAAUAACCUUCUAAAACAUUUAAGCAAAGCACAUAUCACAAAAAAUGAACCUGAAUGGGGAAGAUCAUCAUAAGCUAAUAUGGACCAUGUAUAAAAGAGAUAAAUAGGAAUUAAGGAUGUGUGAAUGGAUACCAAGCAACUAAAAAGCUUCUAAUGGGUCUUUUCCUUCAAAUAAUGAUUGAUAAGAAACAACCAUUCUUCAUGAGGAAGCAGGUAAUGUAUUGUGCACCCUAAUCUAUUGUCCUAACAACCAUAAUACAUAGAAAUUUGUGGUGCUCCACUGCACGUAUGCAGCAGGCUUUUAAGCAUAUCAAUAUUUGCAUAAGAAGAACCAACAAACAGAGAGACGAAACACCUAAAUUUAGAACGAUUGGUUUUAGGGUGGAAUUCUAAUUUUUUUCAUGGUACAGAGCAUGUCGUCCCACGUGUGAAGCCAAAUGGCCACACGCAUUUCACGUUAUCCUGUUGUGUGUUCACGUGUUAGGCUUGAAAAUUCACCACACAUGAAAGAGUGUGUUGAGAAUGAGUUCCACGUCAAUGAGAGGAGGGACCUUGCAUGAGCUUAUAGGAAAUUAAGUUAUUCCUCGUAUUACCAAUUGAUUUUAUAGUAAAACCUCACAUUUUUUUCAAAAUGAAAGCUUAACAAAAAAAAAAAAAGGGAUAAAAAACACCUAAAUUUACAGAGAUAAUUUAAAACAUGUAAAUAAGAAAUUGAAAAGUAAUCUGCAAUUUGGUUUCUUCAGAAGCAAUGAGAAAAAGAAAACGGGAGAAUGAGACCAACACAGAGAAGAAAACAUCCUUUUUACCCCUAAGUUGUGCGCGACGUCCUACUUCCUUCCCUUCUUCGUUUUGGCAGCCUUCCCCUUCAUUCCUUUCAUUCUUCGUAUUUUCUCCCCCGCGCUGUCUCACUUUCAGAGUCUGUAAGACUCACUCACGACUCAGCAGCUGUUCAGCCUGACUUGUGCCUCAUCUCAGCCUCACUCAGUCCUUCCUCGACGUCGACCACUCGCCCACCUCACACACCCUCGCGGCCCACAAGCUUCCUCUCGCCGUUUCGAGUCUCGACAGCCCACCGUGAUUCCUCGAUUCCAAAAGGUUAGUCUUUGUGCUGGAUUAAAAUUUGGAUCCACAACUAUAGUUGGUCUUUCUGCUGAUUAAAAUUUGGGUCACAACUGUGUUUUUUACGAUUAGGGAUUUGAAUUGGAAACCUUAUCUGUCAUUUCUGCUUUGACAGUUUUGUUUCUCUAUUUGUAAAUAUGAAUUCAUCACGCAAAAACACAAAAUGGUUUUGUUAUUUCCCAUUAAUUUUCUUGUUAAAAUAUGUCAAUAAUAUGAAGAGAGUUUUAAUGAAAAAUAUGUGGUACCGUUUACUUUAAUGAAAAAUUACAUUUUUACAUUAAAAAAUCAAAUAUAGAACUAUUCACUUUACCUUUUAUUUUGUUCUUAAUGUUAAAACUCAAAAUUUUCAAACCAUUUUUAUUAAUUUUCUUAAUAUGAAAGGUUUUGUUAUUCGCCAAUGUGGGACUUUCGCCUUCACCUCUUCACGUGUACCAAUCACUUGUUUUUUCCCCAUUAAUUUUCUUGUUAAAAUAUGUGAAUAAUUUUGAAAAAUGGUACAUAAAAGUACUCUUAUAAAGUUAUAAUAUCCUUCACAUGAAAAGGUUUUUUUGCAAGAAUAAAAGGUUUAUUGUCCUUUGCACGACAAAAGAGAAAUUAAGUCACAAUGAGCAAGAAAAUUAUUGAGAAGAAUAUAUAAGAUAGAUAUUUAUAUUAAUGAUAACAUUAUUAUUUCAUCAAUGAUGUAACACAAGUUUUAGGGCUAACAACUUUGAUGUUUUCUGUUUCUGCGCUUCAAGUCCACCAGCCCUUUUGCAUUUGUUGCCUAUUGCACAACUGAUGUAUUCAGUUUACAAGUUGUUCCUACAAAACCAGUUCCCUUGUAAUCAACGAUUCUCAUUCAUUCCCUCCGAUGAUUGGAACAAAAUGUAGUACAAAUUUCGUAGCUCUGGUUUUAGAAUUUUAGACAAUUCUUGCUAUAAACAUUACUCUUAAAUAAGUAUUCUUAGUUACUAAGGCAUAGGAAAGUUUCGAUUUCAUUUGAUUGAAAAGAUUGUCUCCAAUUAAUCGAAUGAAUAAGAAUCCUUUCAAAUGAACAUAGCUGCUUUCAUUCUAAUUUUAGAAAAUCCAAAUCCAUGAAAACAUGCAGCACUCUACUACCUUUAUUUACAUUACUUUCUAUCUCCAUUUAGUUGUUAAAGAAGCCCGACAGUACAAGCAAAUUGAUAUAACUUAAAAACAAUAUGAUAUAUAGGGCUGAGUCUUGAACUUGAACAACACAAUCAACUAAAAGCUAAAAAGCACCAAUACCUUCUAUCUUUUUUUCUUUAAAGAAACCUCGACGGUACGAGGGAAAAUUAUUUGAAUAAAAAAAAAAGUUACACCUAGUCUGGGGGACAUAAACCUUACCCUUCAAAAUAAAGAAACCGAAAGUACAAGAAAAUAGGAGGGACAUACACUUACAUAACCUGACACAAACUUAUAACUAAACAUAUAGAAAGUGAAGAAAAGAAACCACAACAGAGAAAACAAACGACAACAAGAAAUGCGUAACGGUAACAAACUGAAUUUCUACUUCCCCCACUAGUACUCUAAAUUUUCCUUAUCAUUUGCCUGAUCAUUCCAACAAUCUUAAGAAACAAGUCGGGCCUCCUUGUGAUCACAACAUCCGCAAGAACUACUCCCACUACCAACCCACUUCCACAUCCGGCCGAAACAAUUUUCCAAUCCAAUUCAAAUAUGCCUUCUGAGCUAGAAUCACCUUCGUCGAUGGUUGAAGGUGGAAGUUCAGGGGCCUUAGGAUCUCCACAUUUCUUUGGCAAUGGAUCUCCACACAACCCUGGGUUUCCCUCGUAUGAAGUGACAUUCAAAGAAGUAAGCUGGGUUCCUUGUGGUAUAGAACCUGUGAGAUUGUUGUGAGACACAUUGAAACUGGAAAGAAAAUUAAGUUGCACCAGCUGUUGGGGGAUACGUCCUGAGAGCUUGUUUUGUGAAAGGUCCAACGAUUCAAGCUUCAUCAAGUUUCCAAAGGAUGAUGGGAUAGAACCAGUGAGAAAGUUGUGGGAUAGAUUCAGCGAACGAAGCUCCUUAAGAUUCCCGAUGAAUUCUGGAAUUUUCCCUUCAAAUUUGUUGCAUGAGAUAUCGAAGGAUGCGAAUUCUUCUCGAAUCUUUGGGUAGUGUUGCUCCAAGCCUUUUGUUGCUAUAGUGAGUUGGUAAUCAACACUGUUAACAAUCGUGAAUCCAUUGACAUCAUAAACUACGUCUGUGUACAUAUAUGUUGACUUGUUUACAGUAAUAUCUGGAAACACAGAUGGAACCGCACCAGUAAAAUCAUUGUAAGCCAAAUCAAGAAUGCGUAACUUAGGGAAAUCGACAUUCUUUCUAGACUUUCCAAUCACACCGUGGAAUCCAUUAUGGCGCAUUGCCAAAAGUUUUAGCUCUAGAAGAGUCCCCAACCAAAUGGGGAAAACAUCAUUGAAUCGAUUGUUUGACAAAACAAGAUACUCAAGCAUUAUACAAUUGACCAAUGACCUCGGCAACUGCCCCUGCAACUUGUUAUGACUCACAUCAAUCAUUCUCAACUUGCUUCCUUUGUUGUAUGUCUGAGGAAUAAUUCCGUGAAAAGAGUUGUUUCCAAGAAGUAAAAGAAUCAGAUCAUCACUAAAGUUUCCGAGACAUUGAGGAAGCAUGCCACUCAAGUUAUUUUUCGACAAGUCAAGAUACUGAAGAUUUUUCACAUUGCAAAGCGACGGUGAGAUUUCUCCAGUAAAGUUGUUGUCUGCAGCUGCAUAUUCUCGCAUGGUUGGUGGAGGUAUCGGUAGUGAUCCAUGAAACAUGUUGGCCGAAAACCUUAUACAUAACAGUUUCACCCAAGGAAGGACAAGUGGAGGUUGGUCUGAAAUGAAGUUACUAGAAAUGUCUAACAAUAGCAAAGUUUCUAUGCUUGUGUUCCACAUCCAUUUUGGUACUUGGCCUCGGAUUUUGUUUCUAGAAAGGUCCAAACGCUCCAAACGUUUCUGAUAUUGUAAGAAAGAUGGAAACUCUCUUAUGUUGCAAAAACUCAAUCCUAGAAUGGUGAACUGCGGAACUGUUGAAUUCACAAUUCUCGAUUCAGUGACAAAAUCUAUACUGUUCCAAUUUAAUUGGAGUUGGUAAAGAAAUUGUAGAUUUUGAAACAUUUGAAACUCUACUACACCACUCAGACAAUUGGAAUGUAGAUAAAGGAUCUGAAGGUUUGUGAGAUUGGAAAAUGACGCAGGAAUUGAACCAUUCAGUUCAUUAAAAGCAAAAUCUAGGUACUCUAGUUUGCUAAAGUUGCCUAGCCAAGAUGGGAUUGGACCAGUUAAUCGAUUCAUAGUGCUACUAAUCCUAAAAGUAGCCAGUUGGGUAAGGUUUGCCAAGGAAUCAGGAAUUGGACCUCCAAAUCUGUUGUUUGAAAUGUCUAGAUAAGUGAGCUUCCUAAGAUUCCCAAGUGCAGAUGGAACCAACCCUUCCGAAAAAUUGCAUUGAGCCACAUCCAACUCUUGCAGUGAAUCAAGGUUUCCAAACGAAGAGGGUAUGUUCCCGAAAAACCUGGUAUAGGAAACUUUCAGAAGCAUGAGAGGACUACUUCGAUUAAAUUCAGGAAAAUAUCCAGUCAGAUCUUGGUUGUAUCUCACACUAAGAAAUUCUAGGUUUGGUAGUUGGAAAAUUCUCACAGGAAAUUCACCAAACAGGUGACAGUCUUUGAGGGAGAGGGAUGUCAAUGAUGAUAAAUUAGCCAUUGAAUGAGGAAUUGCCGAAGAUACAUUUACGAAACUGAGAGUAAGUACUUCGAGACUGGUUAAGUUUUGAACUAGGCUUCCAAGAUCUGAUGCUUCAAGUUUCAACAAGGGAUAAUUCUCCUCUUUUGACAACUGAUGAUCCUUAUCUUCUGACAAUCUAUCGAGAUUGAGAGCUAGAUUAAGGUAUGUCAACUUGGAUAACAGUGAAAGUUCAGAAGGGACUCGACCAGAAAAGACAGAGGUAGAGAGGUCAAGAUGAGUAAGGCUUGGAAAAUUCCUAAUGCUAGUAGGAAUUUGAGAGUAAUUGAAGUUAUUGUCAGAGAGGUUUAACCUUUGAAGAUGAACAAGGCGGAAGAGGCUGCUAUUGCUGUUGAUAGAGCCGUGGAGACAGCUGCUACGAAGAUCUAGGCCAAUCACAUGACCCGUCUUCUCAUCACACUUGACACCUUCCCAUAAGGAGCAGGUGCUAUUUCCUCCUUCAGCUGGUUUCCAUGAUGAGACCUUCGGAUAAGCAUCGGUAGAUCUAGAAGCAGAUUUGUCAAUCGUAAAGCUGUCUUUGAAUUGCAGCAGGGCGGACUUCUCCUCAUCAGGGCAAGAUGGAUACUGCUUCUGCGAAGAGUAGGAAGAGUUAGCAAUAACCACAUGAUGAAACAGCAACAAAACUAGUACUAGUUUUGAAACCAUGCGAAUGAUGGAGAUAUCAAGUAACCCCAUAACAACAAUCUUUUGAAUUUUUUUUGCACUCUUAGCUGUGUAUGAUGGAAGUGCAGAGUGAUAUACAACAAUUUAUAGACUGGCAUCGAUUAGUAUAAAAUUCUUCCACAAUAUAAUUUCUCAAAAGUGAUAGAGACGGGUGUAGAAGGGACAAGUUGAUAUGAUGCCUUGACUAAUUGAUGAGAAAAAUCAAAAGUUAGAAAAAUCAGCAACACCAUUCAAGAAACAAGUCGACUUGAUGAGAAAAAGAAAGGGGUGUGAUGUUCACACACCCUAUUUUACUUCUCACACACCCUUUUAAUUUUCUACCGUCAAAUUAGAUGAAUUGAAGAAGAUCAACGAACAAAAAUUAACAAGGGAUGUGUGAGAAGUAAUAUGGGAUGUGUGGAUAGCACACCCAAAAGAAAUACAAACCAAUCACAAACUUUGCCAAGAUGGUUACGAAAGGCAAAAAGAGUGCAUCGUACCAAACUUAACUCCAGCCAAGUUACAUGGUGUAUUUAUAAAGAUACAAUUCUUAACAAACAUGAAAGCAAUCGCAAACGAUCCUGAAUAAUAGGUAUUCUUGUCGACGUUGAGUAGGAGAGAAACGUCCUCCAACUUUGCAUUUGGAUAGUUCUAAAUGUGUUGGACCUUCAUGCUUGAAAUCUUGAUUAAAAUAUGUGUAAUUUGUAUUGGAAUGCAAAAUUAAACAAAACAAAAAAAAAUGUUAACGGAUGACUCAUGAGUUUAAUAGGUUGAGUUUGGGUAACUCAUUAGCUUAACGAGUCGGGUGUGGGUGACUCGUUAGCUUAAAGGGUCAGGUGAAACCCGUCUCAAACCCAAUAAACCCAACUCGUUUACAGGUUACCAGCAGAUAAUAAGGGGUAUGAAAGUUUCGGACUCUCAGCAGCAAAUUAAGGCAUUAGAGUCAUCAAAUUCAAUUCCUGCAUUGGCUUGAAGUGGGAUGGAUUUGAAGCCAAAACUUUUUAUUCAAUAUCCAAUUUCUUCAUCAUUAGGACUUUCAAACUCCUAGCAUUUAUUAAGUCAAGAGUGUGGGUGUAACGAAAUUUUUCAUGUUGGAUUUGAUCUAUGUUGCAUUUUUCAAACUGCAAGCCCUUUUGUCAUCAGAAAAGAAAUAUCUCAUUAACUCAAGAGAAGGCAAGAAGGGACUUCCACUUGGAGUUGAGGCCCCAACCAUAGGAAAACUAUAGAAAAACAUAUUUGGCUCAAUUCUACUUUUCAUUCAUUCUCAAAUGUACAAUAUAUAUAUAUAUAUAUAUAUAUAUAUAUAUAUAUAUAUAUAUAUAUAUAUAUAUAUAUAUAUAUAUAUAUAUAUAUAUAUAUAUUAAAUACAACUAUAUGGAUUAUUUACAAAUGCACGCCAUUUACUCUUGGGUGGUGCUAUCUAUACACCCAUUUUAACCUGUUACACAUCACUCUCAAUUUUUGGCCGUCAGAUCAUGUCAAUGGUAGAAGAUCAAUGUACAAAGAUUAACAAUGGUAUGUGGGAAGUAAAAUGAGUUGUGUAAAUAUCAUUACCCUUACUCUUUCAUACAAUUAGCGUAAUGCAGAAUAGUCAAUGAACCCAUGUAGAAGAUUUAAUGAGUUCAAUUGUUCAAUGAACCAAAUUAACUAACACUCCCCCUCAAGUUUUAAAUUAUGUCGAAUAAAAGUUUAAGUGCUCAAAACUUACUUUUACCUGACAAAAUGAUUUCAUCUCAAAAGGUGUUUUCUUAUAGUGAUAUCAAUUAACUCCAUGACAAUAAUCUUUUGAAUUUUUUAGUUUUGCACUCUUAGCUAUGUAUGGAGGUACACAGUGACAUAACUAUUUGUAGACUAGCAUCAAUAUAAAAUUAUUCCGCAAUAUAAUUUCUAAAAAGUGAUAGAGACGAGUGUAACGGGGAUAAUUGCAUCGCAUUUCUUCUACAUGCGUAAGAAGAGAUGCUCGUGACUAAUUGAUUCAUGAGUUAACUUUUGAAGUCGUCUUCAAUGUUUGAAAUGGCGUGAAAUCAGAAGUUAACAAAAUGAGCAGCACCAUACAAGAAACAAGGCUCGAUAACGCAGCACAAGAGUAGAAAGAUUACAAAUAUAAAUCCUUGAAGAACCAAAGUUUUUGAAACCCACCAGUUUGAUAGAAACUCUAGAGGAUAAUUUGAUUAAUUGAUCAGUUGAUGAUUACAAUGGAUAACACCCAUGAUUUAAAUAAGUCAUUUACAACACUUUUGGACAACUAAAAAGGUUUAGGGAAUUAAAACGAAAGUAAAUGACAAUAAUUGAACGACAAUUAAAAGUCCGAAACUUAUUACAAACUUUAUUUUUGCGGUUUUGGAAGCCUAAUUCCUCUUAAACACGACGGGCUCAUGAUAUCAUUCAUCUUGUUGUGCUCGAGAUUCUCUUCAAAACAACAUAUUAUACACCUAAUUAUGAAACUGGAUAUUUCUUGCUGCUUUUUCUAUCACCAUAUUUAUUAAAUCCAAUAUUUCCAACUUUAGUACUUGUUACACCUCACCCCCAAUUAUAUGUAUAAUUUCGUAAGUUCCCUAACAUUUUAAUGAAACUUCAUUUUGGUCCCCUAUUUUGAGUAAAUCUGGACCCUUUAAUGAAACUUCAUUUUGUACUUACCUAGUGGUCCUUUCCGCUACAGGACAUAGGGAUAGAUUCCGGUCCGUCCAGGACGACGGUUUGGUGUUGGCAUAGGGCCUGGAGCGUGUUUCCUCUGGCUAUUAGCACAAGGACGGAGAGCCGGCAUUGGACUUGAAGUGUAUUUUCCUCUGACUGUCUGCUUAGAGACGGAGAGCCGGCAUGGGGCCUGGAAGAGACAAUACUUCGACUUGAAGUUGAGGCCCCGACCAUGGGGAAACCUCCCCCAACUACAUAUGUCUCUAGGAAGUGUAGGUAUUGUUGUUGACAUCAAAUAGGAGAGAAACGCCAUCCAUUAGUCUUACUUGGUUGAUAUGACUCUUCGAUACUUGGUUGACACGAUUCUUCUACACUUAAUGGGUUUCUGUUGAAGAAGUUGAGGUUCCACCAUAAUAUCCCAAUGGCCACAUGCGCUCCACGUUGCCCCGUUGUUUGUUCACAUGUUAGGCUUGAAAAUGCUUCCGCAAAAAACAGAAAGAAAAAAAAAAGAGGUUAAUUUUUGCAUAUAUGUAACACAUUUAUAGUUGAUCUCAUGAGUUCCUUCCGUAAGGGUUUAUGAUAUUUGUAUUGACACUCUAGUAAGUAGACCUGGCAUUCGUGUCGUGUUUCUCGUGUUCGUGUCAUACCCGAUAGCUUAACGGGUUGUGUCAUGUAAUACCCGUUAAAGUAAACUGGUAAUAUAACCCGACCCAAAAUUAACCUGUUAAUAUUAUCGGGUAAUAUGACCCGACCCGUUACCCGUUAAGAAAAAUAUAUUUUAAAUCAAUAAAAAUGAAAAUGAAAAACAUAAUUUGACCAAAAAAAAUGUAAAACAUAGUACUAAAUUAGUAUAUACAUACUAAAUUUCGGAGUUGACCCAUUCGUGAAAGUUAUAAAGCUUUUCAUUACGAGUGAUUACAUUUUUCACACUUCUACAAUAAUUAUUAUUAAUUUUGCACUCAAAUAAAAAACAUUGUUCAUGAGAUUUGGAGGGUUUUAAAAAUCUAAACGACCAUGUUACCAUCGUCUAAGCGUUGAGGAUGCAAUUAGGAACAUUUAUUAUGCUUUCACAUCUUUCAGACUUAUACAUUAAUGAUUAUGAAUUUUGCUUAUUUUGAACCCCCUUAAAAAUAUUAUUCAUGAGAGUUUGUAUGGUUUUAAAAUUUCACACGAUCAUAUACCCAUCCUCAAAGCGUAGAGGAUGCGACUACGAGCGUUUGCAUAUUUUUUGCACAUGUAAAUUAAUUAUUAUAAUUUUUUUAAUGUGUUUGGUAUUUUUUUACUUGAUAUUUUUAUUUUUAAUGUGUUUUAUGAUUUUUAAUCUUAAUCUUUGCCUAUAAUAUACUAUAAAAAUAAAUAAAUAAAUAAAACUUCAAUUUUAAAAUUUAUAUUGAAUAAUAAUUAAUAAACAAUAUAUACAUAUUCAUUAUAUCUAUUGUAUUUUAUAGUAAGUUUUUUUUAGUAGUUUAAAAAAUUAAAAUCAUCAAAAUAACUUUUUUUCGUAUCGUGUCGAAACAGGUUAUCCGCGUGUCACUCUCGUGUAAACCUGUUAAGGACCCAUUAUUAACGGGUUAUUAUCAUGUGACCCGAUAAUGACCCAAUUAGUUAUCGUUUUGACCCGAAACCUGUUAUUUUCGUGUCAUUUACGUAUUGUGUUAACGGGUCGUGUAAGAAAUUGCUAGGUCUACUUGUAAGGUUUUAUCAUAUUUAUAUGGCUAAUUGCAAGACUUAUCAACUCUGCAUUUGGGUACUUCUAUAUGUGUUGGACCUACACGCUUGAAAUAUUGAUUCAAAAAUGUGUAAUUUGUAUUGGAAUGCAAAAUUAAACAAAAAAAAAACAAAUGUUAACGGGUGACUCAUGAGCUUAACAGGUUGAGUUUGGAUGACUCAUUAGCUUAACGAGUUAGGUGCGCGUGACUCAUUAGCUUAACGGGUCAGGUGAAACAUAACUCAAACCCAAUAAACUCAACUCGUUUACAGGUUACCAACAGAUAGUAAAGGGGAUGAAAGUUUCGUACUCGUACCAUCAAAUUAAAGCAUUAGACUCAUCAGUUUCAAUUCCUGCACUGGCUUGAAGUGGGAUGGAUUUAAGGCCCGAAACUUUUAUUCGAUACCCAAUUUCUUCUUCAUUUUAGGACUUUCAAACUCCUAACAUAUAUUAUGUCAAGAGUGCGGGUGUAGCGAAAUUUAUCAUGUUGGAUUUAGUCUAUGUUGCAUUUUUUAAACUGCAAGUUCUGUUCUCAUCAGAAAGUAAUAUCUCAUUAACUCAAGAGAAAGUAAGGAAGAGGGGAAAUACUUCGACUUGAAGUUGAGGCCCCAACCAAAGGAGAGAUUUUUCAGUAUGACCAGUAUACGGGGUGAUACACCAUGUGUCACUAUAUAAAUGGUGGGAUAUGUGUGCUAAAAAGUUAAUAACUUAAAAAAUAAAAUUUCACACCACUACUAUUAAAACACGUGGUGUACAACUUGUGUUCCUGUCAUAAUGAAAAUUUUCUCCAACCAUAAGAAAAUAGUAGAAAAACGUAUUUGGCUCAAUUUUACUUUUCAUUCAUUCUCAAAUGUACAAUAUAUAUAUAUAUAUAUAGUAAAUAAAAAUAUAUGGAUUAAUUAUAAAUACACACCAUUUACUCCUUUAUACAAUGAGCCUAAUGCAAAAACGUCAAUGAACCCAUGUAGAAGAUUUAAUGAGCCUAAUUGUUCAAUGAACCUAAUUAACUAACACUCCCUCUCAAUUUAGAGAGUGAAGAUCCCGAACUCCCAACUUGCAUUUCAUAGUCAAAUAUUUUAAAUUUCGGGUAAAAGCUUAAGCGCUGAAAACUUACUUUUACCUGAUGAAAUGGUUUCCUCUAAAAAGGUGUUUUCUUGUAGUGAUACCAAGUAACUCCAUAACAAUAAUCUUUUGAAUUUUUGCACUCUUAGCUAUCUAUGGAAGUACAAAGUGACACAACUAUUUAUAGACGAGUAAUGCUAUGGAGACUAAAUUUGUAGAUAAAGUUUUGAAAACUAAAGGACAUGGAAACUGAUGGUUGUUUUAUUACUUAAACGUUGAUAAACGUGCUUAUUCCUAUUGGAGACACGUCAUUUAUAUUGCAAAUUUAGUUUUCAAAUUUAAUCUCUCUAGCAUUACCCUUUAUAGAUUGGCAUCAAUAUAAAAUUAUUCCGCAAUAUAAUUUCUAAAAAGUGAUAGAGACAGGUGUAACAGGGACAAGUGCAUCGCAUUUCUUCUACAUGCGUAAGAAGAGAUGCUCUUGACUAAUUGAUACAUGAGUUAACUUUUGAAGUCAUCUUCAACUUUUGAAAUUGCGUGAAUCAGAAGUUAGAAAAAUGAGCAGCACCAUACAAGAACACAAGGCUUGAUGAUGCAACACAUUUUCAUACCAUUUUUUUUUUGGUUUUAGAAAUGCUAUUUAUACCAUAUUUUUGUACCAUAUUUUCAUACCACCUUAGGUGGCAUUUGAUGUGGAUAACCACAUCAUUUGAAUUAAUCAGAUUUUUAAAUUUAGUUCAUUCUUUAACAAACUAAUAAUUAAGAAAAACUAGUUAAUUAAAUAAUGAUUGUCGUAUUCCUCGUAUUUCUCCUUCCUUUCCUUGAGUUUUGCAAAUUUUUCAAAUGAUGUAGCUGUCCACAUCAAAUGCCACCUAAGGUGGUAUAGAAAUAUGGUACAAAAACAUGGUACGAAUAGCAUUACUCGGAUUAAAAAUAUAUAAAUCCUUGAAGAACCAAAGUUUUUGGAACCCACCAGUUUGAGAGACACUCUAAAGGUUAAUUUGAUUAAUUGAUGAGUUGAAGAUUACAAUCGAUGACAUCCAUGACUUAAAUAAGUCAUUUACAACACUUCUGGACAACUCAAAAGGCUUAGAGAAUUAAAACAAAAGUAAAUGGCAUUAAUCAGACGACAAUUGAAAAGUUCGAAACUUAUUACAAACUUUAUUUUUAAGUUUUGGAAGCUUAAUCCCUCUUAAACACGAUGGGCUCAUGAUAUCAUUCCUCUUGUUCUACUCGCGAUUCUCUUUAAAACGACAUAUUACAAGCCUAACUAUGACACCAGAAUAUUUCUUGCUGCCUUUUCUGUUGCCAUAUUUAUUUAAUCCAAUAUUUUCCAAUUUUAAUUCUUCUUCUCCUAAUUUGAAACAUUUUAUUUUAUUUAUAUUUCUUCAUACGAAGUGACUCAUAUCUUGCCUUACAUCACUUGACUUGACUUCAACCAUCUGAUCUUCGACCUCAAGAUCCAGACUAAUGGUUGGAGAGCAAGUGUGUAAAAAAUAAAUAAAUGAAAGGAAGAGAAAAAGAAGUACAAACUGAUUACAAAACUUUGCCAAAAUUGCUACACAACACAAAGUGACUACAUCAUACCAAACUUUACUCCAGCCAAGUUAAAUGAUGUAUUUAUAAAGAUCCAAUUCUUAACAAACAUGAAAGCAAUCGAAAACCCUCCUAAAUAAUACGAAAGUAAUCUAAGAUCAUGUGGCACAGAAGGAUUUAAGAGUACUGUAGAACCUUUUUUUUUUUUUUUUUUUUUUUUUUUUUUAAAGGAAGAGAAAGGUGAAGGAGCAACCCCGGGAUAGGGAGCCCAAAGUGGGCUGAAAAUCCAGCAGCACCCCUUCGGCUCCAGCACCCUAGUAUAACCUAUCCCCGUCUGGGCGCAAGCUACAAGGUUUUAAUUCGACCGGUGGAGUGGAUACUGGUCUAUGUGUGGAACUUGUGCUUUGGUUUUGGUCUAUGUUGAUUUUUUCAAACUGCAAGUUCUUUUCUCAUCAGAAAAGAAAUAUCACGGUAACUCAUUAACUCAAGGGAAAGCAAGGAAGAGGCCCCAACCAUGGGGAAACCUCCUCCAACUACAUAUGUCUCUAGGAAGUGUACAUAUUCUUGAACUUCGACCUUUAACAUUCGCAUAAUAGUUGGAUAAUAGUCGCUCUCAUGCUUGCCCCUAAAAUACUAUUGUUGAUCUAGUGCAGUUGCAAAUAUUUAAUUGUGUUUGGUUUUAUCUAUUUUGUAGGUACUCUGAGCUCAUAUAAGUAAACAUUUGUCCAAAGAAAGGUUGAUUAGCAGAUUGUAACUCAAGUAAUUAAUAACAUUCAUUCCAUCCAUCUCAAUAUCAAUGGUACAUAUAUAAAUAUAUAAAUAAAUAAAGUUGACCUGUUCCAUCUGAUCUUUGAUGGUAUGCAUCAUGUUCUGAAACAUACAGUACAGUCCAUUAAAAAUGAAGAUCAAUGGUUUGGAGAGCUCCAAGAUAUGUGGCCAAGUGUUAAAAACUCCAAAUUGACUAUCCUGUCUUCUAAAGUCACGUCAAGAAGUGUUGAUUUAGAGAGCUCCAAGAUUUGUGGCCAAGUGCUAAAAACUCCAAAUUGACUAGGCUAUCUUCCAAAGUCACGUUAAGAAGUCUUGAUCAUUAAUGACAUGCAACAACAUAUUAUUCGCAAUAAAUUUCCUUGACAAAUAUUGAAAAAUGGAAUCAUCAACAAUUCGGUUUUCCAUUGACAAAUAUUAAAAAAAUGUUGACUAAUGAAAAAAGUUGAGAAAGUUACGCAUCCAAUUCCUCGAACAAGCUUCUGGAACGUAGACUUCAGCAGUGAUAUCGUAUAGAGGUCGACAAGGUUGUCUAGGUCGGAUUACUUGACUUCAAUCUUCUGAUGCUUAUGCUUAUGUAGACACAAUAUUCUUGGUGUUGACUUUUAGGAUGCCUUAUGAUCUGGUCGAUACAUAUGGCGUUCUCUUCAUGGAUCAUUGUUAAGACUCAACGAUGGAUGAAAAUCGUAGUGACUUUAAAUAUGCUCAACAAGAGUUCUCGACCAUAUCUCACGUUAGAUACGGUGGGUUUUGGAACAACUCGAAGAUUUUGAAACUAAGGUCUAUCUAGUUGACCUCUAAGAUUUUGCAGUGUUCCUUAACAGUAAAGACAUAAACAUUUAGGAAUGUACCUUGUGCAGAUCAGAUAGAGAGUCUAACUCAGUGAAUCCCACAAGGUAUGCCUCAUUCCGAAGAUCAAUAAGGUGUGAUCUAUUCUGAGAUGCAUAGGAAUAGAGUAACCCCAAAUCUGUAUUAACGGAAAAAUGUCGAUAACACCAAUUUGGUGAUGGCGUGUAGGCAGUGCUGCUUUAUGUCAAAUGAUUAUUAGCACUUGAGAUGUCCGAUCUAGUGCUAUGAGCUAAGUACAAUAAACGCUAAUUGCACUCAAAUAUGGCGUCGCAUGUCUUGAUAUGGAACCUUAUGUAAUAUCAUUAGAACUAUACUCGAAACUUCUGGUCAAGGUAGUGUAGAGUUUUCCCAAGAUUAUUCAUCUCAAAGUCCGACUUUAGGUGCGAGUCAGUUUUCUGCAACUCUAACAAUUUUGGAUUAUGUACACAUAAUGACAUUAUCCCUAACUGAUCAAUUAUUCAUUAAGAUGGGUAUACCACAUCUGCCCAAAUUGUUCUGCAUCCGUAAAGUGAAAGCCUCAUCUAAACCCAGAGGGUGUUCUGUGGUCUAGAACUAUUUGAAUAAAUACAUGUAAGUUCUUCAGAAACUUCCAUGUAUAUUUCGUAUCAUGAUCCCAUAAGGUAGCUUUUUAUUGCACUAUUUCAUUCAUCUCAUUCGACGUUGAUUGUUUAUUUCUAAUUGACCAAUCAGUUCUACGUUGUUAGUAAUCAACAGAACGCAAUUCGAUAUCGUCACUUUUCCUUUAUGUCUGUAGCUACCAUAUAACUGAAACAUCAUCCAUGAUAAUCUCAUUCCAAUUCCAUAUGUCAUCCAAACUAGUAUAUUGGAUUAAGAUGUCACGUCUCGAUCCCAACAUACGUCGAGAAUCCACACGUGAGCAGGAAAAUAACGUUCGUUGAAUACGGUAUAAGUUACGGAAUGAAAUACUUUAACUGAUAACCCAAAAUAAUGUGAAGGUGGCUAAAUUCUCCACAAAAUAUUUACAAAUAUUUACAUCCCAAAAAGAAGCAUAAUCUUUGCUUUACUAAGAACAAGUAUGAGGUGCUCAAAAGAAAGUCCCAAAAGAUAAAGUACAAGAGUGAAUCAAGGGUAACCUAACGCUCCAAGUCUCUGAUAACUGCACUGCUACCCCCACCUACAAACUUCUUAGAGUCUACUUAAACCUGUCACUUGUACGAUCAGUGCCUACACCAUCGAAAUGGUGCACCAGGCAAACAACAACCUGGAUAAGUUGUGAAGCUUAUGAGAGUGACAAUAAUAUCAAGUAUGUGAGAAUAAUGCUAAUGCCAACCAUCAAACACAGUUUACAUAUCUUGAAUAUAAAUCAUUCAUAAGAAAUCAAUACCAACUUUUGUAAACCCCGAAGGAGUCACCCAGACAUCCAACGGUUCGUCUGAAACCAAUCACAACAUCUCACAACCAUCUUCUCAUACAACACAAUGAAAAGUAGAGUUAGAGCGACACAGUUUGGCCGAAGCCUACACCUUUGAAGAUAUCUCAAUUCAAAUUCAAUAAAUCCCAAGGUGAGUACGAUCCCGGACCUUCACUCAACGAAAUCGUGAAAUAUGAGGGAUUCCGGACAAUCUCUCAACGGAAUCCAAGUGGAUACAAUUUCGGACCCUCACUCAACGGAAUCGCUAAGUACGAUACAUAACAAUAACUAAAUGAAACCCAAAUUAGAUACGAUUCUGGAACAUCACUCAACGGAAUCAUGAAAUAAAAGGGAUUCCGGACCAUCUCUCAACGGAAUCCGAGUGGAUACGAUUCCGAACCAUCACUCAACGGAAUCGCAGAAGACCAACAACCAGAAUGUACGACGGCUCAAAGAAAUGAGACAAGCACAUGCUACUUAAUUUACAAAAACUCAACAAAGGGAGAUUAGGCACAAUUACUAAAUUUAGAACCAAUCACCACAGCGGAAGGUGAAACAAUAUCGAAGCAACAAAUCCCCAUCAUAAUGGUUAACGGUCCAUUACUAGUCCUCACAUUAAUCUCAACAUGCCAAUCAUACAAAUCAAACCACAUUUCCAAUAUACAUGCCACACCCUAUUUCAUAAACAUAAAUUGAUGUCGAAGUAUUGGAAUAACAAUUCAAUAGAACAUAUUCAUAAAACCAAUUCAUAUCCACACAUGAUCAUAAUUAUGACAACCUGAUAAUUACCAAUAUCACAUAUAUUAAAGUCACUUACCUGGAGUCCGUGCUAAUGUACCCUAGCACGAUAGUCAAUGCAUCACGUUCUAUCACCGCCUAACAAAGCACAAGUCCACAUUUAGAUUUCCUUCGAUAAUUCACAUACUCAAAAAUUCUCAUAUGUCUCCCACAACAACAUUUAAUGAGGAAUCAAACCGUCGUUCUAAUGUAGGGUCCAUGAUCUUACGUCAUUUGCUUCGUAAAAUCCAAUCACUAGAUUUUCACUUAUAAGUCCCUAAGGUCCUUAAACAAUAUCUACAAUAGCAUACUAAAAUUUGGUGUCGAUUCAGUGAUAAGAUCGUCAAUUGUUAGAAUAAUCAAGUGGCAGACCUUAUCGAUAAUAUAUACAAUCAAUAGCAUUUUCAUAAAUCGAAUGUCACACACCGGAAAAUUUGAUUUUCUCCAAAAAUUCUCAAAUUUUAUAGGAAUAAAGAUUUCAACAAGUAGAGUAAACUUUAUACCUGUGGCUGAGUCCAAUUUGGCCUGGAAGGCCCUCAAAUUGGCUCGCACCCAACAAACCCUAAGGUAGGUGUUCUUCAAUUGGCUCCCUUGGUGUUCCAACGUCCCAACCACCAGUUGGGUCUUGUUCCUGGGUCCAAGGGAAGUUGAUCAAGGGUGAUGGUUAAUGGUGAUACUAUUCGGAACGACAAUUCGUCGUCGAAAACCCCUGGGUUCUUCGAUGGAGUUCUACCCGAAUUAGACCUUAAAAUCCUUGAUUUUAUUUGGUGGAGAUGGAAGGAAGAAGAUAGUUGAGCAAGUUGCAAGUGAAGGAGAUAGGAAAAUCAACUGGGAAAUGGAGGAAUUGGCCUGAAAUUGGCCUGUUUGAAUUUGGCUGGUGGACCUCACGAUUUCAUGAAAUAGGGAGGAAGAAAGUGGCCUUUCCUUUUUCUUUUCCAAAUGGGUCCUUUCAUACCCUUUAAAAAUCUGAUAGGUCCCCACUUUUCUAUUUUUUUUCUUUACUAACUUAACCUUUAACCCAUGCUUCCCACAAUCUAUAGUUCACAACUUCAAACGUUCGUAACUAUACCGUUAUAAUUCAGACUCGCAAACGGCUUUCGCCUAUGCGUUCGUGGAUUCAAGAUCUAUUUAAAAACACUAGUUGUAACUUUGAAAUAUCAACGAAAGAUAAAGAUUGAUUAUGAAACUUCCAACUUGACAACUAAUCAAUUACUAAACUUAUAAUUAGUGGAAUUAAAAUUAACUAAUAAAGAUAAUGUAAUCGCAAAAUACGAAUUUAAAUUACGAAACACGAAAUAAAUGGUGAAAUUCUGGGGAUGGGAUUUCACAUAAGAACUUCAGGUUUUGGGUGUAAUCCGGAUUUAAUCUCAUGAGAUGUUGAGGGAGAGAUUCAUUUGUGCAUGUUCCUCCACUUUUAGGGAGGUGCAUCCUUCAACAUCUAAAACUUAGAAAUACAAGAUUGAUAGGUUUUGAGAAGAAGAAUUUUACCUCCGAACGCUCAGCCCAAGGAGAAUAAAGAUGCAUAGGUCAUGCUAGAGGUGAAGAAAGCUCGGUUUAAGAAGUCCCUUCAAGUUUGGAAGCCUGUUUUGGAAAGCAACAAAAACUAGCUAAGUGCAAGAGGGGUGAACUUCAUAUAAUACUCAAAGUUCAAAAAAGGUUACCUUCAACUCCUCCAGAAUCUUGGCUAUGACCUCUUUGUCACUUUGCUGCCCUUCUACACCUACCUGUAUCUUCUGAGGGGAAGGAUCAAGCUUCUUGCUGAUAAUAGGUCCUAGUUACAAGAAAUGAUAAGAUUAGCUCAAAGAAUCAAAGAAAUGGACUGAGAUUGCUUGUCUAAAUCCCAGCUGUCUACCACAGAAGUUGGGGUGGUAAACCUUCAUCCUACUUUCACAGCCCACUCAGUCGCUCCGUACUCCCUAAGUCAAAUCCCUCUACCAGAUGAAGCAAACGAAUUUCUCCUUGCAGAAGCUGUUGGCAUCCUCCCCAAAUGAAUCCUAGAAGAAGUUGUCCGAGAACUAAGGGUAUAUCUUGAGUACUGAAGCACCUUCCAGAUCAGUCCGAGUCUUACAAAUUCUAAAGAAAUAAAGGCAAGCUAAGGUAAAGUGAUUGGUGGUGGGAGCCUCUGCCAGAAUUUGAGCUGAAGCUACUCCCUCUGGAAACUCUAGGUUAGCAGACCGAAACUCCGAGAAGUACCAUUGAAGCGAGAGCUUCACCAUCCAGGUAGCUUCGUUGACAUUAGUCUUGAAUGGCUGGUCCCUUGUCAUCUCAUAAAGAAGAUGAUAGAGAUGUGCCAGAAAAUGACCGAUGGCAACAUUAUCGAAGGAAUACAGCGCCUCCACCAAAGGGAUCCAUUCCAACUUCACUCUUUUAGAUUUGUUUGGGAACACAUGUUUAUUCAACCAAUAGAGGAGAAAGUACAUGUGCUCCUAAGCUGGAUCAGAGGUGGGAGAAGGCUGGUUGAACAUCUUCUUGGCAAAAGGAAUGAAGCCCGCGAAAGAAGUCGCAUAGCUCUUGAAGGUAGUGAGGUUAUACUCCAAGCUAGUGAUCGACUGAGAAGCCUCUAAACCUUCAGCAGCAGGGCAUGAGGGUGAAGACCAAUAAUAUGUAAUGUCUACACACUUGCCUGAUGGCCUCAAACCAAAGACCUGAGCCAUAUCCAGAAUGGUGAGAGUUAAGGGGCCCACUCUGAAAUUAAAGGUAUUAGUCCCUGUGUUCCAGAAUAGAAGAGCUGUUGAGAUAAGCUCAUUCUUCCUCGAAGAAAAUGGACAGGUUGAGGCCAGCCUAAGGGCAAUGAAUGCCGUUGACCUGAGGGCAAUGAAGGUCGUUGAGCCGACGGGAGUCAUUGUUGAAUUCAAGAGAAAUGAGUGAAAGAGUGACUGGAAAUUGAGGUAAGAGAAGGCUGAGAAUGCAAGAGAUUUGGGAGCUUAGGGAGUCAAGUUUGCUGAAUGAGGUGGCCGAGAAAAGUGAAAUGGAAGUUAUUUAACGGGCAAGUAGUUAACUUUGAAAAUCAUGGGUUAGUGCAAAGAUUUGUUUGAAACGGCUAAUUAAGUGGUGCUAAUACCCAGUUCCGGCAAGCAAUUAAUUUUAAUCAUUAUCAAUGUCUUGAUUAGCAGACUUAACAAUAAUUAAAAGGGGCACUGUUUGAGUAGACAUUUAAUGCUGGGCUUAGUGAGAGUGGAGGCCCAAGAACACAAAAAGCAAGGGGAGGAUUAGGCUCGAACAAAUCGACAGCCCAGGAAGAAUUGAAAAUCAUUUUUGCCAAAAGUACUUUUCGUGGGAAUGGAUAGGUAAAUAAAUGGUGACUCACCAUGUUCCGGAGGCCAUCACCAAAAGUUAAGGCUUAGACAUUAGGGCUAAAGAGUCUAUAAAAGCAGCAAGGAACACAAGGGAUAGUGACACUCAACCAAUCAAUCAAAAGACAUCCAACUUUGCUCUUAGACAAGCAAGAAACCAGAAAGCUUUAGUUUGUCCAGACUCUACUCUUUUAGUCAUAGAUCCACCAUAGAAAGCCAUCUUUUGUCAAGUUUUAGAAGCUCUGCUACUUUUUCCCAGUAUUGUAGUAUCUAAUCCCUUUAGUAAACCCGAUUUACAUCUCAUUCUCUCAAGAUUACAACCCCUGUAAAACACAAAGAGAAGUGGUUGUAAGAAAAUGAACCUUGCCAGGCAAGGUUAUAAGCUUGCCCGAAUCUCUUUCGUUUGUACUUACAUAAAGUAUAUUUGUUGUUUAAUAUAUCUUCCAUUGUGUCUUAAAUCAUUUUGAACUGCUUUUCGUUCAAAGUUUCAUCUAUGAUUAAUUUGGCUACACUAAUUAACCUUGCUUCUUUAGUGUUAACUGUAAUCAAAGAAAUGGUUGGAAGGGUCCUGAACUCCAUUUAUCUGGACAUAUAAUAUUAUAAGUAAAAGUUCUUGUUUAAAAGGCAAGAAAAAGAAUUAUAUACAGACUUAACCCAUUUGUAACAAUCCAAUAGAAUUAAGAAGUUUAAGUAACUUAUGGCGCAAGUAAUCAACCCAUUUCAUAACCAAAAAAAAGAACAAUCUGUUAUACAAAGAUACGUUCAUAUCCAUAUUAGUUUUGAUUGUGAGCCUCAAAGUCUAACGAAUGCCCCACAAAGGCACCAUUUAAACUAAUUGCAAACUCAUAUUGCAGCACACCAAGCAGCAAACCUUAGCCGACAAGCAAGACCCCUGGAAGUUAUGCGAGGGACAUAUCUAGCCCAAACAAGUGUGACACUAGUUUAGCUGCACCAAGCCAGUGGGAUCUUGUUUCCGACAAGCGGAUGACGGAGGAGGAACAGCCGCUUCAGGUGGCAAGAUGUACUAAGGUAAUCAAUCCAAAUUCUGAAGUGCUAAAUUCAUUCCUUGAUGCAAUGAACAAAGUCGUUAUGGGGAACAAGAAGUUUAGUGCAAUGCCUAAACAUAUGGUUUACAAUUUAUAUUUGACUAUAGAACUUCAUGUACAUUAGAACCUCGAUAAUUUAAAAUAUCCGAUAAAACAAUAAGGCUGAUUAAAUAAUAUUUUUGGAUGGUUCAAACUUGGAGAUAAUGUGCUAAAUUAAUAAUUCGCUAAAUAUCAAAGAGAAUAUAUAAUGAAAAUUUUAUAUAAGUCCCACGUCAUAUAUAAAUUAAUGAUUUCUUGAUUUCUUUACACCUUUGAGAUUAGAAACCAUUGUUCUAUGUAUGAUGUGUUACUAUGACUUAUGGGAGAAAUAAGAAAGCUCAUGAAUUGUACUUCCUUAAACAAAUGUAUAGAAUUGUUAAUUCGUAAAUCAAGAAACUAAAUAAAAUGUACAAUAUUUGAGUAAAUAAGAAGGAAUAUUAUAUGAUUGAUAAAUUAAUAAUUUUUUUAAUUUGUCAAUUAUUUAACAUUUGCUAAAGUAAUAGAUUUUCUUUGGUCCCAAGGUUACUAAUUUAUGGAGGUUUAACUGUAUGUUUUUGUUACGACAGUUUCAAUUUUGUUUGUUUAUCUAUGUUUUUUUUGUUAUUUAGUUUCUAUUCUUUCUGUUAAAUGAUUUGUGAGCCUAUUACAAAAACACGAAAAGAAAAAAUGAUUUGUGUGCCUAGCGUAAAUUUCAAAAUGAUGACGUAAAUGUAACACUCACUAAAAUAACGAACAAUUUUCAUACGAUUCCAUAUCCAUCCACCCUUCUAAAAUACACAAAAAAUAUACAGACCUCCACCACAAGGUACUGAAAAAUCUCAACCAAGGUUGGAGUAUAAUCAUGUGAACUAUUAUAAUUCUUUACUUUUUUGGGACAAACAAUAGAGUAGUGUACGUACACUAAACUCACUUAAAUUACAGGGAAGGAGAUUGAAAUACGAGACCUCGAGUGCAAGGACGAAUGUUCUUAACCAAGUCAGCCACAAGCCACUUACAAUCUAUAAUAAUUAUUUUCAAUUUCAUAUUUUUAGCAAAGCAAAGUAAUUUGGAUUGCUUUGAAUGUUUUACUCAGAUCAAAAAUUUACAAAUUUUGAACGCCGCAUUGCAUUUAUAAAUUUAUUAACCAUAGCUAGCAUUGUUGGAAAUGCUUUAAAAAAUGGGUGUUUAAAAAUUAUUUCCUCAAGGUAUGCUUUAACGGCGUUUAAUCGGUUUCAGUGAUUGCAUUCGAGUGCUACAGAGCAAGCGUAAUACUACGUAUAACAUUAAAGAAAGAAGUAGAGCCCUAGUAUCUGAAUAUCCAUCCAUAAAGCAUGUUAUAGCCGCACCAACAAAUGUUGUUUCAUUAUUCAUUCAUGUCAACUCAAUUGGAAUAGCAAGGGAUUUAAGACGAGCUAAACUAAAAAUGAACUAUGCGCAGAAAGCGAAAAAUAAGAAUGUUUAUUACCAGAGACAUUGUGGUCUCCGAAAAGGAGAUAUCAACAGACCUGGGAAAGAAGGCAACUUGAACUUGCCUAAAUAAUCGUCGUCUCCAACUCUCAACUCUUAUAUAUAGGAUGCCGUCUCCUGCAAUUCCAAGUCAAACAGUGGAACGAAGGGAAAUCAUAUUGAUCACUCGAACCAAAGGUACAAAUAUCACCGAUAAUAGUUUCGGCAGCCAUGUAUUUGCAAAUAAAAAUCAUAACUAAGAAAAUGAGGUGGUUAUAUUACCUCUUUGGUCGACUACGGUCUUCCUCAUAGUCCAUCACUCCUCCAGGUUCGGAGUAGAUCUCCUCAUGCCCCCGGAAGUCAACGUCGGCCUGCUUACAGUGGGGAACUUCUGCCACAAUGUAAGUAAAGACACAUCGACCAACAUAUCCCAAUAACUAAACAAAAGAUUAAUAAAAAAUUAUGUGUUUCGUGUGUGGAGUGGGACUAAAGAACUCGUUCAUCUAUGAUUAUGUAUAGCUUCAGAAUAGCUCAUCAAAAAGGCGCUGAUGUGCACAUUUGUGGCAGAGAAAUACAUCAACGAAAAUAAAAUCAUAAUAUCGUGUUUUACCAUCCCAUGCCAUAUGUUCAAAUCAUCAAAAUGGAUCCCGUUCACUUUAUUAGGAAGGAUUACUUGCAGAAGCAAUACAAAAAAUACAACAGGAUUAAACUGACCUUGAUGGAAAUCGACUUCUUUACUUCUUCCACCCUAUUUCCAACUUCUUUCUUGUGUUCCUUGGCCACUUCAGUCAUAGUAUCAGCCCACUUCAUCUUUUCUUGAAUUGAGAUAAGAAGAUUGCUUGAGGUAUCCAACCUACGUUUUCAUUCACACAAAAUUUAGGCAAUACCAUCAGAUUUAUAUCUCAAAAAGAAACUUGAGAAGUCAUUAACUUAGAAGCAAAAUAUCACAAAGUCAGCAUACUGGAUAAAACACGAGAAUGCAUUACUACGAAAAACAUGGAACCACUUUUUUUAAUGUGGAGAUAGUUAAUAAACUCUACCACAUGAAACAAUUUCAUUAAAUUGGUAAUAGAUGCUCCAUAGCAUUUGAUUGCACACAACUAAGAGUCAGGAAACUUUUAUGCAAUCAAGGUCAGACAUGAAUGUUUUCAGAUCAUAAUGCACAUAUUUAGGACCAAAUUCUAAAUAAGAAGUUCCAUCUAUGCAUACUGAACAUACAACCCAACAGAGAAACUGCAUCAGAGACGUUACCAGUUUGACAGUGUUUGAAUCAUACUCCCAAGUUGUCCAGGUCUCGGAUCUCUCCCUGCAGCAAACUGGAGCUGCAUUUUACAAGAAAUAAUUGAUUCGAUAUUUCUUAUAAGGAAAUAAACAAAGAGCAACGAGAAAAGGCAAGCGAAAACAAGUAAAACAACACAAAAAUUAAAAAUAAUUUGAAGCAAAGGCAGCAGUAAUAAACACAAACCUCAAAGCAUUUUUGCAGCUGGUCCAGCUUUCCUCUUAUUAUGCCCUAAGAGAAAACAUGACAUCUCCUUCAUGUUUUCUCUAUCCACUUAACUAUGUUACACAGAUACAAAUACAUGAUAAAUUACUAUAUAACAAGGUUGGGAUAAUAAAAUAGUAUAUAUCACAUUACACAUAUAUGUGCAAAAGUAAUCUACGUAAGAGAGUCAGAAGUGAGUUGUAAUUUAAAAGUACCAAUACAUUUUUAAGGAAAAGAUUCACACAAAAAAAUACCCUUGUGCAUCUGGAUGCGUAUGUACACAACACAUGUCGCACUAUAUCCAAAAUGUCAAUGAAUACUGCAAAUCUGUAUCUGAUAACUGUUGGGGUGUUAUCGGGGGUGGGGGGGGGUGUUGGGAAUCAGGGCCAUAUCCUUACAGGAUACUCACCUGCAAUAUUUGGAAUAUCGCUUCAUAGACCAAACUAACAGUAACAAUUUUCAGGUACUGUCCAAUAUUCAAAAAUAAAUUCUUACACGGGCAAGAACCGAGUCCUGCGGCCCAUGCAGAGUAAAAUUGGCGGACAGAUGGACGGGAGAAGAGUGUUUAUUUGUACUGUAUUUGAAUAACAAUUCGUUAAAGUUAUGAUUAUUCAUUCCACAACCUUCACUAAAGAAACCUUUUUGUCCAGUAAAAGAUGCAUAUUUCAAUGUAACUAGGAAAAAAUAGAGGUAGAGGGAUGAAAGAAUUAUUACCGCAUACAUGCACUCAUUAAUGAGAAAAUCCUCGAGCUCUUGUACAUUGAUAACAUCUAACUCCUGCAUAAGUUGAUGAUACGGUAGUACCUGGAAAAUAAUUCAAGAAUAUAAGAGAAAACUGAAUGCACAACACAAUAUGGGACAUCUGUGUAUAUAAAAACCGGAUAUCAACACAAUAGUGACCUAGACACCUAAUACAGGAUAUGAUGAAUCACUACUUUACAAAUACUUAAAAAGGUUCUAGAAGACUCUCUCCAUGGUCUUUUAGCACAACAAUCUCAUAAUAUGUUCAAUCAAAGGCAUCAGAUACUAAGACCUGUAAGUCCACUAUUGUUCUGAAUUUUGAUUGGAACUAAUAAGCUUCUGGCAUUCCAUAUAACUUUUCAUAUCAUCGUUUGCAGUAAAAGGCACCAUCAUCUAUUACAUUCAGAAUUCAAUUGGUAACUGCAGUCUUUCCUCCAAGUGCAACUAAAACAAAUAUCUGUCCAUAAAACUUGUCUAAAAGUGAUGAUAAUUUUUCCUCUCCUUUCAUUUUUGAUGACAUAUUUUCUGAAGCAUGGAAGACAUCAAGUACCAAAGGUGACAAGCUCCAUAUAUUCACAUUGAAAAACCAUACAGCCAUAACCAUUACUAUGCAAUCAGAGAUGUAUAUCACCAACAACUUUUCAAAGGAUUACGCAUUUAAGGAAACAUACCUUGUUUGUCUCAGCCAGUGUAAGAACAGUAAGCUGUUUCAGCUUUAAGACUUGAUCAGGGACCAAAUGUGGAAGACGACUGGCAUCACCUACAAUACAUUUCAGUUUCUUAAAUUCCAUAACAAUGCCAAAGGGAUGCUUAAUUUCUUUUUUCAUGGAAAAUAUACUCAGAAAUUUUAUGGGAAGUAGUUCUCCUGGGAAUUGACAAUAUCUCCCGAAUUUCAAAAAUGAUUGAAGUAAGGAAAAGCUUAAAUGUUAUGGAGGGAAUAAUAAAGGACAUAGUAGUAGAAUUUAAUAAAAGAUACGGCAGUUGCUUUAAAACAAAUGUGCCAGUUUACACUUCUUCUAACGAAAAUAUGUUGCUGCCUCCAUUUAUUCAUCUUAUCAGUGAAUAAGUAUAAGAAAGUAUCUUCUUUGACAUCUCCAAAGCAACAGUAAGAAAAAAAACCGGUGAUGAAGUGAUGACUCUGCAGCAGAGCUUGAUAGAAAUAUACAUGGGUCAGUUAUAUCCUCAAGCAACAUUAAUAUGACAAAAGCACCAACUGCAUUGGCACCCAAAACCCUGCCACAUGUUCUUGAUAAUGAGGCUGCGCACAAUGUUUCAUACAAUGAACCAACAGACGUUCCAAUGGUGGCUCAAAUUUUGGGUUUUUCUCCUUCUGAGUUUUGUUUUCAUGUUGCACAGGGUUUGUUGAUAGUUAAAUUUUAGGGCGUUAUUGUUCGAUUUCUUCAUCACAGAUAUGGAAGCGGAAAACAAGCAUUAAUCGAUUUGGUGCAAGAUGACCAAAGCAAUCAAACCAACAGCUAGAGAAUAACAAACCCAUUAGAAAAUCGACCAAAAGAUGAAGCGAUUUUUGCGUGCUUACUCUUGUAAUCACUCCAUGUGCCAUGUGCAAACAAUCGAAGCACAUGGAGGUACACAGAAUUUUCAGUUCCUUCAAGCUGCACAUAUUCCACAGUCAAAAAACAAAUGCGUAUGAAACAAAAUCCAGUAACAAUCAAUAAUUUUAUUUUCUCUUUGGCUGCAACAAAAUUCUGAUUAUACAUCCUUUGCUCAAACCCAGAAACUACACGACCAAAAUAUACACAGAAAACUGAAAUUCCACAAUAAAUAAAUAGAAACAUGGGAACCUGAAGAACAUUAGGGACAGCGAUAAUUUCCGAAAAGGCAAAAAGGGCAGGGUGGGAGGUGACUUCUGCAACGAGGGGGCCGAGAGCAGAGCCAUCGAGUGAUGAGGCUUGCUUCACGAAGUGAUCAAUGACCUCCUCUUGCUUUUGCUCAAUCUCCAUCUCAAAAAACAACAGAAAUUACUAAUUGCAACGAUGGAAAAAUCGAGACGAGACGGUGAAAAGUUCAGCAGUGGAAAGCUAGGGAUUUGGUGGGUUGGAAUUUCGGGGAAGAGAUUGAGGAAGGGCCCAGAGGUUUAGGGGGUCGAAAAUAACCCUAAAAUCGUCUCCAACCGAGGGCUAGGCCAGAGGGCUCUGGAAUUUGAGAGGGCCCACGGGAUCAGAGAGGGCUGGAGGGCUGGAGCGCUGGCUGCUUUCGGCCAGCCAGCCCCGGGCUGGCUAUUUUUUUUUUAUAUGAUUUCCUAUUGCUGUCGGUUAUAGCCGACAGCAUUAAAGAUAUUCUUUUUUUUUAAUAGUUCUACUAUUAGUGUCGGUUAUAACCGAUACUAAUAGUUUGAAAUGUUUUUUAAUAUAACGGCUAGUAGCCGUUGUAUUAUUAGGCCUUUUUUUUUUCUUUUUUUUUUAAUGAAUUUAAACUUUUUUUUUUUUAAUGAAUGUAAACUUCUUUUUUCCCCUUUUUUUUUUCCUUUUCAUAUGAAUCAAAUUUUGUUUCAUAUUUUUUUUCCUAUAACUUUUAUUUCACAAAAUUUGUUUCAUAUUUUUUUUCAAUUCUAUUUUUUUCGUAUAACUUCCUAGGCCAUUUAUACAACAUUAAAUUGUAGUUUUUAAAUAAUAAAUUAUGUUUGGCCCUAUGGCCCUCGGUUGGAGACGGUUUUUUGUGACAGGGCUAAAACGAGCCCUUUGGCCCUCUGGCCCUCGGUUGGAGACGGAGGCAAAUAUGGCCCUGUACUGUUCAUUAAAAUAUUAAUAUCUUGGGGAAUCUUGGAGGGCUAGAGGGCUCAAACGAGCCCUCUGGCCAGCCUUCGGUUGGAGAUGGCCUAAGGGUAGAAUGAUGCAUUGUCAGAUUCUAUUGUGGGCACCUGGCAUUCGCAUCGAGACAUCUCCAUAUCUUAACCGUAAUAUUUAUUAAAAUAAAUGAGUAAUAUAAUUUGACCGAAAUUGAUCGUUAAUAUUAAAACGUAAUAUGAAGUUACAUGUUAUAUUGAAAAAAAGGUUAAAUUAAUAAAAAAUUAAAUGAAAAACCUAAAUGAGAUCAAAGAAUCCAAUAAUGAGAUCAAAGACAUCUCCAGUGCAUGUAUGAUAUAUAUUUUCCGAUUAGGGAUUUGGAUUGGAAACCUUAUCUGUCAUUUCUGCUUUGACAGUCUUGUUUCUCUAUUUGUAAAUAUGAAUUCAUCACACAAAAACACAAAAAGGUUUUGUUAUUUCCCAUUAAUUUUCUUGUUCAAAUAUGUCAAUAAUAUGAAAGGUUUUGUUAUUCUUUAAUGUGGGACUUUCGCCUUCACCUCUUCACAUGUACCAAUGACUUGUUUUUUCCCAUCAAUUUUCUUGUUAAAAUAUGUCAAUAAUUUUGAAAAAUGGUACAUAAAAGUACUUUUAUAAAGUUAUAAUAUCCUUCACGUGAAAAUGUUUUUUUGCAAGAAUAAAAUGUGUAUUGUCCUUGCACGACAAAAGAGAAAUUAAGUCACAAUGACCAUGAAAACUAUUGAGGAGAAUUUAUAAGAUAGAUAUUUAUAUAAAUGAUAACAUUAUUAUUUCAUCAAUGAUAUAACACAAGUUUUAGGGCUAACGACAUUGAUGUUUUCUGUUUCUACAAAACCAGUUCCCUUGUAAUCCACGAUUCUCAUUCAUUCCCUCCGAUGAUUGGAACAAUGUUGUACAAAUUUCGUAGCUCUGGUUUUAAAAUUUUAGAUAAUUCUUGUUAUAAACAUUACUCUUAAAUAAGUAUUCUUAGUUACUAAGGCAUAGGAAAGUUUCGAUUUCAUUUGAUUGAAAAGAUUGUCUCCAAUUAAUCGAAUGAAUAAGAAUCCUUUCAAAUGAACAUAGCUGCUUUCAUUCUAAUUUCAGAAAAUCCAAAUCCAUGAAAACAUGCAGCACUCUACUAUCUUUAUUUACAUUACUUUCUAUCUCCAUUUAAUUGUUAAAGAAACUCGAUGGUACAAGCAAACUGAUAUAACUUAAAAACAAUAUGAUUUAUAAGGCUGAGUCUUGAACUUGAACAACACAAUCAACUAAAAGCUAAAAAACACCAAUACAUUCUAUCUUUUUUCUUUUUUAAAAAAACCUCGACGGUACGAGGGAAAAUUUAUUGAAUAAAAAAGAAGUUAUAUCUAGUCAGGGGAUAUAAACUUUACCCCUCAAAAUAAAAAAAGAAAAAAAAAAAGAAACCGAAAGUAAAAGAAAAUAUGAGGGACAUACACUUACAUAACCUGAUGCAAACUUAUAAAUAAACAUAUAGAAAGUGAAGGAAAGAAACACAACAGAGAAAACAAACGACAACAAGAAAUGCGCAACGGUAACAAACUGAUCAUUCCAACGACUUAAGAAACAAGUCGGGCCUCCUUGUGAUCACAACAUCUGCAAGAACUACUCCCACUACCAACCCACUUCCACAUCCGGCCGAAACAAUUUUCCAAUCAAAUUCAAAUAUGCCUUCUGAGCUAGAAUCACCUUCGUCGACGGUUGAAGGUGGAAGUUGAGGGGCCUUAGGAUUUCCACAUUUCUUUGGCAAUGGAUCUCCACACAACCCUGGGUUUCCCUCGUAUGAAGUGAAUUUCAAGGAAGUAAGUUGGGUUCCAAGGGAUGAUGUGAUAGAACCAGUGAGAAUGUUGUGGUAUAGAAUCAGUUUCACCCAAGGAAGGAAAAGUGGAGGUUGGUCUGAAAUGAAGUUUUGAGAAAUGGCCAACAAUACCAAAGUUUCUAUGGUUGUGUUCCACAUCCAUUUUGGUACUUGGCCUCGGAUUUUGUUUCUAGAAAGGUCCAAACGCUCCAAACUUUUCUAAUAUUGUAAGAAAGAUGGAAACUCUGUUAGGUUGCAAAAACUCAAUCCAAGAAUGGUGAACUGUGGAACUGUUGAAUUCACAAUUUAAUUGGAGUUGGUAAAGAAAUUGUAGAUUUUGAAACAUUUGAAACUCUACUACACCACACUCAGACUAUUCGAAUGUAGAUAAAGGAUCUGAAGGUUUGUGAGAUUUGAAAAAGAUGUGAGGUUUGCCAAGGAAUCAGGAAUCGGACCUCCAAAUCUGUUGAGUGAAAUGUCUAGAUCAGUGAGCUUCCUAAGAUUCCCAAGUGAAGAUGGAACCAACCCUUCCGAAAAAUUGCAUUGAGCCACAUCCAACUCUUGCAGUGAAUCAAGGUUUCUAAACGAAGAGGGUAUGUUCCCGAAAAACCUAGUAAAGGAAACUUUCAGAAGCAUGAGAGGACUACUUCGAUUAAAUUCAGGAAAAUAUCCAGUCAGAUCUUGGUUGUAUCUCACACUAAGAAUUUCUAGGUUUGGUAGUUGGAAAAUUCUCACAGGAAAUUCACCAAACAGGUGACAUCCCACGAUGGCUAGGGCAUUCAAAGAUGAUAAGUUAGCCAUUGAAUAAGGAAUUGCCGAAGAUAUGUUUACCAAACUGAGGGAAAGUACUUCGAGACUAGUUAAGUUUUGAACUAGGCUUCCAAACUGAGGUAGUAGGAAUUUGAGAGUAAUUGAAGUUAUUGUCAGAGAGGUUUAACCUUUGACAUCACUUUCAUCUCCAUUUUGUUUGUUAAAAGAUACGAACAAACGUUGACAUAACUUAAAACAAUACGAUGUAUAGGGCAUGGUCUUGACCUUGAACAACCAAUCAACUAGAAGCUAAAAAGCAGAAAUACAUUCUUUCUUUCUUUUUAAAAAAACCUCGACGGUACGAGGGAAAAUUUUAUUGAAUAAAAAAAAAGUUACACCUAAUCAGGAGGACAUAAACUUUACCCCUCAAAAUAAAGAGACAAUGAAGAAAAGAAAGCGAAAAUACAAGAAAGUAGGGGACAUACACUUACAUAACGGGAAACAAACUUAUAACUAAACGUAUAGGAAGAGAAGGAAAAAAACCACAACAAAGAAAAUAAACGACAACAACAAAUGCAUAACAUUGUAACGUACCCAAUUUCUAAGCCCCCCACUAGUACUCUAAAUUUUCCUUAUCAUUUGUCUGAUCAUUCCAACAAUCUUAAGAAACAAAUCGGGCCUCCUUGUAAUCACAACAUCUGCAAGAAUUACUCCCACUACAAACCCACUUCCACAUCCGGCCGAAACAAUUUUCCAAUCAAAUUCAAAUAUUCCUGCUGAGCUAGAAUCACCUUCGUCUACAAUUGAAGGUGGAAGUUGAGGGGCCUUAGGAUUUCCACAUUUCUUUGGCAAUGGAUCUCCACACAACCCUAGGUUUCCCUCGUAUGAAGUGAUAUUCAAUGAAGUAAGUUGGGUUCCUUGUGGUAUAAGACCUGUGAGAUUGUUGUGAGACACAUUGAAAUUGGCAAGAAAAGUAAGUCGACUCAGUUGUUGGGGGAUCUGUCCUGAGAGCAUGUUUUGUGAAAGGUCCAACGAUUCAAGCUUCGUCAAGUUUCCGAAGGAUGAUGGAAUAGAACCAGUGAGAAUGUUGUGGGAUAGAUUCAGCGAACGAAGCUCCUUAAGGUUCCCAAUGAAUUCUGGAAUUUUCCCUUCAAAUUUGUUGCUUGAGAUAUCAAAGGAUGCAAAUUCUUCUCGGAUCUUUGGGUAGUAUUGCUCCAAACCUUUUGUUGCUAUUGUGAGUUGGUAAUCAACAUUGCUCCAAACCGGGAAUCCAUCGACAUCAUAAACUACACGUGUGUACAUAUAUGUUGACUUGUUUACAGUAAUAUCUAGAAACACAGAUGGAACCGCUCCAGUAAAAUCAUUGUAAGCCAAAUCAAGAAUGCGUAACUUGGGGAAAUCGACAUUCUUUCUAGAUUUUCCAAUCACACCGUAGAAUCCAUUAUGGCGCAUUGCCAAAAGUUUUAACUCUAGAAGAGUCCCCAACCAAAUGGGAAAAACAUCAUUGAAACGAUUGUUUGACAAAACAAGAUACUCAAGCAUCACACAAUUGGCCAAUGACCUCGGCAACUGCCCCUGCAACUUGUUAUGACUCACAUCAAUCAUUCUCAAACUGCUUCCUUUGUUGUAUGUCUGAGGAAUAAUUCCGUGAAAAGCGUUGUUUCCGAGAAGUAGAAGUGUCAGAUGAUCACUAAAGUUUCCAAGACACUGAGGAAGCAUGCCACUCAAGUUAUUUUUCGACAAGUCAAGGGACAGAAGAUUUUUCAUAUUGCAAAGCAACGGUGAGAUUUCUCCAGUAAAGUUGUUGUCUGCAGCUGCAUAUUCUCGCAUGGUUGGUGGAGGUAUCGGUAGUGAUCCAUGAAACAUGUUGGACGAAAACCUUAGACAUAACAGUUUCACCCAAGGAAGGACAAGUGGAGGUUGGUCUGAAAUGAAGUUAUUGGAAAUGUCUAACAAUAGCAAAGUUUCUAAGCUUGUAUUCCACAUCCAUUUUGGUACUUGGCCUCGGAUUUUGUUUCCAGCAAUUUCCAAACGCGUCAACCCAUUCUGAUAUUGUAAGAAGGAUGGAAACUCUCCUAAGUUGCAAUUACUCAAUCCAAGAACAGUGAACUGUUUAACUGUUGAAUUCAAAAUUCUGGAUUGAGUGACAAGUUCUAAACCGUUCCCGCUUAAUUCGAGUUGGUAAAGAGAUUGUAGAUUUUGAAACAUUUGAAACUCUACUGCACCACUCAGAGUAUUCGAAUGUAGAUACAGGAUCUGAAGGUUUGUGAGAUUUGAAAAUGACGCAGGAACUGAACCAUUUAAUCUAUUAAAAGCAAAAUCUAGGUACUCUAGUUUGCUAAAGUUGCCUAGCCAAGAUGGGAUUGGACCGGUUAAUCGACUUGUACUAAUCCUAAAAGUAGCCAGUUGGGUAAGGUUUGCCAAGGAAUCAGGAAUUAGACCUCCAAAUUUAUUGGCUGAAAUGUCUAGAUAAGUGAGCUGCCUAAGAUUCCCAAGAAAAGAUGGAACCAACCCUUCCGAAAAAUUGCAUUGAGCCACAUCGAAGUUUUGCAGUGAAUGAAGGUUUUGAAUUGAAGAGGGUAUUGUUCCAAAAAAGCCAGUAAAGCCGACUUUCAGUAAGAUGAGAGGACUGCUUUGAUUAAAUUCAGGAAAAUAUCCAGUCAGAUCUUGGUUGUAUCUCACACUAAGAGAUUCUAGGUUUGGCAGUUGGAAAAUUCUCACUGGAAAUUCACCAAACAGGUGAUAGUCCCUGAGGUAGAGGGUUGUCAAAGAUGAUAAAUUAGCCAUGGAAUGAGGAAUUGCCGAAGAUACAUUUACAAAACUGAGAGAAAGUACUUCGAGACUGGUUAAGUUUUGAACUAGGCUUCCAAGAUCUGAUGCUUCAAGUUUCAACAAGGGAUAAUUCUCCUCUUCUGACGACUGAUGAUCCUUAUCUUCUGACAAUCUAUCGAGAUUGAGAGCUAGAUUAAGGUAUGUCAACUUGGAUAACAGUGAAAGUUCAGAAGGGACUUGACCAGAAAAGACAGAGGUAGAGAGGUCAAGAUGAGUAAGGCUUGGAAAAUUCCUAAUGCUAGUAGGAAUUUGAGAGUAAUUGAAGUUAUUGUCAGUGAGGUUUAACCUUUGAAGAUGAACAAGGCGGAAGAGGCUGCUGUUGCUGUUGAUAGUGUUGGGACUUAAAAAGGCUUCACUACUUUGGAGAUGUUUAUCUCACAAAGAAGAAUGAAAUGCAGCGGAAUUGAUAGGCAAGAGAAAGAACACUCAAAGUGUUAUACAAAUUUUUUUUAUUCUCACACAAACUUAGUACAAGAGGAAACACUCAAACACUCUCACACUUCUUGCUCUCUUACUUGCUCUCACUUCUUCUUAGUUCUUGCUUCACAACUCACACACAUACACCUAUUUAUAGGCAUGUUUGCCGACCUAUGCCAUCACUAGAGUUUUCUAGUGUAUGAACAUGCACAUACUACACCAACCUAGGCAUUUGCUAGAUUAUUCUAGCUUGUUAUGCAUGCCACCGACAUGGGCAUUACAUAAUAACCUAUACAUUUAUGAUGGUUCUAGCCUUUUCUACAUACAAACCAUUUUUCUAGAUUUUCUUAAACUUUUCCAACUUUCUACCUUCUUUGCUAGAGUUUUCUAGCAUUUUCUCAUUGGUUUUGGGUUGGAUCACUUGUCUUGGGCCUAAGACAAGAUUACUAUUCAACAUCCCCCCUUAAUCUUGUCUUGUGACGCCGAUUGAGUUUCUCAGUCUGACAAAGUCUUCUUGCCUAAGUGGUUUGGUAAAUAUGUCGGCGACUUGGUCUUGUGACUUCACGUAUUCCACUUGCACAUCCUUUCUUGCAAUGCACUCUCUUAUGUAGUGAUAACGAGUAUCUAUGUGCUUGCUUCUGUCAUGGAAUACUGGAUUCUUUGUUAGGGCUAUUGCAGACUUGUUGUCGACAUAGAUCUCUGUUGGUUCUUCUUGUGGCAUGCUUAAUUCUUUUAGCAAGUUUCUCAGCCAAAUUGCAUGGCAGACACAUGAAGUAGCAGCUACGUAUUCAGCUUCGCAGGUAGAGAGAGUGACAAUCGGUUGCUUCUUCGACAUCCAUGUGAAUGCAGUGUCUCCCAUGAAGAACACAAAUCCAGUAGUGCUUUUUCUAUCAUCGGAAUCUCCUGCCCAAUCAUUGUCGCUAUAUCCAGCAAGUUUGUAGUUAUCAGAACUUGAAUAGAAUAAGCCAAAGUUAACAGUACCUUUAAGGUAUCGAAGAAUUCUUUUGGCUGUCUUCAGAUGUGUAGUUGUGGGAUUCUCCAUGUAGCGACUGACUAAUCCGACGGCAUAGAGAAUAUCUGGUCUUGUGCAAGUCAAGUAACGCAAGCUUCCAACUAAACUCUUGAAAAAUGUUGGAUCUACACUUUCUCCUUCGUCAUGCUUGGUUAGUUUGACUCCGCACUCCACUGGCGUGUUUAUGGGCUUGCAGUCGUCCAUUUUGAACUUUUUCAGUAUCUCUUUUGUGUAGCUUUCUUGGGAGAUGAAAAUACCUUCUUCGUUCUGCUUGACUUCAAUGCCUAGGUAGUAUGCCAUCAACCCGAUGUCCGUCAUCUCGAAUUCUUUGGUCAUCACUCUCUUGAACUCUUCAAACAUGCUUGGAUUACUUCCGGUGAAGAUUAGAUCAUCCACAUAUAAGCACACAAUCAAAAUAUCUCCAUCUUUGACUUUGACGUAGAGAGCAUGUUCAUGAGGGCACUUGGUGAAGUUGUUCUCAUGGAAGUACUUGUCAAUGCGACUAUUCCAUGCUCGUGGCGCUUGUUUUAACCCAUAGAGGGCUUUCUUCAACUUCAAAACUUUAUCUUCAUGCCCUUUGAUUUCAUAGCCUGAUGGUUGCUGAAUGUAGACUUCUUCUUCAAGGACUCCAUUUAGGAAAGCGGACUUCACAUCCAUUUGUUGAAUCUUCCAUCUGUUUUGAGCUGCCAACGAAAUUAGUAAUCGUAUAGUUUCCAACCGAGCAACAGGUGCAAAUACCUCAUCAUAGUCGAUUCCGGCUCUUUGACUAUAGCCCUUCGCCACUAAUCUCGCCUUGUAUCUUUCGACCUCUCCAUUGGCAUUUUUCUUUGUCUUGUACACCCACUUGACUCCGAUGGCUUUGUGUCCUUUCGGAAGAAUAGCGAGUUCCCAUGUAUCAUUCUUCUGGAUUGCUUCAAUUUCUUCAUCCAUUGCUUUCCUCCACUUAGUAUCUUGCACUGCUUCUUGGAAGUCAACUGGUUCACAAUCAGCAAAGAGACAGAAAAGUGUAGGAUUAUCGAGUCUUUCAGCUACCUCAUAAAGAUCUCGUAGACUUCUUGUGCGUGGUACUUCUCUUUCAUUUAGACUCCCACUUGGUGAUGCUGAUGCUGGUGAAUUUCCAUGAUUGGUUGAUGUUGGUGAAGCAGGUGGAGUAGUGGAUUCUUGUUGAACUUCUCUUGCUUGCUCCAUCGUCCCUUGUUCAUUCUUUUCUUCAAAUUGAGGAAAGAAGCUGAGAUCACUUGCAUGAGAGCUAAAAUCCCAUUCUCCUUCUUCGUCGAACGUCACGUCUCGACUGAUCAUCGUCUUCCCAUUGUUUGGAUUAUACAACUUGUAGCCUUUUGAAUUUGAGUCAUAGCCGAUGAAGAUGAACUUCUCACUUUUGUCGUCGAGUUUGGUUCUCCUCUCGUCUGGUACAUGUACAUGGGCUAUGCUUCCAAAAACUCUUAGAUGGGAGAUACCUGGCUUUCUUCCACUCCAUGCUUCUUGUGGAGUCUUUCCCCACACACUUCUUGUUGGAGACCGAUUGGAUAGGUAGACAGCACAUGCUACAGCUUCUGCCCAUAACUCUUUAGGUAAUCUCUUACUUUUGAGCAUACUUCGAGCCAUGUCGAGGAUAGUUCGAUUUUUUCUUUCCGCCACACCAUUUUGUUGAGGGGAUCUUGGAACUGUCAAAGGUCGACGAAUUCCAUUUUCUUCACAAAACUCUUGAAAUUCCUUCGAAGUGAAUUCUCCUCCUCGAUCAGAUCUCAUGGCUUUGAUCUUGCAACCACUUUCUUUUUCUACAGCGACUUUGAACUUCUUGAAUGCUCCAAAGACUUCUGAUUCUGCUUCAAGAAAUACACCCAGGUUUUCCUUGAAAAAUCAUCAAUGAAGAGAAGGAAAUAAUUAUUUUUACCCAAAGAGCUUGGUUUUAUUGGGCCGCACACAUCGGUGUGAAUGAGCUCAAGUGGCUUCUGGGUUCUUGUGGUCGACUCCUUUGGAAAGCUUUUCCUGAACUGUUUCCCAAGUAAACAUCCUUCACAAACUUGAUUAGGGUGGCUGAUGCACGGUAAGCCUCUCACCAUCUCCUUCUUAGAUAAUAACUCCAAUCCCCCAAAGUUAAGAUGCCCAAAACGAAGAUGCCAAAGCCAAGAUAUGUCUUUGUAACAAAUCUUGAGACACUUUGUAACAUCGUUUUGAAUGUCCAUGGGAAACAUCCUAUUCUUUGACAUUUUCGCCUUGGCAAUUAAUCUUCCUUUGUCAUCUCUAAGAAAAAGGAUAUAAUUUUUCGUAUGAAAAUCAUAACCUUUUUCUAAGAGUUGACCCAAACUCAAAAUGUUGCUUUUCAUAUUGGGCACGUAGUAGACAUUUGAAAUUAAUUGGUGACCGCCAUUUUUCAAGGGAAUAAGGAUGUUACCUUUUCCUUUUACAGGUAUUUUGGAUUCGUCUCCAAAAGAAACGUUGCCACUCACUGAUUCAUUGAGCUCUACGAACACGCUUCUUCUUCCACACAUGUGGUUGCUGGCGCCGGUGUCAAGAUACCAUGUAUAGUCUUGGUCUUUAUCAUUGUUCUUGCAUGCUAGUAGCACAAUGCCAUUCUCUUCUUUAUCUUCUUUCACAUAAUUGACCUUUUCAUCAGGUCUGUUGCUUGGAGCUCUACAUUCCCAAGCAUAAUGCCCGAACUUUUGACAAUUGUAGCAUUGAACUUGAGAUUUUUCAUACCUCAAAUUUGAGCGCCCUCUUCCACGACCUUUUGUUGAGCUUUCUCCUCUAUCGUAGUUGCUUUGGUUGUUGAAGUUCCAACCACGUCCACGUCCAUAUCCACGCCCACGUCCGCGACCUUGGCCACGACUUCUUUCGUAUUGGCUUCUCUCGUUGUCGAAGCUUCCUUCUUUCUUCUUUGGCUGAACAUGUGUCUUGAGGAGCUGCUCAUCAUUCCCUUGCCUCUUCUUAUGUUUCUCUUCAUAUGCUUGUAGCGAACCCAUUAAUUGCUCUAUACUAAUUUCUUCCAAGUUCUUUGUUUCUUCAAUCGUCACGACAAUGUGCUCGAACUUGGGGUCCAACGAGCGUAGUAUCUUCUCCAUAAUUCUAACAUCUUCUAACUUUUCUCCGUUUCUUUUUAAUUGAUUGGAAACGGCUAAGACUUUUGAAAAAUAAUCAGAGAUUGAUUCAGACCCUUUCAUUUGUAGAGAUUCGAACUCACCUCUUAGUACUUGAAGACGAACCUUUUUCACUUGUUCGGCUCCUUUGUAAGAGGUUUGAAGCUUCUCCCAUGCUUGCUUGGCAGAGGUUGCACUCGAGACUUUCUCAAAGCCAUUGUCAUCUAAUGCUUGGUAGAUGAGGUAGAGAGCCUUCUUGUCUCUCUUUCUUGAAUCUUUCAAACUCUCCUUCUGGGGUUGGGACAGAGUAGCUUCAUCUUCUGGCUCAGUGUAGCCUUUCUCCACGACUUCCCAUACAUCAUGUGCUCCCAAAAGGGCCUUCAUUUUGAUACUCCAAUUAUCGAAGUUGUUGUUGUCGAGCACUGGAACUUGGAAGGCUGCCAUAGCGUUGCUAGCCAUAGCUCUGAUACCACUUUGUUGGGACUUAAAAAGGCUUCACUACUUUCACAAAGAAGAAUGAAAUGCAGCGGAAUUGAUAGGCAAGAGAAAGAACACUCAAAGUGUUAUACAAAUUUUUUUUAUUCUCACACAAACUUAGUACAAGAGGAAACACUCAAACACUCUCACACUUCUUGCUCUCUUACUUGCUCUCACUUCUUCUUAGUUCUUGCUUCACAACUCACACACAUACACCUAUUUAUAGGCAUGUUUGCCGACCUAUGCCAUCACUAGAGUUUUCUAGUGUAUGAACAUGCACAUACUACACCAACCUAGGCAUUUGCUAGAUUAUUCUAGCUUGUUAUGCAUGCCACCGACAUGGGCAUUACAUAAUAACCUAUACAUUUAUGAUGGUUCUAGCCUUUUCUACAUACAAACCAUUUUUCUAGAUUUUCUUAAACUUUUCCAACUUUCUACCUUCUUUGCUAGAGUUUUCUAGCAUUUUCUCAUUGGUUUUGGGUUGGAUCACUUGUCUUGGGCCUAAGACAAGAUUACUAUUCAACAGAUAGAGCCGUGGAGACAGCUGCUACCAAGAUCUAGGCCAAUCACAUGACCCGUCUUCUCAUCACACUUGACACCUUCCCAUGAGCAGCAGGUGCUAUUUCCUCCUUCAGCUGGUUUCCAUGAUGAAACCUUUGGAUAAGCAUCGGGAGAUCUAGAAGCAGAUUUGUCAAUAGUAAAGCUGUCUCUGAAUUGCAGCAGGGCGGACUUCUCCUCAUCAGGGCAAGAUGGAUACUGCUUCUGCGAAGAGUAGGAAGAGUUAGCAAUAACCACAUGAUGAAACAGCAACAAAACUAGUACUGGUUUUGAAAUGCGAAUGGUGGAGAUAUCAAGAAACCCCAUGACAACAAUAUUUUGAUUUUUUUUUUUUUUUUUUUUUUUGCACUCUUAGCUAUGUAUGGAGUGGAAAGUGAUACAACUAUUUAUAGACUGGCAUCAGCAUAAAAUUCUUCCGCAAAUUAAUCUCUAAAAAGUGAUGGAGAUGGGUGUAAUGAGGACAAGUGCAUCGUAUCUUCUACAUGUAUAAAAGAUGCUCUUGACUAAUUUAUUCGUGAGUUAAUUUUUGAAGUCAAGUCUUCCAACUUUUGAGAUGGUGUGAAAUUAGAAGUUAGACAAAUGAGCAGCACCAUAAAAGAAAAAAAAAAUAUUUGCAUACACACAUAUAGUUUAUCGCAUGAGUUCCUUCUGUAAGGGUUUAUGGUAUUUGUAUUGACACUCUUGUAAGGUUUUAUCAUAUUUGUAUGCCCAAUUGCAAGACUUAUCAACUUUGUAUUUGGGUACUUCUAAAUGUGUUGGACCUUCAUGCUUGAAAUCUUCAUUAAAAUAUGUGUAAUUUGUAUUGGAAUACAAAAUUAAACAAAAAAAAAUGUUAACGGGUGACUCAUGAGCUUAAUAGGUUGAGUUUGAGUGACUCAUUAAUUUAACGAGUCGGGUGUGGGUCACUCAUUAGCUUAAAGGUUCAGGUGAAACCCGACUCAAACCCAAUAAACCUGACUUGUUUAUAGGUUACCAGCAUAUAGUAAGGGGGAUGAAAGUUUCGAACUCUCAACAACAAAUUAAGACAUUAGAGUCAUUAGAUUCAAUUCUUGCAUUGGCUUGAAGUGGGAUGGAUUUGAAGCCAUAACUUUUCAUUCGAUAUCCAAUUUCUUCAUCAUUAGGACUUUCAAACUCCUAGCAUAUAUUAAGUCAAGAGUGCAGGUGUAACGAAAUUUUUCGUGUUGGAUUUGGUCUAUGUUGCAUUUUUCAAACCACAAGCCCUUUUUUCAUCAGAAAAGAAAUAUCUCAUUAACUCAAGAGAAAGCAAGGAAGAGAGAUACUUCCACUUGGAGUUGAAGCCCCAAGCCCCAACCAUAGGAAAACUGCAGAAAAACGUAUUUGGCUCAAUUCUAAUUUUCAUUCAUUCUCAAAUGUACAAUAUAUAUUAAAUACAAAUAUAUAGAUUAUUUACAAAUGCACGCCAUUUACUCUUGUGUGGUGCUAUCCACACACCCAUUUUUACCUGUCACACACCACUCCCAAUUUUCGGACGUCGGGCCAUGUGAAUGGUAGAAGAUCAAUGUACAAAAAUUAACAAGUGUGUGUAUGAAAUAAAAUGGGGUGUGUGAAUAGCAUUAGGAGAAAUUAGAUUCAAAUCCUUCAUUUUCCUACUCCAUUGAUUAAAACCUUAUUCCUUUUCAAUUUUUGAUCAACGUCGUUGGAUAUUAAUAAUAUCAUUAAUUAUUUCAAUAAUAAUUUUUUUAAAUAUAUUCCUUUAGUGUUAAAAAUGUUACAAUUAAUAUAUUUAUAUUUAUGGCUAAAUUUUUUAUCAUAUAUUUUUAUUUUUAGUUUGUAACCAUUUUUAAUUUGCAAACCUUUUUUAAUUUGUACCAAUUUUCUUUUCAAUUUUAAUUUGUACCCAUAUAUUAAUUUCUUUUUGUGCCCAUAUUUUUUAAAGUUUUAUUUGUAUUUGUGUCCAUGUGUUUACCAUCACGUGACAUUGUAUAAUUAAUCAAUAAUAGAAAAAUUACAUAUGGUAUAUUUAUGUUUUAUGGCUAAACUUUGUAUCAUAUAUUUAUAUUUUUAGUUUGUACCCACUUUUAAUUUGCAACCUUUUUUUUAAAUUUGUUGUAUUUUCUUUUUAGUUUUAAUUUGUACCCAUGUAUUUUUUUUUUUUGCACCCAUAUUUUUAAAAAUUUCAUUUGUACACAUAAUUUUUUAAUUUUUUAUCUGUACCCUAAUUUAUUUAUACUGUACCCAUUCUUCUUUAUUAAUGUACCACUUUGUUAUAUGUGAAAUGUACCAAUUUGUUUUGUAAAAUGUACCAAUUUUUUUAACACUAUGGAUACAUUAAUUCUUUUGCCAUUUAUUAUUUGUUAUUGUUACAUAGUUUUUAUCCAUUUAUUCAUCAAAAUGUUUGAAUUUUUCAUUGUAGCCGUUUCUAAUAAUAUUAUAAUGAGGGAUUUUAAAUUUAUAGGAUUAUAAAUCUUAUAAAAUAUCAAACAAUUAAUGUCAAAACUAUAAAAAUAUAAAUAUUAAUAGUCAUAUAAUGAGAUGUGCAAAGUCAAUGGACUUUGAUCAAACUUUGAAUACCAUUAAGGUUUUAGUUAAAAAGUGUUAGAGAUUAGAGACCCCAUCCAAAGUAUCUCAUAACAUUAUCCUUACUCUUUCAUACAAUUAGCGUAAUGCAAAAAAGUCAACGAACCCAUGUAGAAGAUUUAAUGAGUCGAAUUGUUCAAUGAACCAAACCCAUGUAGAAGAUUUAAUGAGUCGAAUUGUUCAAUGAACCAAAUUAACUAACACUGCCCCUCAAGUUUUGUUGGGUAAAAGCUUAGGCGCUCAAAGCUUACUUUUACCUGACGGAAUGAUUUCAUCUCAGAAGGUGUUUUCUUAUAGUGAUACCAAUUAACUCCAUGACAAUAAUCUUUUUAAUUAUUUUACGGAGUAAUUAGGUUUUCAUCCUUAUUGUUACUACUCUAUUGAUUAAAACCUUAUUACUUUUCAAUUUUUGAUCAAGGUCCUUUGUAUUAAUAAUAUCAUUAAUUAUUUCAAUAAUAAAAUAUUUUUUAUUUCUAAAUAUAUUCAUUUAAUAUUAAAAAUGUUACAAUUAGUAUAUUUAUAUUUAUGGCUAAAUUUUUUAUCAUAUAUUUUUAUUUUUAGUUUGUACCCAUUUUUAAUUUGCAACCCUUUUUUAAUUUGUACCAAUUUUCCUUUCAAUUUUAAUUUGUACCCAUAUAUUAAUUUCUUUUUGUGCCCAUAUUUUUUAAAGUUUUAUUUGUAUUGUACCCAUAUUUUUUUAUUUAUUUGUACCCAUUUUUAUUUUUGCUAAAUGUACCCAUUUUGAAGAAUGUACCCAUGUUUUGAUACAAUAAUUUUUUGGUUAUUUUUUAUGAAUGUACCCAUGUUUACACACACACACAAUAGUAUAUUUAUAUUUUAAUAUUUGUAAUCCCACAAAUUAUGUUUUUUAUUUAAAAUCUCAUUACUAUAAACAACUAUAAAUUUUAAUUUUUAAUUUAAAAAAUAUAGUAACGUACAUAGAAAUAAAUUAUCAAUUAAUUUUAGGGACUUGGAUCAAAAAUUGAAAACCAACAAAGUUUCAGUCAAAGAUUAUUCAUAACUAGGGACCGCAUCCAAAGUCUCCUUUAUUUUAUUUUUUCACUCUUAGCUAUGUAUGGAGGUACAAAGUGACAUAACUAUUUGUAGACUGGCAUCAAUAUAAAAUGAUUCUGCAAUAUGAUUUCUAAAAAGUGAUAGAGACCGGUGUAAAGGGGACAAGUGCAUCGCAUUUCUUCUACAUGCAUAAGAAGAGAUACUCUUGACUAAUUGAUUCAUGAAUUAACUUUUGAAGUCGUCUUCAACUUUUAAAAUAGCGUGAAAUCAGAAGUCAAAAAAAUAAGCAGCACCAUACAAGAAACAAGGCUUGAUGACGCAGCACUAGCGUAGAAGGAUUAAAAAUAUAAAUCCUUGAAGAAACAAAGUUUUUGGAACCCACCAGUUUGAUAGAAACUCUAAAAGGAUAAUUUGAUUAAUUGAUGAGUUGAUGAUUACAAUGGAUAACACCCAUGACUUAAAUAAGUCAUUUACAACACUUUUGGACAACUCAAAAGGCUUAGAGAAUUAAAACGAAAGUAAAUGACAUUAAUCGGACGACAAUUGAAAAGUCCAAACUUAUUACAAACUUUAUUUUUCGGUUUUGGAAGCCACAGUCACAAGAGUUGGCAAGCUCCGCACACAACCGAAGGACAUAGUUAGCUUAUUGAUUACUCAGCCUGCGUGCCACGAAUGCUUGGUAGUUUUUAAGGUCAACAAUUGUACAUUUGAGAAUGAAGGAAAAGUACAAUUGAGCCAAAUAUGUUCUUCUACAGUUUUCCUAUGGUUGGGGCCUCAACUCCAACUCGAAGUAUUUCUCCUCUUCCUUGCUUUCUCUUGAGUUAAUGAGAUAUUCCUUUUCUGAUGAGAAAAGGACUUGCAGUUUGAAAAAUGCAACAUAGACUAAAUCCAACAUGAUAAAUUUCGUUACACCCGCACUCUUGACUUAAUAUAUGUUAGGAGUUUGAAAGUCCUAAAAUGAUGAAGAAAUUGGGUAUCGAAUAAAAAUUUCGGGCCUCAAAUCCAUUGCACUUCAAACCACUGCAGGAAUUGAAAUAGAUGACUCUAAUGCCUUAAUUUGAUGCUGAGAGUCUGAAACUUUCAUCUCCUUUACUAUCUGCUGGUAACCUGUAAAUGGGUCCCGUUUAUUAGGUUUGGAUCGUGUUUCACCUGACCCGUUAAGCUAAUUAGUCACCCCCAACUCGUUAAGCUAAUGAGUCAUCCAAACUCAACCUACUAAGCUCAUGAGUCACAUGUUAACAUCAUUUUUUAUUUUUUUUUAAAUUUUGCAUUCCAAUACAAAUUACACAUUUUUUAAUUAAGAUUUCGAGCAUGAAGGUCCAACACAUUUAGAAGUACCCAAAUGCAAAGUUGAUAAGUCUUGCAAUUAGCCAUAUAAAUAUGAUAAAACCUUAUAAGAGUGUCAAUACAAAUAUCAUAAACCCUUACGGAAGGAACUCAUGAGAUCAACUAUAAAUGUGUUACAUAUAUGCAAAAAUUAACUUCUUUUUUUUCCUGUUUUUUGCGGAAAAAUUUUCAAACCUAACAUGUGGACAAACAACGGGAUGACGUGGAGCGAAUGUGACUACUGAGAUAUUAUGGUGGAACCUCAACUUCUUAAACAGAAACCCAUUAAUUGUAGAAGAAUCGUGUCUAUCAAGUGUCGAAGAGUCAUAUCAACCAAGUAAGACUAGUGGAUGGCGUUUCUUUGAUGAGAAAAGAACUUGCAGUAGUUUGAAAAAAUCAACAUAGACCAAAACCAAAGCACAAGUUCCACACAUAGGCCCGUAUCCACUCCACCGGUCGAAUUAAAACCUAAUUACUAUAUUUGGUUGCAUUCAUUAUUUUAAGAAUCGUCCGUGUAUAAGAGUCGUAUCAAACAAAUAAGACUAUAGUGGAUGGCGUUUCUCUCUUACUUGACGUUAACAAGAAUAUGUACACUUCCUAGAGACAUAUGUAGUUGGAGGAGGUUUCCCCAUGGUUGGGGCCUCAACUCCAAGUCGAAGUAUUGUCUCUUCCUUGCUUUCCCUUGAGUUAAUGAGUUACUGAGAUAUUUCUUUUCUGAUGAGAAAAGAACUUGCAGUUUGAAAAUAUCAACAUAGACCAAAACCAAAGCACAAGUUCCACACAUAGACCAGUAUCCACUCCACCGGUCGAAUUAAAACCUAAUUACUAUGUUUGGUUGCAUUCAUUAUUUGUUUAGUCUUGUCGACUUUAAGAAAAGAAGGAGUAAUUCAGUCAAUCUACACUACUCUUAAAUCCUUCUGUGCCACAUGAUCUUAGGUUACUUUCCUAUUAUUUAGGAGGGUUUACGAUUGCUUUCAUGUUUGUUAAGAAUUGCGUCUUUAUAAAUACACCAUGUAACUUCGCUCGAGUUGAGUUUGGUAAGAUGUAGUCAUUUUGUGUUAUGUAUCAAUUUUAGCAAAGUUUUGUAAUCAAUCGGUUUGUACUUCUUUUUCUCUUUCCUUCAUUUAUUUAUUUUUUACACACUUGCUCUCCAACCAUUAAUCUGGAUCUUGAGGUCGAAGAUCAGAUGGUUGAGGUCAAGUUAAGUGAUGUAAGACAAGAUAUGAGUCACUUCCUAUGAAGAAAUAUAAAUAAAAUAAAAUGUUUCAAGAGAAGAAGAAUUAAAAUUGAAAAAUAUUGGAUUCAAUAAAUAUGGAGAAAAGGCAGCAAGAAAUAUUCCGAUGUCAUAGGAAGGAACACGUCUCGAUCUUCGGGUUCUAAAGCCUGAAGACAAGGCUGCUAGUUCUGCGAAGUUCAAAUAUCAAAUUUGGCUUUCAAUGUGCCGAAUGUAGUAACCUGUAACACCUCACUUCGCCGAGAAGGUUGAUGAAAUGACCUCUACCAACAAGGACUUAAAAAUCCUUGUCGACCGAGACUUGGAUAGGUAAUCAAUCGGCCGACAAGUAGUGCUGCUUAUCCAAACUGAAGGUGCUCAUUGAUCGGCUGAUUCUAUGGCUCCAGUGUUGUUUAUCCAAACUGAAGAUGUCGUUGGUUGCCUUCACAAUGCUGUUUAUCCAAACUGAAGAUGUGUCGGUGAGAAAAAGAAAAUAAAAAUCUCAAGGUUGUUGAGAGGUUUCGCGUAGAGCGAGAGUUUGCGUAAGGUAGUUUGUGUGUUGAAUUGGAGAAGCCCUUGAAUGAUGCACUCCCUUCUCUAUUUAUAUCAGCGAGAACCCCUAUGGCCGAACUAGAAAUAUAUUAGGAUUAGAACUCCUUAAACCAAUUUGAUUAAACUUCGACCAAUCCUAAUCUUCAUAGGACUUUGAACCAAACCUUCAAACAAACUAGGUUCAUCUCCUAAUACCAAGUACUUUAGCUUUGAGACUCCUUAUUAUACCAGGAUUCAACUACUUCACCUUUAUUCGAAAUAAUCCUCUUCGUAGCAGGAUUCGGCUAACCUCGACAGGGCCGGCCCAUGACAAGAUUCUAAAUAAAAACCAUUGGGCCGAGAAUAUUUCUGAGCUCAGCCCAAAAUAUCAUUUUGGGUCCAAACAUUGGUCCAUUGCUUCUGAGGUCCUCGGCCUAAAAAUUCUGGCUGAGCCUCGACCUUGAAAAAGUGAAAUCAAACCUUUAGUAUAUCUUCGAAAGACAACGAAAAAUCUCAAAUAUUCUACCCACUCAGGUGCAUUUAUGAAGCACGAUUGCACGAUCUUAAUUUGUCAGAUGCUCUGCCACGUGGUGAUUCCUCAGCUUACUCGUCUGCCAUUAAUAAUGACAUUUGAAACGUGCAACCAUCGAAACGUCUCUUCACCAUUAAAUUUGCUGUCAUAUGCAAACGUGCAUCCUCAAUCCAUGAGUUCUUCGGUCUUCGGUCUCUUCACCUGGAUUCUUUGAAUAUCCAUCAUGAUUACAAAAUCCUCUGGUCAAUUUUACCCCCUAAGAACUAUUGAUCUUCCUCCCAAAACACCUAUAAAUACUCAGUUUUCCUUCAUUCAUACCUUACGCUUUUAAAAAUCUCAAAUCUCAUUGCCACUUGCUCUCAAUACUAGAAAAACCAACCUUCCUUUGAAACCUAUAAAACCUUCAUCUUCUUCAAUGGCUGCCAAUACUUUCAUCACCAAGUUGGUCGAGGAAUGCACUAAAUGCCAAAGCAUCACUAAUCGAAACACUAUCAAAACCAUCUGAUUUGAGGAUGAGCCAAAUGCUUCCCACUAAACCCUCGGUCCAUUGUUCAAAGACGAUGUUCCAGAAGUGAUCAUCGAAAUGCUCAAGGAGCAUUGCUUGAAACCCUUAUUCCAAGGGUAUGAUUGGUCGAAAUGGGAAUUGGCCAAACCCCAAGGCGUUUGGCCUUCGAUCACUGCGGCCUAGGUUGCCUGGUUCACUCAGAUGGAGCCACAUUUCGGCGACGAAUGGAAAGCUCUAGGCAUUUUUUAUGUCAUUAAACUCUCGACCAUCGAGAUGAGCUUAGAUCGAGAGCUCGUGAUGGCUGCUUUGAGCUUCUGGUGCUCGGCCACCAAUACGAUGGUUCUCCCCCUCGGCCCCUUGGCCCAACAGUGAUGGACAUCACAACCAUACUUGGCACCUCUCCUACCGGCCUCCCAGUCGACAAGUCUCUCUCCGGGUAUCAAUUUGACCUGGACCUGAAAACCAUUUUCGAGGAGCAUGCCAUUGAAUCCCUGACAAAGGAAAACCAAAAGCUGUCGAAGGAAGAUGCGUAUAAACUACAUAAAAAAUUCUUCAACUAUAACACCCUAAUCACUCACUUCACUGGCUCGAGAGGGGAAAAUCUUAAAAAGGGUGAACACGGGGCCUUCUUAUUCUACUGGUACAACAAAUAUAUAUAUUGUGCCAAGUCAAAUAAAUGCUUGGCUGAGAAUAUGCCUAUUGCCGAAGCCUUGGCUAGCGGUCAUGUCCUGGCCCUUAGUCCGGCCGUUCUUGCUAACCUCACCAAAACGGCCCGUUCUGGGUUUUUCAGCUCUGGUUGCAGGUCUAUUUCUCUGCGUUGCGGCCAGACCUUGCAAGUUUCAACUCUUCCGAAGCCAUAGGCCUUGAGCUGGCCUCACGACCCAUUCUUUCCCACUUGGCCAAAGAGAUCUUCAAAUAUUUCUUUGGCCUAAAAGACCUGUCGGACGACGAAUUCCAUAUUUGCCAUCGCCGAGCGUACCCCCCUUCCAUCAUCCUUCAACAUUGGCAUGGAAAGAUGUCGACGAAGCUGAUCUCCAAAAUUUCUAGGGGUCAUUUAUCAUCACUCGCAACCUGCCCUAUGGUUGCAAGGCUCGACGAGGAAGCUGGGAAGUUUAUCACCCAAACUUCUUGGCUCGUCAACUGGGUUUUCUUCAAGGAUGCCAUAUGCCAUUCCUUACUUCUCUUUCCCUCUUGAGCCGAGAACGCUUCUUCGGCUCUUCAGAGAGGGAGUGUGAAGUAGCUAAGAAGGAUUUCAAGGAGUGGUGUGCCAAAUUCAGUCUUCGACUGAAAACUCCAGAAUCCCGUUAUGCUAGCAUCUUUGCCGAUUGGUGGGAUACCUAUACUAAGGAUUUCUUCAGAACUUCGGCUGAGGAAAUCUCACAAAAGCUUUUUGGCGACGACCCCAAAAAAACUCUCGCCCUAAAAUCCAGAGAAAUGGCCCAAGGUAUAUAGCUUUCCUUUUUAUUUUUCUUACUUUUUUAUUUCGGACUUCUUUUUUAUUCAAGCUCAGUGUUUUUAGGUGAUUGGGAUGGCCACGGCUAAGAAAAAACUUACCACUCCCAUGAGGAAAACUGCAACUGUCGCACUAACCCCAUCAAGCAAACGAUUUCGUCCGAAUGCCGAGACGGUUGAUGAAGCUCCCCGGGCGAGAAAAUGUGUUAAGAAAUUGGCAAAGAAAGGGGAACAAGAGAUCCAUGUUAUCUUUAGCCAAACCAUGGGAGCAACUACUCCCAGUGCCUUUCUCAUUUCCCCUGCUGUCAAGGUCUCGGCCAUGGUGUAGGGAGACUUAGUGAUUGAGCUGGUCACCAAUCCGGCUGUCGAAUAGCCUACAACUUCAACACUGGCCGCUGCUCACGUCGAAGUCAGCCUGGCGGUUGCUACCCCGAAGAGAGCAACUUUUGUAGCAAAAAAAAAUCUCCCCCCGAAUCCAAAAAAAGCUUCAACAAUCAUCCUAGAAUAAGAGGUAUAAAAUUUUAUAAUGUUCUUUUUAUCUCGAACUCAUUGUCUAACGACUAAUCCAUUGUCUAGGAGGAUGAAAGUGAAGGGCCCCUACUGGUAAAACAUCCUCAACCAGCCGAAUUGCCGACUAUCACUUCUCAACUGGCAGUCGAGGCGGUGGAUCAAGCCGAUGCUCCCACAGCUGAAGCAGGUUUGGGUUAUGAAACACCACUCCAUGUCGAGCCAGAAGCAACAGCCGAGAUGCCGAUUCAUCUCUAGGACCAGAAUCUCAAUAUCCCUCCCCAGGAUGUUACUUUAACCUUUGUAAGAACCGUUACCAUGUCCCAUUUUCAAUUCCUAACCUUUGAAUUAUGAACCAAGAGCAACCAUGAAAAUGCCAGGUGCCUUAUCGUUCAUUUCACCGAUAAUUUUACGCGUCAAAUGGUGUUAUUUAUAUUUCUUGGUUGCUUCAAUGGCCAUCGAAUGUAGAUAGCCUCUAGCUGAUAUGGCCGAGGUCUCAUCUCGACAGGUCUAUCAUAACUUCUUUAUCUGAUAUUCUUUUGGACUCUUCUUUACUAACUUCUUCUUUGUGCAGCUUCAUGGGAAGUCGAGCUCGACGCUCUCCUCUUGAGUACUUCUGGAGUAGCCGGGCUUUCUGUUGCGUCGACCGAGCCUUCAGUAAUCGCGGUCGAAUCCAAUACCUUCGUCAAGUUUCAGGAACUUCUAUCCCUUUUAGCCUCACAAGUCCUUUAAUGUAAAGGCAUCGACUCUGUAGAAUAAUGCUUGAACGAUCUUGUAGCCGAUGGCUUGUUGAGCACCGAAAGUGUCGUCCACUUAUCCAAUAUCCUGGAGCGGACCCGACAAUACUUCGCCACUUUUGAAAGGGCUCUCCGAGCUGAGGAUAACCUUAAGUCUAUAAAGGCAGCUCAUGAUGCUAGCCAACCGAAGGUUGAAGCUAUAAAAGCAAAGAAGACUCGACUGGUUGACCUUGAUCGUCAGAUCGCCAAACUCCAGCGUCAAAGGUCGAUCGUCGCUUCAGAGCUCGAGAAAGAUUUUGAGGCGAAUAAGUCCAUCCUGACAGACCACAUAGCCAACUCAAAGCGGAUACAACAACUGCAGCUUGAUAAAAGAACAAGACAAACCGAAGUUACAAUGGGUGAAGUAAGGUGGUUGGAACUGAAAGCCGCUCUUAAAGCCUUCCUUCCUUCGACCCCUUAGGAUUUUGGCCUUAUUAACCAACUGUUGGAUUCUUUUUGUAAUUCUUGUUUGUAAGCCUUUUUGCAAAAUUAAUGAAACAAAACUUUUAUUCUCGCAUUUCCCAUUGAUUAGUAGUUUAUGAAUUAGACCAGUUCGAUCUUUAAGGUGGUAUGUCCCCAUGCCGAGAACUUUAUAGAAGACAAACGGUCCUUCCCAAUUCGGCGACCAUUUCCCAAAUUUGGGAUCUUUCAUCCCUACGGGUAACACGAUUUGCCAUACUAACUCUUCCUCGUCGAACGUUUUUUGUUUGACUUGUUGAUUAUAGGCUUGCUCGGCAAUCUUUUUUUGCACCACCAAUAAAUUAUAAGCAUCAAGUCGAGCAACCUCAAAGUCUUCUAACUCUUGUCUCAUGGACUGAUUGUAUUCAGCACUGAACAAACUACUUUGUUCAAUUACUCGUAAUGAGUUUAUACUUAACUCAACUGGUAGCAUCGCAUCGUGCCCAUAAGUUAACACGUAAAGGGUCUCCUUGGUUGCUGAUCGAGGUGAAGUUUGAUAAGCCCAUAAUACCUCAUUUAAUUUCAAAUGCCACAUGCCAGGCCUUUCUUCUAUCAUAUUUUCAAGAAUACUGAUUAAAAUCUUAUUACUUGCUUCGGCCUGUCCAUUUACCUGUGAGUAAAACGGCGGGGACUGUUCCAGUUAAAUUUUUAAACUCGCUGUGUACUUUUUGAAUCUGUUAGAUGUAAAGAUUGUACCGUUAUCCGUUAUGAUUAUUUUUGGUAUGCCGAAUUUGGUUACGAUAUUUUCUUCCCUAAAAUUACAAACUUCUUUAGACGUUAACUCGGCGUAUGACUUUGCUUCGACCCAUUUGGUGAGGUAGUCUGUUACAACAAGUAUCCACACAUGCUUAGCUGACUCGGAAGACGGCGUAAUUUUACCGAUUACGUCUAUGGCCCAUCCUCUGAACGGCCAGGGUUUGGUGACUAAGUGAAGUAAUUCGGCCGGGACUUUUUGUAUAGGCUUAUGAAUUUGACACUGUACACAUCCUUGUACGCACUCAAUACAAUCCUUCAAUAUACUUGGCCAAAGAAUCUUGAGUCCAGAUUGAUGAGCUCCGUAAAUUCCUUCGUGUACUUCUGUAAUUUCUUAAGCAGCCUCCUGUGGGCUGAGUCACAAUAACAAUAAACCAUCAUCACCCUUCCAGUACAACUUAUUCUGGUACAACACGUAAUUUAAGGCAUGGACCCUUGUCUUGCGGUCGUGUUUGUCACUGGGGUUAUCGAGAUAUCACAUGAUUGAUCUUCUUCAGUCGUCUGGUAAUGUCUUAACAGCACACACAUCUGCAGGAUCUCCUCGUUCUAACAACGAAGGUAAGGAAAUCACUCGUGUACGGAUCAAGUAGCUGUGUUGGAGAACUUAUUGAUUAACCAAGGCUGGGUGCGAUUGUCGUACUACAGGUAUAGCCCGGCCUAGCUCGCCCCCAGGAGUUAUGCUCCGAAGGCUAUUUGAGCCAGUUCGUCUGCGUCGGUGUUUCAAACACGGAAGAUGUGUUUGAAUGUGAUACCGUCGAACAACUCGGCCAAAUAAUUGGCAACCAUGUGAUAAGGCAACAGAGUACAACUCAUGCAACGGAAAGUUUCAUUGAGUUAGUUAAUCACAAGUUUCGAAUCGCUAAGGACGAGUAUGCGGGUUGCCCUCAAGUUGUGAAAGAUGCUGAGGUCGAUGAUAAGGGCUGCGUAUUCGGCCUGAUUAUUUGUACAAUCAAAAUCAAGCUUAAGAGAAAAAUACUAGCGGUGUUGAUCUCGACCGAAGUACAACUCGGUAUAAAAGACGAACUAGUUUGACUUUUAACAGCUGGGUUUAUUCGGACCUCUCGAUACGUCGAGUGGCUGGCCAAUAUCGUCCUGGUGCUAAAGAAGAAUGGUGCCCUACGCAUCUGUAUCGAUUUUCGUAAUCUGAACCUAGCAACGCCCAAAGAUGAAUACCCGAUGCCGAUCUUCGAUUUGUUAAUUGACGCCGCAGCAUACCACGAGAUCUUAUCUUUUAUGGAUGGGCAUGCUGGUUAUAACCAAAUUUUCAUCGCCGAAGCUGAUGUCCAUAAAACCACUUUUCGUUGCCUCGGGGCACUCGGCACAUACAAAUGGGUCGUCAUGCCCUUUGGCCUUAAGAACGCCGGUGCCACAUACCAACGAGCUAUAAACACUAUUUUCCAUGAUUUAAUUGGUACCAUCGUCGAAGUCUACAUCGACGAUGUGAUAAUCAAAUCAGCACGUCAGCAGACACAUUUGGAUGACCUCCGUUAGUUGUUCCUGCGCAUGCACUGGCAUAAUCUUAAGAUAAAUCCUGCCAAAUGUGCUUUUGGCGUCUCAGCCUGAAAUUUUUUAGGAUUCCUCGUCCAUCACCGUGGUAUUGAGAUGGACGACAACAAGGCUCACGCAAUCAUUAAUGCUCCACCCCAAACGACUAAGAAACAACUACAAUCAUUGCUCGGCAAGUUCAAGUUUCUCCGUCGAUUUAUUGCCAAUUCAGACGGGAAAAUGAAAGCAUUCUCCAUGCUUUUGAAACUUAAGGACUCCAACACCUUCGAAUGGCGUUCAGAACACCAAGAGGCAUUUACACAGGUCAAGGUCUCCUUAACAGUUUUGCAUGUCCUCGUCCCACCACGACGGGGCCGACCUCUUAAGCUAUAUAUCUCGGCGGCUGAAGAAUCCAUCGGAUGCCUUCUUGCACAAGACAAUGACGCUGGGCAAGAAUAGGUCAUUUUUUACCUUAGCCGAAAUCUCAAUCCACUAGAGAUUAAUUACUCUGUUGUCGAGAAGUUUUGUCUUUUGUUAGUUUUUCGCUGCGUCAAAACUCAGACAUUAUAUGCUCCCAUCAGUCACUCAAGUCAUCACCCAGGCCGAUGUCAUUCGUUACAUGCUUACUCGGCCGAUCGUAAAAGGCCGAAUUGGCAAGUGGACGAUGGCUCUCUCUGAGUUUAGCUUGCAAUAUGUGCCCCAGAAAGCUGUCAAAGGUCAUGCUUUGGCCGAUUUUUUGGCCCAACACCUUUCCUCGUAUGAGUUCGGGGGCAAUGACGUUGACAUCGGAAUGGUGGCAAUACGUGGUAAUUACUGAACGAUGUAAUUUUAUGGUUCCAGUACUUCAGUCUCGGCUAGCGUUGGGAUUGUUAUUCAAUCCCCCACUCAUAAUCGUUGGUAUUUUUCUCUCGAGCUUGAUUUCAAUUGUACGAAUAAUCAAGCCGAAUACGAAGCCCUUGUCAUCUACCUCAGUAUACUACACGAUUUACGGGUAACUCAUGUCCUUGUUCUUGGUGACUCUGAACUUGUCAUCUACCUCGAUGUACUUUUCGUUGCAUGAGUUGUACUCUGGCGCUUUACCAUAUGGUUGCCAGCUAUUUGGCCGAAUCUUUCGACGGUGUUACUUUCAAACACAUUUCACGAGUUCAUAACACUGAUGCCGACGAAUUAGCUCAAAUAGCCUCCAGAGCACAACUCAUGGGGGGCAAAUUAGGCCGAGAAAUACCUGUGUCACGACAAGCACAUUCGGCCUUAAUUAAUCAGUAAGUUCUCCAACGUGAUUGCGUGAUCCGUACACGAGUUAUGUCCUUGCCUUCGUUGUUAGAACGGAAGGACACUGUUGAGGUUUGUGUUGUCGAUGCAUUACCAGACGAUUGAAGAAGGACAAUUAUGCGAUACAUUGAUAACCCUAACGAAAAAUAUGAUCGACAGACAAGGGCUUAUGCCACAAACUACGUAUUAUACCAGAAGGAGUUGUAUUGAAAAGGUGAGGAUGGGUUACUGCUGUUAUGCCUCGGCCCACAUGAAACUGCUCAAGCAAUGGCAGAAGUACAUGAAGGAAUUUGCGGAGCUCACCAAUCUAGAUGAAAAAUGCAUUGGCUGCUUCAGCAGCAUGGCUAGUUCUAGCCAAGUAUUCUGAAUGAUUGUAUUGAGUACGCAAAGGGUACAGUGUCAAAUCCAUAGGCCUAUACAGAGAGUUCUGGUCGAAUCACUACAUUCGGUCACCAAACCAUGGCCGUUUCGAGGAUGGGCCAUGGAUGUAAUCGGGAAAAUCACACCAUCUUCUGGUGCAACCAAACAUGCGUGGAUACUCGUUGCAACAGACUACUUCACCAAAUGGGUCGAAGCCAAGUCAUAUGCCAAGCUAACCUCUAAAGAAGUUUGUAAUUUCGUUGAAGAAAACAUUGUGACUAGAUUCGGCGUGCCAGAAACAAUCAUAAUAGAUAAUGGUACGAUCUUUACAUCCGACAGGUUUAAGGAAUAUUCGGUGAAUCUAAGGAUUCGACUCGAGCAAUCUACGUCGUAUUAUCGCAGGCAAAUGGACAAGCCGAAGCAAGUAAUAAGGUUCUAAUCGGUAUUCUCGAAAAGAUGAUAAAAGAAAGGCCGGGUAUAUGGCAUUUAAAGAUAAAUGAAGCGUUAUGGGCUUAUCAAACUUCUUUACGGACAGCCACUGGAACGACUCCAUAUGGUUUGACUUAUGGAAACAACGUAAUGUUGCCAGUCGAGUUAAGUAUAAACUCGUUGCGAGUAAUUGAACAAAGUAGUUUGUUUAGCGCCGAGUACAGUUGGGCCAUGAGACAAGAGUUAGAAAAUUUAGAAGAAGCUCGGCUUAAUGCUUAUAACUUAUUAGUGGCACAAAAGAAGAUCGCCGAGGGAGAGUUGGUUUGGCAAACCAUACUACCCGUAGGAAUUAAAGACCCUAGGUUUGGCAAGUGGUUGCCAAAUUGGGAAGGGCCAUUUGUUAUUCAUAAGGUUCUCGGUAAGGGAGCAUACCAUCUUAGGGAUAAAACUAGUGUAGUUCACAAGUUGCCAAUCAAUGACAGGUUUUAAAAAAAUACUAUCCAGUCACAUGGGAGAUUCCGGAAUAAAAGUUCUUUUCAUUAAGUUCGCAAAAAGUUGUACAAAUGGAGUGGGGCGAUCAGUUAUAAUCAAAUACUUCUAGGAUGAUGAAGGUAGGAGAGAUUCAAGAAUGGCCUUCAACUCUAAUUACCGCACCUCGCUCAUCUUGACCUCAGCUUGCCGAUUCCUCUUGUCCAUCUUCAGCUGCUCGACCCGCUUCACGCUAGUUGCAUAGUCAGUUAAGCAAGACUUGCCGCUCGACUCAAAAUCUUUUGCAAGCUCGGAAGCAAUUGCCGACCUUAGAUUUUUGAGUUCGGCAAUUUGACGGUCAAGGUCGGCGAGGGUCUUUUUUUUCGCCUUUAAAACUUUGACUUAUGAACGAAGAGCAUCUCGAGCAACUAUUGCAGCUUUCAAGUCGUCUUCAGCCCGAAGAGCUUUCUCAAAAAUACCAAAAUAUUCUUGGGUUCAUUCCAAGGUAGAAGACGCUUGAGUGAUAGCUUCAGUGCUCAAUUGACCAUCAGUUGCGAGAUCGUUCAAACAUGCACCCACUGAAUCGAAGCCCUGGCAUACGAGAACUUGUGUAGCUACCGAAGAGCCAGCCACCCCUGAAGUACUCGAUAAGAGAGCAUUGAACUCGACUUCCCAUAAAGGCUGCACACGAAAAGAAUUUAAGCGAAAAGAAAAUCAUAAAAGAAUGUAGUAGAAAGAGUUUAUUUUAGACAUGCCGAGAUGAAACUUUGGCCAUGUCUCUUGGUUCGUUGCUUGAACCUAAAGAGCUUAAUGGCCGAGCCUAGUGUUUUAGACUGCUUCUUAAUUCACGCGGCCGAUGAAGGUUAUCUACGUUCGACGGCCACUGAGGUGGCCAGGAAAUAUAGAUAACACCCUUCGGCGCAUAGAAUUUUCAGUGAAAUGAAUAACUGGGCACCUGACAUUUAAUAUUUUUCUCGGUUCAGACUCAUUAUAAUACAAUUGACAAGAGAAAUUAGUCGAGCCUUACAAAAGUCGAAGUCGCUUCUUGAAAGGGAAUGUCGAGGUCUUGGUCCUGCGAGUGAACUAGAGUUUCUGACAUCGCUUCAGGCUCAAUGAAAGGCCUUUUUCCACGAUCGACUGUAGGAGGAUUGACCUGAUCGGUCGCCUCAACCAUAAGGGGAAGAUCAAUGGAAGGAGGUUUGGUUGGUCGAGAACGACUCGCCAGCGGAAUCUCAUCACUCUCGUCAUCCUAAAACAAAAGAAUUGUUAGUACUUUUGAAUUUAAAGAGUGAAGGGAGUUGCCAGUAUAAUCAUACCUCUUCUAAAAUGAUCAUUGAUUAUUUUGGAUUCUUGGGGAGAUUCUUCCCGAUCGAAGGGGUUGCCUCCCCUAGGACGGGUGCUACAGUCUGCCCCGAAGUUGCAGGCGUAUCGACCAGCGGUACAACAACUGGUUUGACCACGACCUCGAUGACCUCAGGGGCCAGGUGAGCUUGGGGUGUCAGGUUGGUUGGAGUUGGCCGUUUCUCCGUUGAGGCUUGGACAACAGGAACAGGAGGAGAGGCACUAGGAGUGGUCGCUUCGGAAGUGUGGUUGGAGAUAACGUGAAUCUCCCGUGCUUCUUUCUUCGCCAAUUUCUUGAUGCGUUUUGUGGGGCGAGGGGCUUCACCUGCCGUCUUGGUGUCAGGACGAGGCCGUUUGCUCGGUGCGUUUUGUGCGGUGGUUUUAGAUUUCUUGGAGGAAGGGGCCAGUUUUUUCUUGGCCACAGCUGGGGCGAUCACGUCUGCCUGUUUCAAUACUCGACCGCCUGAGAAAGCGAAAUCUAAUUAGUAAAAUCGAUUAAGUGUUUGAAGAAUAAAGGUAAAGAUAAUUGUAUACCCUGGGGCGUCUCUUUGGAUUGAGAGGCAAAAGUUUUUUCGGGUCGGUCACCAAAAAUUUUGUUGACUACGUUUUCGACUGAAGCACCAAAAAAGUUGUGGGUAUAUUCUUCCCACCAAUCGUCGAAGGUGUCGAUGCCGAGAGAUUCAAGAACAGUUGGUCGAAGGCGGAAUUUCUUGCACCGUUCCUGAAACUCCUUCUCGGUGUCUUUGCACUUCCUUUCUGAGGAACCAGAGAGGCGUCAUUGGCUUAAAAGGGAGUGGGAAGUAAGUAGAGGCACCGGGCAACCUUGGAGGUAGUUAAGCUGUGGGGUAGCAAAGUGGCGGUGGUAGACUUCCCAACUUGCUCGGCGAGCAUCGCAACUGAGCGCAAGGUCGUGAGUUAACACGAACGAACCCCAGUUUUGACGAAAACCAGCAUCUUCGCUUUCAUUCUAGGUUGAUGUGGGAAGUCUGAUGGAGUGAGGGUAUUCCUGACAACGACAUAUCAAAAAUUCAUCGUCAGAGAAGAUGUUUAGGCCAAAGAAGUGUUUGAAGACUUCGUCAGCUCAGUGAGGAGGCACUGGUCGAGGAGCCAACUGAUGGCCGAGUGCUACAGUGGACUGAAGGUUGGGGAUUUCUGGCCGAAGUGUGGAGAAAUAAACCUGCAGCCAGAGUUAGAAUACCCAGAGAGGUCCAUUCUGGUACGGGUCGAUCUUGGUGGCGGUCGUUUCAGCCAGGUAGCGUAGAAGGUUGGCAAGGAUAGCCGGACUGAGCACCAGAGAAUGACCACUAGCCAGGGCUUCCACCACGGUAUUUUUUCGACCAAACACUUAUUCGACUUGGUACAACAGAUAAACUUGUUGUACCGGUAAAAUAGGAAAGCCUCGUGCUCGCCCCUCCGCAGACUCACCUCCUCUCGGCCAGCAAAAUGGAGGAUGAGGGUGUUGUAGUUAAGAAAAUUCUUAUGCAACUUCUGAACUUCCUCUUUUGAAGGCUCUUGACCUUCUUGUCUCAACGUCUCGACUGCUCGUUCGUUGAAUAGUACCUUGAGGUCGAGGUUUGAUGAGCAUCCAAUAAGGGCAGCGUCUAUUGGAAUGCCAGAAUGAGGAGUCCUGAGGAUAGCCGAGAUGUCGAGGAUGGUGGGGGUGAUAGGGCCGAACGGAAGGACCAUGGUGUUGGUGGCCAAGCACCAGAGGCUUAGAGCUGACAUAAGGAGUUCUUUAUCCAUGGUAAUCUCCAUGGUCGAAACCUUAAUGGCGUCGUGGAUGCUGAGAGCCUCCCAUUCUUUACCAAAGAAUUUUUCCUUUCGUACUACCCAGGCCGCCCAGUUCGCUUUGGUCGAAGGCCAGACUCAUUGAGGCUUUGUCAGGCACCACUUCGACCAAUCAAAUCCUUGCAGCAAAUGUGCCAGGCAAUGUUCUUUGAAUAGGUUGGUGAUGGACAAUGGCACUGCGUCUUUAAAUAGUGGUCCCAGGAUUUGAUGAGUAGUGUUUAGUAGGCCUGGCAAUUGCUGACACGACCCGAUAACCCGACAUGACACGACACGAAAUUAACAUGUGUUCGGGUCGACACGAUAACGAAUCGGGUCGAUAUCGGGUAACUUGAUAAGAACCUGUUAAGAUAAUGGGUUGGUUCGAGUAUACACAUGGGUAACACGAUACACGAUAUGCAAAAUAUUAAUUUUAUAACCCUAAAAAAAAUACUAUAAUAAUUAUAUAUAUUAAAUUAACAAUUUUAUCAUUCAAUUUAUUAAGUGUUAUAUGUACAAAAUAAAUAAAUUUAAAUCUACUUAAUAAAUAUAUAUAUAUAUAUAUAUAUAUCAUUGAACUUGAUGGGAUACGAAUUCUACGAAACUAAUUUCAACGAUCUAACCAUCAAACUUGUUUGUAUAUGCUUCGAGAUCGCAUCAACAAAAAAUUAAAAAAAACAAACAUUCAGAGAUCAAGUAACGGGACAAAACUUUUCGACGGUUAUCAAUGAAAAAUCACGAUUUAAUGGUUAUUUUAACUCUGAUUUUGAUGAUGUUUUACAGCUACACUCGUUGACCCUAUAUGAAUACAAUGAAUGAACUCGAUCUUCAAUUUAAAAUAUUUACACUAAUGGAUACCACAAAAUCUUAUGUUAUACUUAAUGAAAGUUUGAAUAAACUCUUAAGUGUUAGUUAAUCUAUUGUUUUGAUGGGAUAUGCAUUAUACGAAACUAGUUUCAACAAUCCAACCGUCAAACAUAUUUGUAUAUACUUUGAGAUCGCAUGCGCCAAAAAUUGCAAAAAAUAAACAUUCAGAGAUUAAGUAAAGGGACAAAACUUUCCGACGGUUAUAAACGAAAAAUCACAAUUUAACAGUUAUUUUAACUCCGAUUUUGAUGAUUUUUUACAGCUACACUCCUUGAUCCUAUAUGAAUACAAUGAAUGAAUUCGAUCUUCAAUUUAAAAUAUCGACACUAGUGGAUACCACAAAAUCUUAUAUUAUAUUUAAUGAAAGUAUAAAUAAACUCUAAGUGUUAGUGAAUCUAUCAUUUUGAUGGGAUACGUAUUCUACGAAACUAAUUUUAACGAUUCAACCAUUAAACUUGUUUGUGUAUGGUUCAAGAUUGCAUACGCUAAAAGUCACAAAAAAUAAACAUUCAGAGAUCAAGUAACAGGAGAAAAUUUUUCGACGGUUAUCAACGAAAAAUCAUGAUUUAACGGUUAUUUUAACUCCGAUUUUGAUGAUUUUUUAUAGCUACAUUCCUUGACCCUAUACGAAUACAAUGAAUGAACUCGAUCUUCAAUUUAAAAUAUAUUACUCUAGUGGAUAUCACUAAAUCUUAUGUUAUACUUAAUGAAAGUAAGAAUAAACUCUUAAGUGUUAGUGAAUCUAUUGUUUUGAUGCGAUACGCAUUCUACGAAACUAGUUUCAACGAUCCAACCGUCAAACAUGUUUAUAUAUACUUCGAGAUCACAUACGCCAAAGAUUGCAGAAAACAAACAUUCAGAGAUCAAGUAACGGGACAAAAUUGUUCGACGGUUACCAACGAAAAAUCACGAUUUAACGAUUUUUUAACUCCGAUUUUGAUGAUUUUUUACAGCUACUCUCCUUGACCCUAUAUGAAUACAAUGAAUGAACUUGAUCUUCAAUUUAAAAUAUUCACACUAGUGGAUACCACAAAAUCUUAUGUUAUACUUAAUGAAAGUAUGAAUAAACUCUUAAGUGUUAGUGAAUCUAUUGUUUUGAUGGGAUACACAUUUUACGAAACUAGUUUCAACGAUCCAACCGUCAAACAUGAUUGUAUAUACUUUGAGAUCGAAUACGCCAAAAAUUGCAAAAAAUAAACAUUCAGAGAUCAAGUAACGGGACAAAAAUUUUCGACGAUUCUAAACAAAAAAUCACAAUUUAAAAGUUAUUUUAACUCCGAUUUUGAUGAUUUUUUAUAGCUACACUCCUUGACCCUAUAUGAAUACAAUGAAUGAAUUCAAUCUUCAAUUUAAAAUAUUGACACCAGAGGAUACCACAAAAUCUUAUGUUAUACUUAAUGAAAGAUAAAUAAAUUCUAGAGUAAAAGAUUGUUUACUACCCUCAUGUUUCGUGGUUUUCAACAUUUAGUACAUCAAGUUUUUUUUCAACCCAGAGUCAUACCUAAAGUGUAAAUUUUGGGACAGUCUCAUACAUCCGUUAGUCAAACUAUUUAGUUUUCUGUUAACUGAUAACGUGGCGCCCACGUGGACAAUGACUGGGCGCCACGUGUCAUUAAAAAUAUUAAUAUAAAAAAACCGAAUCUGGGAAGAAGAAGAAGAAGAAGAAGAAGAAGAAGAAGAAGAAGAAGAAAAAAACACGAAUCUGGGAAGAAGAAGAAAAAGAAGAAGAAGAAGAAAAAGAAAAUAAAAAGAAGAAGAAGAAAAAAAAAACCGAAUCUGGGAAGAAGAAGAAAAAAAAAAACCGAAUCUGGGAAGAAGGAAACCCGGAAGAAGAAGAAUGAGGAGGAAGAAGAAGAAGAAGAAGAAAAGAAAAGAAAGGAAAAGAAAAACGAAUCUGGGAAUGGGAAGAAGAAGAAGAAGGAGGAGGAAGAAGAAGAAGAAGAAAAGAAAAAAAAAAAAAACCGAAUAUGGGAAGAAGAAGAAGAAAGAGAGGAAAAAAAAAGAAAAGAAGCUAGGGAGGGUGCGGGUUGCAGGAAAGAAAUUUUUUUUUUAAUUUAUAUUUUUAAUAUUUUUAAUGACACGUGGCGCCCAGUCAUUGUCCACGUGGGUGCCACGUCAUCAGUUAACGGAAAACUUAACAAUUUGACUAAUGGAUGUAUGAGACUGUCCCAAAAUUUACACUUUAGGUAUGACUCUUGAAUGAAAAAAACUUGAUCUACCAAAUGUUGAAAACCACGAAACAUGAGGGUAGUAAACAGAGUUUAACCCUAAAUUCUAAGUGUUAGUGAAUCUAUCGUUUUGAUGGGAUACACAUUAUAUGAAACUAACCGUCAAACUUGUUUGUGUAUGCUUCAAGAUUGCAUACGCUAAAAGUCACAAAAAAUAAACAUUCACAGAUCAAGUAACAGAACAAAACUUUUCAAUGGUUAUCAACGAAAAAUUAUGAUUUAAAGGUUAUUUUAACUCCGAUUUUGAUGAUUUUUUUAUAGCUACACUCCUUGACCCUAUACGAAUACAAUGAAUGAACUCGAUCUUCAAUUUAAAAUAUUUACACUAGUGGAUACCACAAAAUCUUAUGUUAUACUUAAUGAAAGUAUGAAUAAACUCUUAAGUGUUAGUGAAUCUAUUGUUUUGAUAGGAUACGCAUUCUACGAAACUAGUUUCAACGAUCCAACACAUUUUACAAAACUAGUUUCAACGAUCCAACCGUCAAACAUGAUUGUAUAUACUUUGAGAUCGAAUACGCCAAAAAUUGCAAAAAACAAACAUUCAGAGAUCAAGUAACGGGACAAAAAAUUUUGACGGUUAUCAACGAAAAAUCAUGAUUUAACGGUUAUUUUAACUCCGAUUUUGAUGAUUUUUUACAACUACACUUCUUGACCCUAUAAGAAUACAAUGAAUGAAUUCAAUCUUCAAUUUAAGAUAUUUACACUAGUGGAUACCACAAAAUCUUAUGUUAUACUUAUUGAAAGUAUAAAUAUACUCUAAGUGUUAGUGAAUCUAUUGUUUUGAUGGGAUACGCAUUCUACGAAACUAAUUUCAACGAUCCAACCAUCAAACUUGUUUGUAUAUGCUUCAAGAUCGCAUACGCCAAAAAUCGCAAAAAACAAACAUUCAAAUAUAAAGUAACGGGACAAAACUUUUCGACGGUUAUCAACUAAAAAUCACGAUUUAACGGUUAUUUUAACUCUGAUUUUGAUGAUGUUUUAUAGCUACACUCCUUAACCCUACAUGAAUACAAUGAAUGAAUUUGAUCUUCAAUUUAAAAUAUUUACACUAGUGGAUACCACAAAAUCUUAUGCCAUGAUGAUUGAUGAAAAUUGAGGAUUUUGUAAAAGGAAUAACAUGCAAGCUUUGAGUUCCAUUGGCAAGGUUUAAACUUUUGAGAAAGGCUUCACAACCUUGAAAGCAAAAACUUUUUCAUUUUGCGUAUCCUUGCACAUUUAAUAUUUUGUAAUAGACUAGUAGUGUAUGGAUGUUUGUUUAUUAGGCUCUUAUUUUCGAGUGUAGAUGUAGUACUUAAACGACAAAUGUGUUUUAAUGUUUUGAAGUAAUAUUUAUGUGGCAAUGUGUGGUAUGUGCAAAUUUGAGAAGAAAAAAAAUAUUUUUCUUAACAAGUCUUAAUGGGUCAUAACAGGUCGGGUCACUUUACCCAUUGGGUAAAGUGACCCGACCUGUUAAGGAUCCGUUGAGAUAACGGGUGUGACACGACACGACCCGUUAAGAUAACAGGUAUUACACGAAAACAACACGAACACGAUAGACACGACCCGUUUACCAGGCUUAGUGUUUAGGUCACUCUCGAAGUGCAAAGUCUUGAUGGCGUUCCGAUCGAUGAAGUCCUUGCACUUGUUGCUCUCGUUGGAGAGCUGGGAGAUGAAGGAGGCCAUUGAAGAAGGCUUAAAGAUUUCUGAGAUGAAAGCUUGGGAUUUUCUAGGUUUUGAAAGUUUUGAAAGCAAAGUGGCAAGGAAGUUUCAAGGGUUUUGGAAAGCGUAAGGUACAAAUGGAAAGGAUUCGGGUAUUUAUAGGCAUUUGGGAAGGAAGGCUAAACGUUUGAUUUUCAAAAUUAUGGAUAGAAUCAAGCGGGAAAGUUGCUAAUCAUUGUAGAUAUUCAAAGAAUCUAGGCGAAAAGACCAAGGUUUUCGCUGUUCGAGGACGCACGAUUGCGUGUUGCGGCGGGUUUAGUGCAAGAGAGACAUUUAGGCGGUCGCAUGUUUUUGAGGGUCAUGAUUAAGGCCUGCUAGGUUAACCAGGGGACCAACAUGUGGCAGGACGGUUGGGAGAAUCGAGAUCGUGGGUUUAUGUCUCAUAAAUGCGUAUGGUGGUAUUUCUCAAGAGGAUUCAGUGUUUGUCUUUAGGUCAGUUUCGCUUCUUCAAGGUCGAGGCUCGAACCAAGGAGGGUAGGUCGAGGACCUCAGAAUCGAGGGGGCAAUGUUUGGGCCCAAAAUAUUGGUUUGGGCUGAGUUUAGAAUUGUUUUCGACCAGAGGCCAUACUUAAGAGUAGCUGGGGGUCAUCCGACUUAUGGGCCACAUAGCCAAGGUCGGCCGUGUCUUAUUAGGAAUCCAUGGGUAGUUGAAUCCUGAUAUGAGAAGGAGUUUCAACAGGAUCAGGAUGUUGAAGUUUGGGAUUGAAUGCGGCCUGAUAAGGGGGUUGAGUUCAAAGUCCUAGUAUGAGUAGGACUUGCCGAUAUAAGGUUGGAUCGGGGGAAGGAGUUCUAAUCCGAGUAUGGUUGUGAUUUGAUCGGAAGCAGGUUGACUACUAUAAAUAGAGGGAGAAGGACAUCAUUAAGGCUCUCUCCAAUUCAACACACAAACUGCCCUGCGCAAACCUUCGCUUUCGCGAAACCUCUCAACAACCUUGAGAUUUUAAUUUUCUUUUUCCGUCGACACAUCUUCAGUUUGGAUAAACAGCACUGUGAAGGCAACCGGUGGUACCUUCAGUUUGGAUAAACAACAUUGUCGUUGUAGAACCAGUCGACCACGGAACACCUUAAGUUUGGAUAAACAGCACUGUGUCGAGGUCGACUGGUUAUCUAUCCAAGUCUCGAUCGAAAAAUACUUUCGGGUCUUUAUUGGCAAAGGUCAUCUCAUUAGCCUUUUCGGCGGGGUGAGGUGUUACAGUUUACUAGGGCUCGGCACAUUGAACGCCGAGUUACUUUAUGAUUGGAUACUCACAAGUAGGUUUUAGAGUUCGGCAUUCUGACGGCCGAACCACGUUCACCAUCAAGACAUAUAUUUGUUUUGAGUAUCUGUGCCCCUAUACAUUGGUGUUGAUUCGGCGUGCUUAUACUCUUACGAAUAUAAUCACUGUGACCGAAUCCGACGCUGACGAUUUGUGAACUUCGCAGAACUAGCAGCCUUGUUUUCAAGCUCUAGAACCCGAAGGCUGAAAGUGUUCCUUCCUCGACCACAAUCACAAGAUUGAGAAGUCAGUAGCGCACCCGACGCAACAUCAACAUAUUUUACUCCUCGGCCGAGCUUGGCUGACGAGUUGGCACGCCCCGCAUCAACCAAAUGACGUAGUUAGCUCACUAGUUACUCGGCCUGCGCGCCACAUAGAUUUGGUAGUUUUUAGGGUCAACAACGACAUAUAUGCACCAACUUGAGCGGGAGUGUUGACUUUUGUGUAUAUUCAUGUAAUCUUGGAAUUCUUAGCAUAGUAUGAUUGCAUGUAAUUAUUUCUUUCCUUAUUGAAAUGAUUGUAACAUCCUAUAAAUUUCUCUUUGAGAGAUAAAUAGACACACAAUACUAUUCCAAAAGCAUUCUUUUCUAAUAUAAAGUCUAAACUAAUCUAAAGUAUUCUUAUGAACAAAUAAUGAAUGCAGCUAAACAUCAAUCAAUCAUUGUUGUCAUGUCAUGUUUUUGCAACUUGCAAAGAAAGAACCAUCCAUAAUAAUUAACCGGUGUAGUGGAUACUGGCCUAUCUGCGUGGAACUUGUGCUUUGGUUUUGGUCUAUGUUGUUUUUUUCAAACUGCAAAUUCAUUUCUCAUUAGAAAAGAAAUAUCUCAUUAACUCAUUAACUCAAGGGAAAGCAAGGAGGAGAUAAUACUUCGGCUUGGAGAUGAGGCCCCAACAAUAGGGACACCUCCUCCAACUACAUAUGUCUCUAGGAAGUGUAGAUAUUCUUCUUGACGUCAAGUAGGAGAGAAACGCCAUCCACUAUAAUCGUACUUGUUUGAUAGGACUCUUCUACACUUGGAGGAUUCUUCUACGUUUAUUAAUUGUAUGUUAGAUUAAGAAUAUAAUUUCAUGUAAGAAUACACGAUUUAAUGCCUGGUCAUGGAUUAAGUCAUUUUUUUUUAGAUAAAGAAUGACGACCUUUAGCAUUGGCAUAGUAAUUGAAUAAAAAUUGCCCUCAUGCUUGCCCCUAAAGUACUAUUGUUGAUCUUGUGUAGUUGCAAAUAUUUAAUUGUGUUUGGUUUUAUCUGUUUUGUAUGUACUCUGAUCAUACAUAAGUAAACAUUCGUCCAAAGACAGUUUGAUUAGCAGAUUAUAACUCAAGUAGUUAAGAGCAUUCAGUUCUGCACUUGAGAUCCAUGAUUCAUUCCACCCUUCCCAAUGUCAAUCAUACAAUAAGGAAAGAUAUCGUCUCCGGAUCUCUUCCUCUAAAACCAUCAAAUCAAGUGAUUUGAGCCCUUAAAAUUUGAUCCAACGACUAAAAACAAAGAUCCCUUUUAAAAGUUAUAACAAUUUUAGCCGUUGGAUCAAAUUUUAAGGGUCCGGAUCACUUGAUUUGGUGAUUUUGGUGGAAGAGAUUCGGAGAGGAUCUCUUUCCAAUGAAUAAAUAAAGUUGACCAGUUCCAUCUGAUCUUUGAUGGUAUGCACCAUGUUCUGAAACAUAUAGUACAACCCAUUAAAAAUGAUGAAGAUCAAUGGUUUGAGGCCAAGUGUUAAAAACUGCAGAUUGACUAUUCUGUGUUCUAAAGUCAAGUCAAGAAGUCUUGAUCAAUAACGACAUGCAACAACAUAUUAAUUCGAUUGCAAAAAUUUCAUCUUUGUUGUAAAUAGUAUAAUAAUGUAUGCCCACAUGCAUACAGUAGACAUAUCAUAUGCUUAAUAGGGUUUUUGUUUGUUUCCAUGGUGAUGCUCUAUAAAUAGAGCUUUACGAACGUUCAACUGAGUAGAGAGAAAAGGAAGAGAAAAAUAUCUAAUAGUAAUAAUAUACAUUACUUCCUCUGCAACAGCUUGUAUUGGUAUAAUACUCUGCAACUGCUUCAUUCCUAUCCCGAAUAAAGGUUAUCUUUCUAUAACUUUUACAUUUUUAUAACACGUUAUCAGCACGAGUCUCUAAGUAUAACCAUGUCUCAUUUACAUUCACUAAACAAUAAAGGAAAUCAUUCUCUCAUUUCUCUCCGCCGAACGAAAAAAAAAAAAAUGUUUCCUCUAAGGUUUUUCCUGUUCAUCUUCUUCAUCUGCCUCAACUGCGUGAUAUAUCCUCGCGACGAACUAUUUGCUCCAUGCCUGCUCGUAGUUCUCCAACUAGCGGUUACAUACAUCUUUGAUUACUUGUUUGGUUUGGAUAUUGAUUACUAACAUAAUAUUUAUAUUGAUUUUACUGCAAUCCAAGAUGGUGCGGUACAAUCGCCCACCUUGAACUGCAAAUUUCAUCUUACUGCGAUCCAAGAUGGUGCGGUAUCAUCGCCUAUCUUGGACUGCAGAUCUACUUUUACUGCAAAUUUCAGGUGCAGCGGUAUAAUCGCCCUCCUUGCUCUUCAAAUUUAAAUUUACCUGUUAUUUAAUUUUACUGCAAAUAAAGGUGGAGCGGUAUAAUCGCCCUCCUUGCUCUUCAAAUUUAAAUUUACCUGUUAUUUAAUUUUACUGCAAAUUUCAGGUGGAGCGGUAUAAUCGCCCUCCUUGCUCUUCAAAUUUAAAUUUACCUGUUAUUUAAUUUUACUGCAAAUUUCAGGUGGAGCGGUAUAAUCGCCCUCCUUGCUCUUCAAAUUUAAAUUUACCUGUUAUUUAAUUUUACUGCAAAUUUCAGGUGGAGCGGUAUAAUCGCCCUCCUUGCUCUUCAAAUUUAAAUUUACUUGUUAUUUAAUUUCAUUGCAAUUUUAGGUGGUGCGGUAUAAUCGCCCUCCUUGUUCUCCAAAUUUAAAUUUACUUGUUGUUUAAUUUCAUUGCAAUUUUAGGUGGUGCAGUAUAAUCGCCCACCCUGCUCUGCGUAUUUCAAUUUUCUUGCUACUUGAGUGGUGUGGAAUAAUCGCCCAUUCCAUGUUACAUUCUUUCAAUGAGAAUGGUGCGGUACAAUCGCCCUUCUCAUUCACCCUGAAAAUCUCGAGCCAGAAGUUUCGAGUGCUUAUCAUUUUGGCCUGAAGAUCAAAAUGAAAAAUUUGUAAGAACCAGAAGUUCUAACAUCACAUUCCUCUAGGAAUACAUAUUACUACAAGUUCUUACACAUCUCAUUUUCUUUCAGAAAAGAAAAUGACGAACUUGGCUAAGCUUGAAUAUGCUGCCCUGGACAUUACCGGGAAGAAUUACCUUACUUGGGUACUUGAUACCAAGAUCCAUCUGGAAGCAGGGAAUCUUGGAGAUACCAUCAGGGAAGAAAGCAGCUCAUCUUCUCAAAAUCGGGCGAAGGCUAUGAUCUUUAUUCGCCGCCAUCUUGAUGAGGCACUAAAGAGUGAGUACUUAACGGUUGAAGAUCCGUUAGCUCUCUGGGAGGCCUUACGAAGCAGAUAUAAUCACCAGACAACGGUGAUUCUUCCAAAAGCUCGCUAUGAGUGGUCUCACCUGAGAAUUCAGGAUUUCAAAUCAGUGGCGGAGUACAAUUCUGCGUUGUUCAGGAUUACCUCUCAGAUGAAGCUCUGUGGGGAUACCAUUACUGAUGAAAUAUUGCUGGAAAAGACUUACAGCACAUUUCAUGCCAAUAACGUGCUCCUGCAGCAGCAGUAUAGAGCGCGAGGCUACACUGAAUACAACCAGCUGAUAUCUGUGCUCCUGGUAGCUGAACAGAACAAUGAGCUCCUGAUGAAAAACCAUAAUUCCCGACCUACUGGAUCUGCACCAUUCCCAGAAGUAAAUGAUACUUCCCUCGAAGUGAACGCCACAUCCUCUGGUGGUAAUUAUCAUAAACAAGGACGUGGCCACAAACGAGGUCGAUGGAAUAAGAAAGGCAAGAACCAUGGUGGUCAGUUUCACAACCAGGUUCAGAGGCAUAAUUCUGGCCCGAGCUUCAAAAAUGUGAAUCGUCACAAAGGCAAAGCUAACAUGACCAAUGCUCCCAGGAACUCUGAAGGAGCUUGCCAUAGGUGUGGUGGCAAUGGGCAUUGGGUGCGAACUUGUCGUACCCCAAAACAUCUGGUGGAGUUGUAUCAAGCCUCCCUCAAGAAGAAGGGUGUCGAGACCAAUUUUCUCGACCAGGCUAAACCAAUGGAUAUACCUGAUCCAGUGUUUGAUUUAUCAGGGCAAUUUGACGCAACUCACCUAGAUGUUUCAGACUUCAUUACGGAAAGGGGGAAUGAAGUAUAUCGGUCCGACUAAAUCGUUUAUGUUUGAUGUACUUUUAUUAUGCUGAACUUGUUGUCUAAAACUAGUUUUUCAGAUUCAAUAAAAAUGGCAUGUAAAUUUCCUGUUAUAAAUUGUUUGUUAACUGUGAUUCCAUUUACUCAGAAAGCAUGGAUAAAAACUGUGGUUAUUCUCAGAACAUAAGAAAUGGCGGAGAUAUUUGUCUUGCAGACAGUGCAACCACACAUACAAUACUUCGUGAUCGAAAGUAUUUCUCAAGCUUAAUGCUUACAAAAAUCGGGGUAACAACAAUAUCAGGACCUUCAGAUGUGAUUGAAGGCUCAGGGAAAGCCCAGAUUAUGUUACCAAAUGGAACAAUAUUAUCCAUACAAAAUGCAUUGUAUGCUACUCGAUCUACUCGAAAUUUGUUGAGUUUCAAAGACAUACGUCUAAAUGGAUACCACAUUGAAACGAAAAGUGCAAAAAAUGUGGAGUAUCUAUGCAUUACCUCCAAUGAUACCCAGAAGCGUAUAUUGGAGAAGUUGCGUGGUUUUUUCGAGUGGAUUAUAUUAUACAUACAUAAGGACAGUUGAAUCACAUACUAUCAUGAACCAGAAGUUCACUGAUUCAAAGGUUUACAUGCUUUGGCAUGACCGUCUGGGUCAUCCAGGAUCCACCAUGAUGCGUAGGAUCAUUACCAACUCUAAUGGACAUCCAUUAUUGAGCAGAGACAUUGCUAUCUCAAAUGAUAACCCUUGCAAGGCUUGUUCUCAAGGGAAGUUGGUAAUUAGACCAUCACAACUAAAGGUUGAUGCUGAAUCCCCAUCAUUUCUACAAAGAAUUCAAGGGGAUAUAUGUGGACCUAUUCAACCAUCUUGUGGACCAUUUCGAUAUUUUAUGGUUUUGGUUGAUGCAUCCACUAGAUGGUCACAUGUUUGUCUCUUGUCUACUCGGAAUGUAGCUUUUGCGAGACUUCUUGCUCAGAUAACUAAGUUACGAGCACAAUUCCCAGAUUAUCCCAUUAAAUCAAUCCGACUUGAUAACGCUGGUGAAUUUACGUCUCAAACCUUUGAUGAUUACUGCAUGACAUUGGGCAUUGAUGUUGAACACCCUGUUCCUCAUGUCCAUACUCAAAAUGGCUUAGCAGAAGCAUUGAUCAAGCGGCUUCAGUUAAUAGCCCGCACUCUGCUUAUGAAAACCAAAUUGCCAGUUUCUGCAUGGGGACAUGCCAUUCUACAUGCUGCAUCAUUGGUUCGAUUGAGACCUAUAGCCAACCACCAAUACUCCUCAAUACAACUCGUGUUUGGACAUCAGCCAAACAUUUCACAUUUACGAGUUUUUGGUUGUGCUGUUUAUGUGCCUAUUGCACCCCCGCAACGCACUAAAAUGGGACCUCAGCGUAGACUGGGAAUUUAUGUGGGUUUUGAUUCACCAUCUAUUAUUAGAUAUUUGGAACCCUUGACAGGUGAUAUGUUUACAGCUCGUUUUGCUGAUUGUCAUUUUGAUGAGACAGUCUUCCCAUCGUUAGGGGGAGAAAAGACCGUUCCAGAAGAACGGAAAGAGCUGACAUGGGUUGUUCCCACCUUGUCUCAUUUUGAUCCUCGAACCUUUCAAUGUGAAAAUGAAGUGAAAAGGAUCGUUCAUCUUCAAAGCAUUGCCAAUCAAAUGCCAGAUGCAUUUAAUGACGCUAUGAAAGUGACAAAAUCGCAUAUACCAGCUGCAAAUGCACCUGCCAGAAUUGAUGUCCCUGUUGGACAAAAUAAAGUGGCAGCGAAUGAUUCAUUUGGUGCACGCUUGAAGCGUGGUAGACCACCAGGUUCAAAAGAUUCAGCCCCUCGGAAGAGAAAGACGAGGGCACAACUGAAUCCAAAUGAAAUCAUUCAGGAAGAGAGAGUCAAUGACAAAUCCACAAUUCAUGCCUCUGGACUUCCAGAAGAAGAAAAUGGCCCUGAAGAGACAGAAGUACAUGAAAGCAAAGAAAUCUCCAUAAAUUAUGCAUGUACUAAUGAAUUGUGGGAUCGGAAUGAAAUAAUCAUUGACGAUAUGUUUGCAUUCGCAGUAGCCACUGAAAUCAUAUUAAGUGAUGAUAUUGAGCCCCGCUCUGUUGAUGAAUGCAAACAGAGACAAGAUUGGCCUAAGUGGAAAGAUGCAAUCCAGGCAGAAUUAAAUUCCUUGGAAAGACGAAGUGUUUUUGGACCAGUAGUCCAAACCCCAACUGAUGUAAACCCCGUAGGUUACAAAUGGGUAUUUACAAGGAAACGCAAUGAGAAAAACGAGAUUGCUAGAUACAAAGCACGACUCAUUGCACAAGGCUUUUCACAAAGACCUGGAAUUGAUUAUGAGGAGACAUACUCUCCUGUAAUGGACGCAAUUACGUUCCGUUACUUAAUAAGUUUGGUGAUUUCAGAAAAACUUGACAUGCAACUUAUGGAUGUCAUCACCGCGUAUCUAUAUGGAGAUUUAGAUACUGACAUAUAUAUGAAAGUCCCAGAAGGACUUAAGUUGCCUGAAGCAACAAACAAACCACGGGGUAUGUUCUCAAUCAAAUUAAGGCGAUCACUAUAUGGGCUGAAACAAUCUGGGCGAAUGUGGUAUAAUCGUCUUAGUGAGUAUUUGAUUAGAGAAGGAUAUAUCAACAAUGUCAUCUGCCCUUGUGUGUUCAUUAAGAAAUCCAACUCUGGAUUUGCUAUAGUGGCAGUAUAUGUUGAUGAUAUGAACUUAGUUGGGACUCCUGAAGAGCUCCAUAAAACUGCUGAAUAUCUGAAAAGCGAAUUUGAAAUGAAAGACCUUGGGAAAACCAAAUAUUGUCUAGGCCUGCAGAUCGAGCAUUGUAUUAGUGGAAUUUGGUCCAUCAAUCAGCUUACAUUGAAAAAAUACUGAAGCGAUUUGGCAUGGACAAGGCUUAUCCACUUAGCACCCCAAUGGUUGUUCGUUCUUUAGACGUUAAGAAAGAUCCAUUCCGUCCAAAAGAAGAUGAUGGACUGGUCCUUGGUCCAGAAGUACCAUAUUUGAGCGUAAUAGGUGCUUUAUUGUAUUUAGCACAAUGUACUAGACCAGAUAUAGCUUUUUCAGUUAACUUGUUAGCCAGGUACAGCUCUGCUCCAACAAUUCGUCAUUGGAAGGGAGUCAAAGAUGUUCUACGAUACCUUCGUGGGACAACAGAUAUGGGUCUCUUCUACUCAGACAAGCCCACAAAUGAACAAAUCCUUGUUGGAUACGCCGAUGCUAGUUUUCUCUCUGAUCCGCAUAAAGCCCGCUCACAAAAUGGAUAUGUGUUCACUAAUGGAGAUACUGCAAUUUCAUGGCGAUCAACGAAGCAAACGCUAGUUGCAACAUCUUCCAAUCAUUCGGAAAUAAUUGCUCUACAUGAAGCAAGUCGUGAAUGUUCUUGGUUAAGAUCAAUGAUCCAUCACAUCCGGAAUUCAUGUGGUCUACCUUCAAAGACAGACACUCCAACUGUCAUCCACGAAGAUAAUGCAGCCUGUGUCGCCCAGAUGAAGGAAGGAUUUAUCAAAGGUGAUAAGACUAAACACAUAUCUCCAAGAUUUUUCAGUGCACAUGAGCUUCAGAAGGCUAAAGUUAUUGAAGUCAGACAAAUCCGUUCCAAUGAAAAUUUAGCAGACUUGUUCACCAAGUCUCUACCAAAGUGCAUAUUUCAGAAACUGGUGCAGGGAAUCGGAUUACGUCGGCUUUCAAAUUUAAAGAAUGCAGAAUCAGGGGGAGAUCCAAUUCAGGGGGAGCAUCCAUGAUACAUGCAUGUUGUACUCUUUUUCCUUCGCUUAGGAUUUUUCCCACUGGGUUUUUCCUAUCAAGGUUUUAACGAGGCAACAUAAGCAUGCUCAAUACCAUCCGGAUAAAAGUUGUACUCUUUUUCCUUCGCUAUGGUUUUUUUUUUCCCACAGGGUUUUUCCAAGCAAGGUUUUAAUGAGGCAACUGAUGUUGAUAUGUGGGCAUCCAAGGGGGAGUGUUGUAAAUAGUAUAAUAAUGUAUGCCCACAUGCAUACAGUAGACAUAUCAUAUGCUUAAUAGGGUUUUUGUUUGUUUCCAUGGUGAUGCUCUAUAAAUAGAGCUUUACGAACGUUCAACUGAGUAGAGAGAAAAGGAAGAGAAAAAUAUCUAAUAGUAAUAAUAUACAUUACUUCCUCUGCAACAGCUUGUAUUGGUAUAAUACUCUGCAACUGCUUCAUUCCUAUCCCGAAUAAAGGUUAUCUUUCUAUAACUUUUACAUUUUUAUAACAAUCUUUGCAAAACUUUGCACAGAAAGAUCAACAAUUCGGUUUUCCAUUGAUAGAGAUAUUGAAAAAUGGAGUCUCUACAAUAGUCCAACUCUUUGGUAUUGGGCCCACAAAAUUGAGAAGUGGAUUUUCAGGUUGCAAUUUUUUUUGACAAGAGCGAUGGCGGUAUUUCAUUAAUCAUUACAAACAAAUACAUAGAAGUCAAUUGGGUACAUUUCUCCAAUGACCAAUACAUUGAUCUGGAGUGAAUUUGCACAAAGAAUCAAUUAAUUAAAAACCCCUACACGGCUAUCACAAGCAAGGUGCACCAAUACAAAUUUGUCACAAGAAUGAUACACGCAACAAACCAAUACUAGUGCACACACCGAUGUUCACUGAUGAGCGAGGCCACACAAAGUCAUCAUAGGAGAGCGAAACCACCUAAAGUCACAACUGAAAGACGAAACCACAAAAUCAUUGCUUGAAGGCGAGACCACAUCAAUACGCUCAUAGCGAGUCCACAUAUUCCGCCAAAUGCGGCACAAACAAAAUCUACACUAAUCCAAUAAUAGAAUCCACCGGUCCCCUAAUCUUGGUGGAAGACAAGGACACACAAUCGAAGACCACUUGCAACUUCACCACAUAAGUGAGAUUCGUAGCUUCUACGAGACAAGCAAGCAGAACCGCCACAAAUCUGGGUGCCUCAGGCAGUGCAGCCACACGAGAGUGUCACCACAGGUGGAUUCGACCCACCAACAACCACGAAUCCAAAUCCAAAAUCAUGAAUCAAGCCUCCAUUUAAGGAAAAUACCUCGGGAGAAGGCAAGGGACCGAAUCUAGGUGGGAGGCACCAAAUGCUUUGAUACCAUUCUACCAUGCUCCAAACUCGGGUCAGUAGAAAAUUCAAACUCGAAUCUGGAACACGAGCUAAAAAUUAAAUAAAUAAAAAUAAACUAAAACCUGAUGAAAAUAAAUUCCUCUUGGAAAGAAACUCAAGAAUUGUCAUGCCCCGAUCCCGACAUACGUCCAGGAUCGACACGUGACAUCACCAAAUACUCGUAUCUCAACAUACCCCGCCUCCGGGAUAUGGCAUACCACAACUCGAUAAUCAAAUCACAUAGUAAUUUAUCUUAUACUUUAUGGCUGCAUCUAAUCUCCUCGUUAGAUUGCCUACGUACCCUCAUUAGGGAUCAAACCAUUCGUAGUUCGUCGUUCACUAAUUUAGACAUUUAUUCCAAUGCGUUCUAACAGGAAUACAUAGCAUUUUGUAAUUAAUUAUUAGAACUUGACAUGCAUGACAAUACCAAGUUCAAGGCUACAAAACAAACCAACAGGUAGUUCAAGAUUCUCAUUCCAUCCAUCAUAUAAAUUCCAUGUUUUCAGCAUGAUACUUCCAUCCACAACAUGUAACAUAUCAAAUAGCCAACGAUACACAUAUUAUUCUCAAGCCACAUUCCACAAUCCCGUCUAUUAAUCAAUUCAUGAAUCAAAGAUACAUGAUCUUAGCAUUUAAUUAUGUUAAUCAAUGAAUGCAGUAACAUAUCAUUUCACAAAUUUAACCAAGGAACUCUAUAUAAUUUCCUACUUGUAUUAUGAGCAAUAACAUGGUAAAUCUAUUUGAUAUUCACAAGGUCUAUUGUGGGUAAUUCUCAUUCACUCGAAUAUAGGGUUCUAGACUAACCUUAUGGGAAUGAGCGAAAGCAAGAAUUCCGGACCACUCAACGGAAUCCAACAACACCGGGUUCCGGACCACUCAACGGAACCAGAGUAUUAAGCGGUUUCUCAUAAUCUACCCAAACCUGUCAUAGGUUAAAUCAGUGCCUACAUCAUGGAAAUGGUGCACCAUCCAAACGGAGCUCGGGUGAGUGACAAUAAUACAAGUAUGUGAUAUUCAAUAAAAAGAAAGACCCUCGAUCACAGUUUAUAAACCUCAAAUAUAAGUGCAUAAAUAUGAAAACAUAGUCAAGUCUCUAACAACUCCAAAUGAGUUACCCAGACAUCCAACAGUUUUACCCAUUCAAACCACCAAGAUUCUUCAAAACCAUCGUUCAUAUGUACAUUAAAAACUAGGGCUUGAGGGAUGCAGUUUGGCCAAAGCCUACAUAAGUAACCAAACAGGAAGUGGCCCCCUAAAGCGGAUUAACCAAGCAAAGCCACCCCUAAGAUAGUAACCAAGUAGGCAAUGAUCCCCCCCAAUGCAGAUUAACCAAGCGGAGUCACUCCUACAGCUGUUAGGAAGUGAUCACCUAAUACGGAUUAACCAAGCAUGAUCAUUCCUAAGCAUACAUGGCCAUAAGGAUCACCCAACACGGUUUAACCAAGAGCAACCCAUAUAUAGUAUGGUCCCCCAACGCGGAUUAACCAAGCAGGACCACUAGUGACCCCCCAACGCUGAUUAACCAAGCAGGGUCAAGAUAACCAAGUAGGUAGUGACCCCCUAACAAAGAUUAACCAAGCAAAGUCACACCUACAUAACUGUUAGGUAGUGAUCACCCAAUGCGGAUUAACCAAGCAUGAUCACCCCUAAGUAUAAAUGACCAUAAGGAUCGCUCAACGCAGAUUAACCAAGCGUGAUCCAUAUAUAGUAUGAUCCCCUAAUGCGGAUUAACCAAGCAAGACCACUAGUGACCCCCCAAUGCGGAUUAACCAAGCAGGGUCUUAGUCCCCUACUAGCCCUCAAUUUACAAAACAUUUCAAUAUAAAAUUUGAAUCACUUUUUCACAAAUAUUACCAAUCCAUGAAUCAAAUCAUAUUUAAUAAAAAUAGAUCGAUGGCCAAUUAUAAAAGAAUCACAUUUUAACAGAAAACACAUUUAUAAAAUCAUGUCAUAUCCACAAAGGAUAUUAAUACAAAGAAUCGGGUAACCACCAUAUCACAUAUAUUAAAGUCAGUCACCGAGACAAAUCCGCAAAUCUUCACUGAGUCUCUAGUAAUACUAAUUUUAGUAAUUCAAAUGGUUCAAGACCUGUUGACCAAAAGUCAACGGUGGGAUCCACACCCUAGCAAUUUAAUCCGGAAGAUCCGCACAUUAUAAUCUAGAUCCGUAACUUCCUAAGGUCCACAUUAUGCUCAAAGAACAACAUGCUAAAAUCUCAUCGCGAUCCAACGGUCAGAUCUCCGCUAAUCACAAAUUCAAGUGGGUCAAUAAUUAAUUUUUCUAACUUAAAAGUCUUGUCGGGAUGAUCCAUACUUCGGAUUCCUGAUCCGUCAAUUCCAGCUAUCCUCAAAUAUUAUGUUCUAUAAUGCAUUAAGGUUUGGUGACAAUCUAACAGUCGGAUUGUCAAUUCAUAUUUUGAUCAAGUAAGGUAUCGUAAUGAAACUAAGUUCAAACAAUCAAAUUACGUCAUACGGAUAUCAAACAUGAACUCAGGGCAUCUAAUAGCACUUAAAAAAAUAUCGUCAGCCCACUGGCCACGCGCCACCGCGGGUGGCGGUCAACCGUCCCGAUUCGUCGGAAAAUUCAACUAUUUCCAAAAUUUAUCAAAUUUCACAGAAAUGUAGAUCUCAAUGAAUGGAGUAAGUUUCAUACAUGUGGCCAAGUCCAAUUUGGCCUAGAAAAGCUCCAAUUUUACCCAAACCCGGCCGGAACCCUAGAAAUGGGUGUGCCUCGAUCUGUCACCAUCGAUGCUCCGCCGCCCCCAGAACUGUUUGGGCUUUGUUCCUGGCCUCUAGAGAAGUGCUUUGGUGGUGGUAACUGGUGGAGAUUGUUCCACAAAUGGUGGAUCGCCGACAAACUUCCCUCAUACCCACUAGUGCGGUUAUCACGAAAUCGACCUAAUUUCCAUCAAAUUUGGAGUGUAAAGGAAAGAUGGAACAAUAAGGAAUGUUUUCUAGGUGAUUAAAUCAUGUGGUUCUCCGGAAAAACCGACAAAAACCAUCGGAGAAGACAAACGGAACCGGCCGGAUCGGGAUAAAGGGAACGGGUCCAUCCUCCCGUGCCUUUCCCCUCUCCCUCAUUUUCCUCAUUUCCUCCCCUUUCAUCUCAACCAUCCAUCUCUCUCCUUUCUCUUCUUUCCUUCCAUCCCAGCCACACAAGUGGCUUCACAAAUCUUUGCUCCAAAAAUCUGGAGCAUUCCAAAUUAAAGAAAAUUACCAAAAUGUCUUUAACUUUAAAUGUUAAUAACUCUUUCAUUAUAACUCAGUUUCACGAACGGUUUGCUCCUACACGUUCGUGAGAUCAAGCUCUAUUCAAAAAUAUAAAUUGUAACCUCGAAAGGUCUACGGAUUUUAAAGAUUGAUUACGAAAAUUCAACCCCGAUAAUUAUUUGAUUUAAUUCCAAAAAUCAAUGAAAUUAAAAUUAACUAAUAAAAAUAACGUAAACGUGAAAUAUGAAUUUAAAUAACGAGAUACGUAAUUAAUAGUGAAAUUUCGAGGACGGGAUUUCACAAGAAUUCUUUACAAGGCUACAAAGAAAAUAAAUAAAUUAAACUUCUAGAGAUCUCAAAUCUAAUUCAAUCUCAUUCCGCCUACUCUCAUGACUGUCUAGUUCGAAAACCUGCAUAACAAUAAAGGGGUGAACUUCAACAACUCACUAGGGACAUGAUCUUAAAUAGUAAAAUAACCAAGCUAAAUUAGAUGUCAUGGCAUCAUACACAUUAGAUAUCAAAUCAUUAUUGAUAACAAUGCAUGAAUGCAACGUAAAGCACUUUACCUAUACUUGUUAAUUCGUAUAACAAAACACACAGACCUCGUACGUCUCAUUCCGUACUUAUACCACUUGGUCCUGAGUGCUAAGUUAUAUAAAAUUUCUACCGAUCCCAAGCCCGGGUCGUGACACCUAACCAGGUCAACAGACCUGGUGAUCGCACCUGCCUGCUGGCGUGAGACCCUCUGCAGCAGCCCCAACAGAAGAGCCAAACGACUCUAUAUGACGUGGCUCGAUAACAACCGUCGAAUUGAUCUUAGGCGGGUGUAAUUGAUCUUAGGCGAUUAUCGAGGCAUGUUUGUAGAGAGAGGGAUUGAUUAAUUUGGUGGUUGCAUGACACAUGCAUACGGAACAAAACGAUCAAAUGGAAGUCACCAAGAGGCAAUAAUCACGGAUCGGGAGCUAUCAGAUGGACAGCACAGCACAAAACUUGACGUUGAGUACUUUACAUGUGGGCCAAUUCGGUGUUGGGCUUUACAUGUGGACCAAUCUGUUCUGACAUUCCAAAAAAAUAUGACCACAAAAUGAAACAAUAUAAAAAGUGAUUUAACUUAUUAUCAGUCCAUGCAAGGUUUUGUUAUUCGUCGAAAUGGGACUUUAGCCUUCACACCUUCAUAUAAUGUUCCAAUAACUUGUUUUUUCCCAUUAAUUUUCUUGUUAAAAUAUGUCAAUAAUUUUGAAAAUGGUACAUAAAAGUACUCUUAUAACAUCCCUCAAAUAUGGAAAACCAAAUAAAAUAAUAAAACUAGAAAACAAAAUAAAAUAAUAAAACUAGAAAACACAUAUCCCUAUUCUAAUUUGGUAAACUAGGCAGCCAUAAAUUCCACACAUUUCCUAGUCAAAUUUGCACCAAAUCAGGCUUAAGAAGUGGUGUUGGAAAGAUUAAAACGUUCCUUUCAACUUUGUAUAAUGAACUUUCCUAAAAAAAAAACAUAAUUUUCAAAGACUUGUGAUCAAAACAAGCUCAAAAUGUCAAUCUAGCAGCACAAUCCUCUUUACUCCUUGAUGAAUCAGUUCUAAUUGGAAUCACUCCAAAAUUCCAUCGUUUCGUCACUUUUUAAGCAAACUAGAUUCUGCUUGUCCUCCAAUUAAAGCAUAGAAGAAAGUAUCAAAAUUCUCUCAAAAUAACAAAUAAUUAUACCAAAGAUUAGGAUAAAAAUAGAAAAUAAUAUCUACUAGGCGGUCCUCAUACAAUAAAAGAGAAUUAAGUCACGAUAAGCAUGGAAACUAUUGAGGAGAAUUUGUAAGGUAAAUAUUUAUACAAAUGAUAACACUAUUAUUCAUCAACGAUAACGCAAGUUUUAGGGUGAACGACAUUGAUGUUUUCUGUGUUUGCACUUAAAGUCCGCCAAUCUUUUUGCAUUUGUUGCCUAUUGCACUGCACAACUGAUGGAUGCUAAUAUUCAGUUUACAAGCAGUUCCUACUAAACCAGUUCCCUUGUAGUCUACGAAAUGUUGUACAAAUUUCGUAGCUUUGGUUUUAGAAUUUAUACAACUCUAGUUAUACACAUUACUCUUGAAUAUGUAACUGUUGUACAAGUAUUCUUAGUUACUUAGGCAUAGGAAAGUUUUGAUUUGAUUUGAUUGAAAAGAGUGUCUCCAAUUAAUCGAAUGAACAAGAAUCCUUUGAAACAAACAUAGCUGCUUUCAUUCUAAUUUCAGAAAAUCCAAAUCCAUGAAAAACAUAUGCAGCACUCUACUAUCUUUAUUGAUAUCACUUUCAUCUCCAUUUUGUUUGUUAAAGGAUACGAACAAACAUUGAUAUAACUUAAAACAGUAGGAUAUAUAGGGCAGAGUCUUGAACUUGAAUAACACAAUCAACUAAAAGCUAUGAAGCUUUCUUUCUUUUUAAAGAAACCUCGACUGUACGAGAGAAAAUUUUAUUGAAUAAAAAAGAAGUUACACCUAGUCAAAGGGGGACAUAAACUUUACUCCUCAAAAUAAAGACAGGAUAAAGAAAAGAAGGCGAAAAUACAAGAAAGUAGGGGGACAUACACUUACAUAACAUAAAACAAACUUAUAACUAAACAUAUAGAGAAGGAAAGAAACCACAAUAGAGAAACCAAACGACAACAACAGACCCCUCCCCCCCCCCCCCACUAGUACUCUAAAUUUUCCAUAUCAUUUGUCUGAUCAUUCCAAAAAUCUUAAGAAACAAAUCGGGCCUCCUUGUGAUCACAACAUCUGCAAGAACUACUCCCACUACCAACCCACUUCCACAUCCGGCCGAAACAAUUUUCCAAUCAAAUUCAAAUAUUCCUGCUGAGCUAGAAUCACCUUCGUCUAAUGUUGGAGGUGGAAGUUGAGGGGCCUUAGGAUUUCCACAUUUCUUUGGCAAUGGAUCUCCACACAACCCUGGGUUUCCCUCGUAUGAAGUAAUAUUCAAUGAAGUAAGCUGGGUUCCUUCUGGUAUAGGACUUGUAUGAACGAAUAUGUCAUGUUUGUAUAUGAUAUUUUAUUUUUUUUAUCCUACGGCCUACUAUGUUGUCUUCAUCUUCGGUCUCAAAAGCCUUCCUUAACUUCUCUUUAUCUAUCUCAAAUUCAUAGCAUAGUAAUAAAAACAUACUGCAAACAAUUUCACUAUGCAGUAAAAUUUAUCAACACAAUUCCUUGAGCUCUCAACAUUAUAAAUUUAUAAAUGAAAGAAAACAGGUGUUAAUGCAGAAGUCAAAAGAUAUAAAUCACUUUCAAUUGAUAGAACUAAAAGAUCACAAAAAAAACAAGGACCUAGCGUUGAUACCAUAAGAAUGUCCAAAGGCUAUUCCUGUUAACUUUGCUUGGUCUUCUCUUGGUCGAUUCUCCAUCAACUCCUCCUGCUUAACCUCAAUUAUUUCAGUUGUCACCUCAUUCCUCCCCCUCUUUUUACUGACUUUAAUCUCACUUGCACCAGCAGCGGGGGGAUGGCUGGCACAACAGUUCCCGACCCACCAAAUCAAUCAUUCCAAAAUUUCUCAGUCUCAAUCAAUUCAACGAACAGAAUGGCAGCACCACAUUUUCUUCGAACACCACCUGGCAUCCCACAAGUCUACAACCCUCAAUCCACCACUACCUUCAAUGUGUAGCCACCUCAACCACGGGGACCAGCCACCCACGGUUUCAUGUAUGCAAGUGGAGUUACAACCAGCAAUGCAGCAGAAAACAAAAGUAGAAAAUGGAGAAAAAGAAUAUAGAAAGAAAAAGGGUGUCUGGAGGUGGAGAAAAGCCGAGAGGAGAAAGUGGAGAGCACGGCUGCCUACUCCAUUGUCUAAUAAAAUAAGAUCAAGAUAAACUUUAAUCAUUCAUGGCAGGGGACAAAUACAGAGUAUAAUAUAUACCCAUUAUCCCACUAUCUGGAAAAGUACAGAGUAUGGAGUGCAAAGUGACACAACUAUUUAUAGACUGGCAUCAGUAUAAAAUUCUUCCGCAAAUUAUACAUAUACUAAAACCCAGUUCCCCCAAGCACCGUUUUUCACUGUUCAUGAACAGUGAAAAGACGGUAAUGCCCUCGGGUUUUCCUAGCUUUGCCCUCAUGUGUGCAGUCAAUUGCCGGUUUUACCCAUUGAUCCCAAGGGUUCUGUGUCGUUUCUUUCUCUCUUUCCAUUCAUCUCUUUCACUUUACCUUUCAGCUCUCCAUUUUCUGCUUUCCUCAACUGGGUUUUCCUUCGUCGUCGGUGUGCACUCUGAUUUCUCUCAAUUUAUUCCUUUUCGUUUUGCGAAAUUAUGUCCGGCGAGACAUGAUCUUUGAUUUUUGCAACCAUUGUUGGCCGUUCUUCUCUGUUUUUGGCUGCCAUCCGUACUUUGGAUCGAUUUCGUCUUUUUCACCGUUUUGUUUCAAGCCUCUCUUUUGAGAGAAUUUUUACGUAUUAAGGUUAGUGAUUUCUAAACUUAAGUUUUGCUUUGCAGUUUGAUUUCAUUUUUGGUUGUCUUGCCCAAAUGUUAGAAGCUUUUAAUUUUUUUGGGUUCAAUUUUAAAUGGGUUGUUGCUUUCGGAGUUUUCGUUUGAUGACAGAGAUCGGGGUUUUUGGGGAAAAACUUUUAAUCGGUGAGUUUUUUAGUUAAGUUGUGUUGUGGGUCCUGACAAAUGGAUUUUUUGUUGAAAUUGUUUCUCUUCUCAUUUUUGGUUUUUUUUUUUUUUUUUUUUUUGUGCCAUCGGGUUUUUGCAUGUGGGUGUAUAAUCAGGUUUUCUUUUGAAUUUCAGGGGAUUCAGGUUUUUAUUUUUUUUGGAACUUUUGUAUGCAGCUUUGGAAGACAUUUAUGCUUAAUGUGAGAAACUUUGGUUGCUCGCUUUUGGGUUUUGUUGUAGAAUUAAGUUUUUUAUUUUAUUUUUAUUUUAAAGAGUUACAUUCGUGGGAAUUCAUUUAUUCUUUUUUUUUUCUGCAUCUGGAAAAUGCAACCUGAUGUGAGUUAUAGUCAUAAGUGCAAACAAGAAAAAGUUGUAGUCAUAAGUGCAAGAAAUAUAAAGCCAAAAGAACUUAGCAACAAUAUCAUACCUUAUUUUUCAAUUUACUUAUAAGGUUUCACAUUUUUGUAAAUAUCAAGAACAAAAACCUAGAACAGCCUCACAAUUUGGUGCACUGACUAGGAAAUUGACAGUUGGGUAUAGGUAUGGGUAGUUAAAAACUAUGAGACAUGAAAAUUAUUGUCAAAUGCAAGGACAGAAGGUCGUGUAUUUGCAAAGUUGAAGCGGCCCAAGGACCGAGUUGGUAUGUUUGAGUAGAUUGCUUGAUCUCCUUAGUUGGGUUUAGGUUUAAUGCUCAGUAGUUGGGACCAAGAUCCUCUCCCGAGGUAAGGAUGAGGAUCCUCCUGAUCAAGGAGUGUGGACCGUUGGAUGAAAAUCCAACGGCUACAAUUAUUAUAACUUUAAAGAGACUCCCCAGUUUGUAGUCGUUGGAUUUUCAUCCAACGGCCCACACUCCUUGGUCAGGAGGAUCCUCAUCCUUAGCUCAGGAGAGGAUCCUGGUCCCAGUAGUUGUUGUGCUUCUG
rnacentral:lncRNA from 1 species